rnacentral:lncRNA from 1 species
UCGGGGCGGGUCUAGACCCCAAAUAGGAAAGCGCGCUCAUCGAAUUCAUCCGUGAGAAUCGGGACAUCUUCGCAUGGAAACCUUCUGACAUGCCUAGUGUGCCGAGAGAAUUCGCUGAGCACCACCUUAAUGUUGACCCAAAAGGAAAACCAAUUCAGCAGUAUCUUCGCAGGUUCAAUGAGGAACGAUGCAAGGCAACCGGGGAAGAAGUUGCCCGUCUUUUGGCUGCCGGAUUCAUCGUAGAGGUCUUCCACCCAAAAUGGUUGGCUAACCCGGUCCUGGUGCUCAAGAAGAACGGUACCUUCCGCAUGUGCAUUGAUUACACAGAUCUUAACAGAGCUUGUCCAAAGGAUCCUUUUGCCCUUCCCCGUAUCGAUCAAAUUAUUGAUUCAGUGGCGGGAUGCGAGCGUUUGUGCUUCCUGGACGCUUAUUCCGGGUAUCCCCAAAUCAAGACGGCUGUGGAAGAUCAGGAGAAAACAACUUUUAUAACCCCCUUUGGGGCCUUUUGCUAUGUGUCCAUGCCGUUUGGACUCAAAAGCGCGGGGGCGACUUACUAGCGUUGCAUCCAGAAUUGUCUCCGUGGCCAAAUCGGGCGCAACGUCCACGCUUAUGUCGACGACAUUGUGGUCAAAACUCAUAGGAAGGAGAUGCUCUUGGGAGAUCUAAAAGAAACUUUUGACAAUCUGCGGGUAUACCAAAUGAAGCUUAAUCCCACCAAGUGUGUCUUUGGCGUUCCUGUAGGAAAAUUGUUGGGUUUCCUGGUAUCUGAGCGCGGCAUUGAAGCUAACCCGGACAAAAUUGGGCGGUUACUUCACUUGGGAAACCAGCGAAUAUCAAUCAAGUUCAACGGAUGGCAGGUCCUAUCGCAGCUUUAAGUCGCUUCAUAAGCCGUCUAGGAGAAAAGGCUAUUCCCCUUUAUCAAUUGCUUAAGAAAUCUGACCAUUUUGUUUGGACAGACGAAGCCAACGAAGCUUUUGAAGCCUUGAAGCAGCAGGUGGUCAACCCGCCGGUUCUGGCCGCCCCGACUGAAAAGGAGCCUAUGCUUCUGUAUAUGCGGCAAAUUCCAAGGCAAUAAGCGUGGCAGUGGUCGUUGAAAGGAAGGAAGAAGGGAAGGAAUAUCCGGUGCAACGCCCGGUGUACUUCAUUAGCGAGGUGCUAACUCUUUCCAAGCAACGAUACCCACACUGGCAUAAGUUGGUCUAUGGAGUCUUUAUGGCAAGUCGAAAGCUCAAACACUAUUUCCAAGAGCAUCCCAUCACGGUGGUUAGCUCCGCUCCCCUCGGAGACAUCAUCUAGAAACGAGAAGCGACAGGGCGAAUCGCCAAGUGGGCGAUCGAACUUGGGCCACACCACGUGCGAUACACCCCUCGCACGGCUAUCAAGUCUCAGGCCUUGGUUGAUUUUGUCAAUGAUUGGACCGAGUUACAGAUCCCGGAAGACAGGCCCGACCUUACCUACUGGACUAUUUAUUUUGACGGAUCUAGGCAAUUGGAAGGCUCGGGGGCUGGCGUGGUGCUGAUUUCGCCCCAAGGAGACAAGUUUUGCUAUGUUCUCCGACUCAUGUUUCCAUGCACCAACAACGCUGCACAGUACGAGGCAUUGCUUCAUGGUUUGCGAAUCGCUAAGGAGAUGAACCUCACGCGGGUCAGAUGUUUUGGCGAUUCGGAUCUGGUGGCUCAGCAAGUUUCAGGUACUUGGGAUUCUCGUGACCCCCUGAUGGCGGCUUACAGGAGGGCUGUCUCCGAUGUGGCGGGUCACUUCCAUGGCUAUCAGGUUGAUCAUAUCGACCGACGCCUUAACGAAGCAGUUGAUGCCCUUUCGCGUCUCGGUUCGCAACGUAAGCCGGUUCCCCCCAAUGUCUUUCUGGAUACUUUGCAUAAUCCUUCCGUAAGGUUACCCUCAAAAGAGGAGUUGGCAAUACCAAACCCUGAUUCUCAGUUUGUGGCGUCUCUCCAUGUUAUGCCGGAUUGGGUUCUCCCGUAUCUGGCAUAUCUCACCCGAGGCAAGUUACCUUCGGAUGAAGUAUUGGCUCGCCAAAUAGUUCGUCGAAGCAAAUCCAUGGUCAUCAUCAAUGGCGAAUUAUAUAAACGGAGAACUUCCGGGGUAUUCCAACGAUGCGUUUCCUCUGAAGAAGGAUGCGUGAUUCUAAACGACAUCCAUUCCGGAGAUUGUGGGCAUCAUGUCGGGUCACGCUCAUUGGUUUCAAAGGCUUUCCGUCAUGGUUUGUUUUGGUUGACGGCUCAUGCAGAUGCAGAGGAGAUAGUUCGUCGAUGUGACGGUUGCCCGCGUUAUGGACGACAGGCUCAUGUGCCGGCUCAAGAACUAAGGAUGUUACCUAUUACUUGGCCUUUUGCAGUCUGGGGGUUAGACAUGGUUGGCCCCUUUAAAAUGUCGUCCAACAAAAAAACUCAUCUGCUAGUGGCGGUUGAUAAAUUUACCAAGUGGGUCGAAGCAGAACCUGUUGGUGCUUGUGAUGCGGAGACAACGGUCAAAUUCUUGAAAAAGUUGAUCUUCCGGUUCAGAUAUCCACACAACAUUAUUACUGAUAAUGGUACAAAUCUAUCACAAGGGGCAAUGCAGGAGUUUUGUCAUCGUGAGCACAUCCGGCUUGAUAUAUCUGCAGUGGCUCAUCCACAAUCUAAUGGGCAGGCCGAAUGGCGAAUCAGGAAGUGCUGCGAGGAAUCAAACCCCGACUCAUGGUUCCCCUGGAACGCACCCCACGGUAUUGGGUUGAGGAGUUGCCUUCAGUGCUAUGGAGCAUCCGGACCACCCCAAACCGUUCUACGGGUUUUACUCCCUUUUUUCUGGUAUAUGGAGCAGAAGUUGUUCUUCCCACUGACAUUAGGCAUGACUCGCCCAGAAUUGCCGCUUAUGUGGAACAGGACAACGAGUUGGUGCGUCAAGAUUCUUUGGAUGCUUUGGAGGAAGCACGCGAUUUGGCUGCCGCUUGACCGGCAAUUUAUCAGCAGGACUUGCGGCGUUAUCACAGCCGCCGGGUCAAGAGCCGAACCUUUCAGGAGGGCGACUUAGUGCUUCGAUUGAUACAAGAUCGCACUCGCAUGCAUAAGUUAUCACCACCAUGGGAAGGACCGUUCGUCGUCAGCAAAAGCCUUCGCAACAGGUCAUACUAUCUGGUGGAUCUACGGCCUGAUCGGACAACCACGGAGGCUGAGUCAACCCGCCCCUAGAACAUAGCCCACUUGCGGCCUUACUACACUUGAGCUGUUAGCUCUGCUUUUUGUAAGUUUUUUCAUUUUUUAUGAAGCAAUAAAAUUGAUGCCACCAAGCAUGGGGGCUUUCCUACUUUUUCAUAUUAUUGAAAGUGUGGAUCUUUAUUUUGCUCUUCAACAAGUCGCCCAAGCAUGGACGCUAUCCAUACCAAAGAGCAUAAGUCGCCAUGAUGCGCUUAUUACAAAACUGGGUAUCGAUAAGCCAAAGAGGAUCGAAGUCGCUACAUGGCGCGUGAUUCAAACAUGGGCACCUUAUAUGAUUCUGUGGAUUAGGCCGGCUUACUUGGGGACAGUUUGUUCUCAAGUCGUUUUGUGGUAAUAGCGUAUAUGCUUCUACAAUCCUAUGACCGGUCUUUCCCUUAAUCAUAGGUCACUUGGGGGCUUCCUCUCACUGAGAUCGGCCUUACUACCCAUUUGGCCUGCGAAAAAUUACCGCAUUACAAAUGGUUAUACUAGACUGUGUGUUGGCCGAAUCGCCAUAUGGACCCAUGAACUCUUGGUGAGUUACUCCGCUUUAUGGACCCUGAACUCGCCUUGGUUAAAACAUGUCUGGUACCGGCUAGCGCCCCACAUGGAAAAUAGAGAAACCAUUGGUUCACUGAACCCGCUUCACUGAAGCUUGACUCGUGCCUGAUCAGCCGGUCUAAAUACUUGAGCUUUUUAUACAAAUGUCUCCCUCGGGUAGCACUUGAGUUUAUAUAACUGGUCCUAUCCUGUCCCGACCUGAUGAGCCGACAAAAUUGUUGUUUUUACCUUCCUGGCACUGCCACAAGAUUUUUAUGUUUUUCUGACUUGCCUUAACAUCUUGAGUCGGUUAUUGUUUAUUAUCAUCCAUUACUCACUGAGAUGGUUUGAUAUAUGUUUUUAAGCCUAACAGGUUGAUGAUCAAAAUCAUUAUAGCCACGACGGGUCAAGCAUCAUAAAAACGACCUGAGGGCGAGUCAAGCAUUAUAAGGCACCCUAAGGGCGACAUAAGGGUUUUCAAGACAUCACAGAAGCAGUUUGAUCUGUAUUAAAGACUUAUUACAUGGCUCUUAUGGCCAAAUCCAUGAAGGAUUAUUCUACUGAUGUCCUCGGGUCAGCCUGCUUCGAGUUUUGGCCGACUUCAAUUUGCAAGUCGCCCAGUACCCAGUUACACUUGGAUAAUGAGGCGAACUCAUCUUCAUCGUUCAACACUGAUGAGAGAUCCACCUCCAAGUAAAAAGGGUUCUUGACUCAACGCGGAGUUAAGCUGGUUGUCACAAAGGUUGGCGGAUUAAUUUUCUUGUUCUUGUCGUCAUAGGCGGCUUAAUAUUUUGAUAAAUCCAAGCUUGCUACAAGCUGAGUCGUCGCCAAACAGGAUUCUUUGACAACACGCUGGUAAUCCUCUUGAGAAAAUUCUGACCCGUCAUCCUUGAGCUGGGGAAAGCCUGCCGCUACUUCUUCAGGUUUUAAUUCUGGAGCAUACGCCAGACACCGACUCAGCGUAGUCAGUGCCCCUUUUCGGGCAGCUGGCCGGGUUAGCUCACCGAUCUGAGGAGGAAGAGUAGAUAAGCAGCCAAUCAUCUUCUUUAUUGAUGUUAUGGGUUCCUUAGCACCCAUCACUGCUUUCACGGUCAGCACACUUCCAGUAUACAACUGCUCCAUUAACGUGUAAAUCGCCUUCAGCAUUAGGACACAGUCGUUCUGAAGAUUGGCGGAUCCCGGACCUACAUAAGGAAUAAUGAUGGUCAGUAAUUUCUUCAUACUAAGUUAUUGAUUUACAAAGUGCAAGGUCAGGGUUUCGUUUUUUACCAAAAACAGCUUGUGCCAUGUUGGAGAUAUGUCGCUUUAAGCCGGCCAGCUCUUGUUGCAGGGUAUCCAACUUAGCUUCAGCUUUUUCUGCUCGCUUUACCAGGGCAUCUUGAUCAACUUGAGCCUUUUUUAAGUCGGCUUUUAGCUUCUCCAUCUUAGAUAAGAUCAUUUGACAUUUUUCUUCUGAUUUUGCCCGUGCAUCUUGUUGAUCGGCUAAAUUUUUCUUUAAAUCGCCAAAUGUUGAUUCAGCUUGGGUAAGUGAUUCCUGUCAUAAUAUAUUAUCAAGGGGCAAGUCUCAGAAUUAUUGCAAGCAACAUCCCUGACACUUGGGGGCUAAUGUAUAAUUUUUUAGACAAAAUUAUAUAGUAUCAAGACCCGGCUCAUCUUUUUACAGAUGACCCGGCCCUUGGGGGUUACAGGUCGAAAGUUUUAUUCAGAUUAUCAAGACCCGGCUCAUCUUUUUACAGAUGACCCGGCCCUUGGGGGUUACAGGUCGAAAGUUUUCUUCAGAUUAUCAAGACCCAUCUCAUCUUUUUACAGAUGAACCGGCCCUUGGGGGUUACAGGUCGAAAGUUUUCUUCAAAUUAUCAAAGACCCGGCUCAUCUUUUCGUAGAUAACCCGGCCCUUGGGGGUUAAUGAGGAUAAUACAGUAUGCAGUAAGGCGUACCUCAUGUCUGUUUUUCAUCAUGAGGAGCAGACUCUUUUCCAUUUCGUAACUCGCCUCCAGGCGACUUGCAAAGCCGGAGCAAAGUUCUCUGAAUUCAAGAUUCUCAUACUGGGAGAGCUUAGCCUUGGAAAGUUCAUACUCAAUAGAAGGUUGAGUCGAUGAUGAUACAUGCUUCGACAGAACUGCUGAGGCCUGCUUAGAAAAGCGAGUACCAGUGAUUAGCACAGCAUCUGAAUCUUCUGCCGUUCUCAAUAGACUUGGAGGAUUAGGCGUUUCCAUGGUUUCCUUGGGCGAGUUCGGGAGAUCCACUUGAUAUUCAGGCUUAUCUUUGGCCGAGUUAUCCUGAAUCGGCGCAGAUCUUUCAAAAGGCUCUGAAGUUGUAAUGGGAGUUGACCCGCCAGUUUUCCUCUUCUUCGCUUGAGCCCUAAAAGGAAAAGGGGGUGCACUUAAGAAACAGACAUUAUUAUCAUCAGGAUAAUGUAAGUAUUAUAAAGGACUUACCCUGGAACGCGGAUCAUCGGCGUAAUCACUGACAUCACUGAGCCGCCUGAUGAAGGAGGAGAAUUCUGCAAAAGUAACACUUCAAGAUAUGAGCGAGUUAUAAAUAUGAUCCAAAAGUAAAUGAAAAAAAGAUGCUAUUAAAAAGGUACCUCAUUUUGCCUUUUCUUGGUUUUCGUUGGUAACCCGGACACCAACUCUCCAGAACGACUCCGAGUUUUCCGAUUGGAAGCAUGUUGCGCUUUCUUCAAAAGGAAAUUAGGAUCCAAACAAGCAUUUGGGUGAGAGAACGGAACUUUCCCACAAAUCCUCCUGGCCGGCUUAGGUGGAGGAGAACAUGAGUCAGAGGAAACAUAAAUUACCUCUACGGAGUCUUCCUGGCUUUCGUGGUCCUCGUUCUACACAAGAGAUACGGAGGUGUAAACACAAAAUUAUAACAAUAAAUGGCGAGUUAAAGAAGAUGGAUUUUUACCUCUGAAAGUACGUCGCCGACUUGGGAUUCGUCGGCGUCACAUGUCUCGGUAACAGCGGCUUUGCCUUUACCCUUGGAUUUCUUCUUCGGGGGUGGCCUGGCUUGUUUCAGGGCCAUAUUUUUUGGCCUCCUGGACUAGAAUUUGUCGCCCUUUUGAAAUGGCGUUUUUAUUAUGAGAAUCAUAGCUCAAAUAAGUCGGGAGGAAUAAAGUAAAGGCGGGUUAAGUUAUUACCUUUGGUGCCGGGUUGAUCUUGCAAAACAGCUUAAGACCUAUUUGGCCACACUUGGCCAAGGGCUCGCCGGUCAAUUUCUUGAUGAUAGAGACGAUGUCGUUUUCUGUCAAUGUUGUGUGGAAAUAACACUGGGGAUGGUCCAAUGUGCCAUAGAACUCACACAUUAAUCCAUCCCGGCGACUUAAGGGGAGGAUGCGCCAUUCAACCCAGCAGCGGAUUAAGUCGACCCCAGUAAGGCCGUUGUUUGUUAGAGAUCUUAACUCGGACAGUACUGGGAUGAGAUCUGACUCCUCUUCUUCGGUAAGCUUUUCUGGGAGUUUGAAGUUUGUUGGAAGGCGCUCCUCCCUAUAGCCAAGGAGCUUGUUCUCACCCUCAGGAGGAGUUCCCUGGCAGUAAAACCAAGACUCGCCCCAGCCUUUAGGAUGGCUUGGCAUGGCGAGUGACGGGAAUGGACUGUCCCUGCGGCGUUGAACAUUGACGCCUCCAAGUUCCAAGCUAGGGCCGUUGGAAAAUUCUGUUUGGCGAUUCAAAUGAAAGAAGUACCAGAAUAAAGGAACUGAAGGUUCCAUCCGCAAGUAGGCCUCACAGAACACUUGGAACUGACAUAGGUUGCUCAUCGAGUUAGGCCCUAAGUAUUGUAGGCGGACAUUCAUGAAGGUCAUGGCGUCUCUGAGGAAUUUUGAUCCGGGCGGUUUAAAACCCCAUUCGAGGCGCUCAAGAAAAACAACUAUUUCCCCUUGCUUCGGGAUGGGGAUCUCUUCUCCCAACCCGGAACGCCAACCGAUAACUUCUUUGGGGUCCAGAUUCCCCGUUUUCACACAGUUGUUGAGAAGAGUUUCAUCAACCUUGGUCGGGAGCCAAUCAUUUUUGAAAACGGUACCCAUGCUACAAAGGGAGAAAUUACGGGUAAAUUAACUCGCCAAGCACUUACUAAAUGGUAAAACAGAUCCAUUGACUCGCCAAAAAAUUUGCCUGAUAGCUAAGGGAGUUUAUUGACUCGCCGGUAAAGGGCCGAGUCAGAAUACCAGGGCGACUUAUGAAUUUCUUACUACUUAAAGAAAUAUGGUUCAGAGCUUCAGAGGUGUUCGCUAAAGUGGUGAAAUAUGGAUCUACAAACAGGUUUUCAUACGACAGGCAAUAAUAUAUGGAUUUGCAGAGCAGGAAAAAAUGAAUGAGAAAAGCCUGGAUAAAACAGCCUAUGGCUAGGGUGAAAACAAUACAGUUGAUCUGGCGAAACCCUUUCUAGAUCUUCAAACCAAGGCUAGACAACUAAGGGUAUGGAGAAUGUUGCUGUGCUCACUGUCGUCAUCAUGAAUUCACCGGCGAUUACAGAGUUGUUCAUGGUGUUCUAAGGAAAUGGCGGACAUGAGCCUCGAGAAGCUAAGAUCUGCCUCUAAUGGCGGGAGACUAACCUGGUAAUGGCAGCUGGAGGCGACCGAGGAAAGAUCCGCGGUGAGUGUCGCACGUUCAGCGGGCAUCGAAGUGCGUUGGAUGCGGCGGUCGGAAACGAAGGUCUUCAGACGGCGACGAAGCUCUCGGUGCGGUGGCGAGGAAGAAGGGGGCGACAAGACGGGUAGGUGGAAAUGUGCCCUGUCCCCUCCUCCCGCCUAUUUAUCAGGUCAGGCGGUGGGAUCGAGGAGCCACGAGCAGGAACUGCCAAAAAGGAUAAAGAUUCGCCAUGAUGGCGCCCAAAAUUUUCGGGAUAUCAAUGCCGAAGGAUCCGCUGGGGAUUACGUCAUUAUCUCUUCCGAGAUUAAAGGGAUAAGAAGAUGCCAACAACAAGUGGUUCGGCGACUUGGGUAUUUCCGCAACAGAUGGCGGUUUAAGUGCAUGGUGCAUAAAACGAGUGAGAUGAGUCACCCCUAACUGGGUGAGGAUAUUGGCAUGAAAAAAAUUCAAGUCAAUCUGGGGCCUAAUGUUGGGCAUAUUAUCUGUUGGGUAACCCGCCCUAGUUGGGCCGGGUCAUCAAAGUUGGCGACUCAUCCUCAAGUGGUUCCGGCUUUGGCCCAGCGAGGCCGGGAGCCGGAUGGCGGUUCGGGACCUUCGAGAAGAAUCCAUUGUUGGGAAGAUCUCCAAGUCUUGGAAAGAUGGCGACUUAGAGAUAGGAAGAAUCACGAUUUAUGUAAAGGUAAGGACUCUUGUAAACCCUAAAGGGCUCGACCUGUAUAUAAAGGCGAGUCCCAGGGAAGGAGAGGGCAGGUUAGAAAUCAUCGAGUGCUAGGUCACGCGAGUUACGCCCCCUUGUAAUCGAGACACCAUCAAUACAAACACCAAGCAGGACGUAGGCCUUUACCUCCUCACGAGGGGCCGAACCUCGGUAAAUCUCUGUCUCGCUCCCGUAUAACCCCUUUGAGUCGCCACCAAGGUGCGAUGGCUCCAACACUAAGUCCUUUCACGAGGACAUCUGCCGUGACAAAACCACGAGAGGGGGCGAGCCCGGGGCCUCAAGUUUUCUACCGGUGGAGGCGGGAUGUGCCAAGGAUGACCCAGCCUUGCACAUCUGGGGGGCGGGCACGCACGUAGACCAUGUAGUACACGGGGUCGAUGUGGGUCCCCGGGAGGUCCGGAUCGGGCGCGAGGGAACCCCCGCAAAGACCCCACCGGUGGCAUCAUCAUCCGCGAGCUCACGCAGAAGGACAACCUGUGACGGGAGGGGCGCGCUCAUCAGGCAGUCCUCGACGGACUUCUCUGAGUUCCCCUCUCCGGAUGUGUCGCCGGACGACACCUCUACCGGGAGGAGCCCACGCUCAUCGAAGACAGGUAGCCCGACGACCACGACGACCCGGUCGUCAAGACGCAAUAGUGGGCCCAGGGCCUCAGGCAAGUCACCAGGGUCGCCGCCCAGCAAGAUCGCCACGACCCUGCUCAGCUCAUUAGUAGGGAGCUCUUGGGACCAGAGCCUGAACUCGUCAUCACGAGCGCGGUAGUCCAACAGGGGCCUUGAGUGGGCUUGAAGGGGCACCAGGUAUUGCGCCAAGAAAUCCUUCACUAUCAUGCCACCAGUCAGCCUCUUGGCACUGAUGUCACGGGAGAAGCAUUCCAGGAUGGGUGCGGCCCGAGGGUCGGAAAGCUUCUCCGAGAUCCAUGCGAAGGUCUUCUCCGGCAACCCCUUUGGCUCCUCCAGCCGAGGGUUGGCGCCCUUGAGGCCCAUAAGAACCCAGCAUUGCUUGAAGUUUUCCACCUUCUUCCCGGCCUUCAGGAGAAGGUUGCCGCUCUGGGUCGCCAUGAAGGAGACACACGCUGAUAAAUGGGCGCCGUCAUGCAGAUGCAGGCUAAAGAAGUGGCAGAAGAGGGCCACCGAGGGCUGCACUCCUACGAAAGCCUCACAGUAGAAAGCAAAGACGGACAGGAGCAAGACAGAGUUGGGCUGGAGAUGAAGAGCCUGGAUCCCGUAGUGGUUCAAUAUGGCGGUGAAGAACGAAGAGAAAGGCAGCACCAGCCCGACAAAGACGUUGUGUAGGAAGAAGGGGUACACCGCCUUCGACGCGGGCCGCUCCUCUAUGGCACCACGCCAGAUUGGGUCUGUCCAUACUCGUUGGACUCGGCCCCAGUCCAGGGAAGCAUGGGGGCAAGAUCCACAUCCUUGGAAAGGACGCACUACAAGAGCGGAGAAGCUGGGGUUGGGCCUUGCGUCUCUGGCUUCUGCUUGCUAGCGGGCGCUGCUACUUCUCAAACAACAGUGCCAGAACUUGACACGUUAAUGGAGACUUGCUUGCGUUGGUUUUUCCCUUGAAGAGGAAAGGGUGAUGCGGCACAUGAGCAGUAAGUAUUUCCCUCAGUUUGAGAACCAAGGUAUCAAUCCAGUAGGAGAAUCUCGUCAAAUCCAGAGUACCUGCACAAACACAAAAGAGCUUGCACCCAACGCUAUAAAGGGGUUAUCAAUCCCUUCAGGAUUGAUUGCAAAGUGAGAUCUGAAGGCGGAAAGUGCAACAAAGAAAAAGAAUAAGGCUGAAAAUAUGGUGUGGAGUAGACCCCGGGGCCAUAGUGUUCACUAGAGGCUUCUCUCAAAAUAGUAAAUAUUACGGUGGGUGAACAAAUUACUGUCGAGCAAUUGAUAGAACUACGCAAAGUCAUGACGAUAUCUAAGGCAAUGAUCAUACAUAUAGUCAUCACGACCAAGACAAGUAGACCGAUACUUUCUGCAUCUACUACUAUUACUCCACACAUCGACUGCUAUCCAGCAUGCAUCUAGUGUAUUGAGUUCAUGACGAACAGAGUAACGCCUUAAGCAAGAUGACAUGAUGUAGAGGGAUAAACUCAAACCAAUGAUGAAAACCCCAUCCUUUUACCUUGAUGGCAACAACACGAUGCGUGCCUCGCUACCCCUUCUGUCACUGGGUGAGGUCACCGNNNNNNNNNNNNNNNNNNNNNNNNNNNNNNNNNNNNNNNNNNNNNNNNNNNNNNNNNNNNNNNNNNNNNNNNNNNNNNNNNNNNNNNNNNNNNNNNNNNNNNNNNNNNNNNNNNNNNNNNNNNNNNNNNNNNNNNNNNNNNNNNNNNNNNNNNNNNNNNNNNNNNNNNNNNNNNNNNNNNNNNNNNNNNNNNNNNNNNNNNNNNNNNNNNNNNNNNNNNNNNNNNNNNNNNNNNNNNNNNNNNNNNNNNNNNNNNNNNNNNNNNNNNNNNNNNNNNNNNNUGCAUAAGAGAGAUCAGAAGAAACUCAAAUAAGAUUCAUAGAUGAUCUGAUCAUAAAUCCACAAUUCAUCGGAUCUCGACAAAGAAACCACAAAAGAAGAUUACAUCGGAUAGAUCUCCAUGAAGAUCAUGGAGAACUUUGUAUUGAAGAUCCAAGAGAGAGAAGAAGCCAUCUAGCUACUAGCUAUGGACCCGUAGGUCUAUGGUGAACUACUCACGCAUCAUCGGAGAGUUCAUGGUGUUAAUGCACAAUCCCUCCAUAUCCAAAUCUCCCCUCCGGUAGGGCACCAGAACGUGCCCCAGAUGGGAUCUUGCGGAGACAGAAGCUUGCGGCGGCGGAAAAGUACUUUCGAUGAUCUCCUGAUUUUUCUGGUAUUUUAGGGAAUAUAUAGGUGAAAGACCUAGGGCAGAGGUGGCCCGGGGAGCCCACAAGCCUGGGAGGCGCGGGGCCCCCUGGCUGUGGCUAGGGGGCUUGUGGGGUCCCUGGUGGCCCCCUACCUUGGUUCUCAAGCUUCCCGAUCUUCUUCUGUUUCGGAAAAAAUCUUUUUGGAAGUUCCGAUCCGUUUGGACUCCAUUUAAAAUUCUCCUCUGAAAGGGGUCAAAAACAUGGAAAAAACAGGAACUGGAACUUGGCACCGAGUUAAUAAGUUAGUCCAAAAAAAGAUAUAAAAGGCAUACAAAACAUCCAAUGUUUGACAAGAUAAUAGCAUGAAACCAUCAAAAAUUAUAGAUACGUUGGAGACGUAUCAGGCGCCAUCGCUGGACUGGCAAAGGAGCGGUGUGACGCAAGAUCUGGGGAUGGCGGUUGGAGUUGGAGACCAAGAAAGAAGGGCGAGCAUGGGAUAAGGAAAGCAAUAAUGCACCGGCGCAACAAGCAAGGCUCCUAAUAACACGGCCAUAGACUGAAGACAAUGAAGACUCAACGCCAGCCGCGUGAUGCGUGCCGGCUUGGCCCAUAAGCGUUUAGGGCAUGUGGUGUCUCAGGUCGUCCGAGGGUGUUCGCCUAGAAGCAAUGUGGCACCUCCGCUCAGAGGAAACCGGAACACCCCGUAUUCCAGCCCAAGGACAAGUCUUUUGGAAUAGGGCACCGUUGUCAUAGAACAAAUCCGCUCUUUGAUACUAUGGAAAAGAUUACAAGGAUACAUGGAUUACAUCGCCUUGGCGAUACUACACAUGCCUACGGUAAUUUCUACACUAGAAGCGGAACAAUGACCAAUGUGAUGAACUCCACUCCGCAGGGACCCUGGUUGGAACGUGCAUCCUAGCUCGCAACUCGGAAUCCUCAACAAGCAUUCAUGGCAUGACCUGCAAGCUGGCAGGACACGCCAGGUGAGUACUUUGAAUGUUCUCGCGAUCUAACAACAAACAUCAGCACUAGGGAAGACAACAUCAUAGCAAUCAUGAUUAGGUAAAGAUUUGUUAUCACUACAGGGGUAGUUGAAAAAUAACUAUACGAGGCUACUCUCACCUUACUCUGGUCAUACCAACUCUUGUGAUCUUACUCAGAACCUUUAGCAAAUAUCCCCAAGAAGGACACCAAGACUUGUCACCGGCAUGAUGUCCAACUGUUACCAUACUCAGACGAGUUCUUCCAUCAUUAAUAUCAAGUUACGGUUGACCACCUACUGAGGUCUGGACGGACUGUCCAAUACCGUGGACGCGGCUAUUCGAAUAGAUUUGACACUGUGCAGAGGUUGCACACUUUACCCACAUCAUGGAGUACUGACCUUGUGAUCCCAUUCGGGUGGACCAGUGUUGCUCCAACGAAACUUGUCUGAUCCGUGACUCUUUCAUCGUACCACCGGCAAAUAUCCUCCCCCAGAGUCCUGCCGUGGGUGGCCCUGUGUCCUCAUGACACCUGCCACCGUCAUGGCCAAACUAAACUGUCCCAAAUGGGGACGUGCUCACAAAACAACUCAACUGGCUCACAGGGUUAUCACCGCCUAUCGGGCCAAGGUAGCACGCGUGCAUAACCCUCCUUCUUUGGAGGUACCGGUAAAAGAGCAUGCAAUCAGACCAAGUCAAGGCCGUCCCAUAUCGGCAAAUGUGGUUGCACGGAUAAGCCCGGACAGGUGACUCUCGAUCAACCAACUAAGUAGCUUAUCCCCCAAUAAUAUCUCUGUCAUAGCUGACACUCCGAUAUCAUAAUAAACCAAUAAGCUCAUGCUACUACUAUUGACUCAUAUCCACAAACUGCCGGAUUCAACUCAAAGUAAUCAUNNNNNNNNNNNNNNNNNNNNNNNNNNNNNNNNNNNNNNNNNNNNNNNNNNNNNNNNNNNNNNNNNNNNNNNNNNNNNNNNNNNNNNNNNNNNNNNNNNNNNNNNNNNNNNNNNNNNNNNNNNNNNNNNNNNNNNNNNNNNNNNNNNNNNNNNNNNNNCAACUCAAAGUAAUCAUAGACAGUAAUCUCAACAUCAUGGUAUCAACUAGUGGGUAAGACACUAGUCACCAACAAUCCCGUACUCAACAUAGUAGUCAUCUAUUCGAGAGUUUACUCAAACAUUGCAUGACCUAAUCCAUAUCACGAAUAAUUAUAAUUGUGAUUAGAGUAGUAGGUUAAACUAUGAUAUUGCAUUGUAAUUAUGCAAAUGAUAGUUGUGGUUUGCUUGGGACGACGGAUCCACCGGAAAGAAGUGCGAGAAGCACGCGGAAGGAAUCGUAGGAAACAGCUCUCCCUCGGAGAAGUUGUUUACGGGCGAGGGCAACAUGGUCAUUUCCACCGUGUGAUCACAUAGUGAAAAUGGUACCAUCUUGAGGGGCUCGACGAGACGAAGACGUGGGCUUUGGAAUCACCUCAAUCGCAGUUAUAGAUAAAAAAGAUAUGAUGCAUUUUCUGUCAAGGACUAAUCUGCAAAAUAAAUAAUUGCCAUCGAGUCCCUGACAGCCUGUUUAGUCGCGCACUCCGGGAAAUACGCUUUCCCGUGAGGAAAACGUAAAUACGCCCGAUGCGUUUCCACAUAUCCAGCUGGCGGCACCUCUUCUCAUCGAUAGGUGGGGUCGGGGCCCACCUGUCAGGACUCUCUCUCUCUCUCCUCCCUCCUUCUUCUUCCUCCUGCCUCUUACCCGACGCGUCCAUAAAGGGCUCCGGCCUCGCCGUCACCAGUGAUGAGAGGCCACGGUGGGCUUAGGCGCCAUCGGGGAUGGAUGUGCCGCUCCAUCCCGCGCCCAUGGGUACUCGCGGCGGCAGCAGGGAGGCUCGGGGAAGCUCGGUUAAGAGGGAGGCGGGGCAUGGCUGCGGGUGGAGCAUGGGGAGCUCGCCGAGGUCAGGGAGAGGAAAGAAGGGAGGGUGGAGGGGCUUCGUCGGAGUUCAGGGGCUCCUUGGAUGGUGGUGGGAGGGUGAGAGGGGCUCUGCUGCAGGCCAAUUUAGGAGGAGAAGGCCGGCGACCAUGGCGUCGAUUGGAGAGCAUAAGGGCUUCGGGAGCUCAGGGGAGGGGGUUGGGAGGUUGCUCAUUGGAGGAGGGCUUCGGGGCACGCCUUAUAUAGGCCCGAGGAGAAGCUGCGCGACGGUAGCCGAAGCUCCGAGACGGCGGCUUCGCGACCGCGUCGCAACAGGGCGUCGGGCCCGACCACGGGCUAGGCGACGAGGGGGAGAAGGCUCCGGAGGGCACACGUGUGCGGUGGGGAGCUCUCCGGAGCUCGCGGACAAGCUUGAGCUUGCUGGAGAGGCGCUCCUGUCGUCGCUAAUGCACAGAAAACGAUUUUGGCCUGCUCUCCACGUGGUCACCACGUGCACUACGUGCUCUGGCGUGCUACUGCUCCUCACUCCAUGUCAAACAAACCCCACACUGCUCAAAUGGAUAAGAGGCGAGGGUAGAAUCAACUAGAGGGCUAUGGGGAGGAAGAAAGAUGCUCAAAUAGGAUUUAACAACAAGCUGUUUUGAGUGGGGUGGGGGAGAUCCAGCUGGGGAAAGCUCUAGUUUUUGGCUGAGGGUGAUCACAUACUACGAUGAUUAUUUCUACAAAUUUUCAGCUCAUUUGAAUGAAUAUAAAUAGCACUUGCAGUACAAAGGACUCUACUGGACAAAAUUGCAAAGUAUGAAGUGGCACUCACAUACUUUCUUGGACUAAGGUCAAUUUUGGACGAGAUGAGUUAUUUAGGAUUAUAAAGAUGUUGUAUAAAUUUCAUAUCAUCUGGAUAAACCAAAGUGAUACUUCCUUCACACAACAUCCUGCUGGACAAAAUCCUAGGAGAAUUACUGGGAAUAAUUGGCUAAAUAAAAUGAGCUCAAAAUAGGUUGAGAGAUGUUUUAUAGGUAGGAGAAUGUCCUCGUAAAAUUUCAAAAUUUAUGGAGCAACAUAAAAUAUAGUUGCUUCACAAUCCAAAAUAAUGACCAGAGACAAAGAUUUGAUGUUAUGGUAACAUGGUUGAAGGAGUGAUGCUCAAAUUUGGUGGAGAGGCAUUAUUUGAGCAUAUUGAGAUGCUCGCAAAGUUUCAACUCAUUUGAACACUCCUAGCUAGCACUUGCUUUACAAAGCUCUCUCUGGAUCAGAAACUUUGGAAAUUUGCCCAGAAUUAUUUACUAUCCAAAUGGAGUUGGAUUUUGGCAUGAGGCAAUGAUAUGGAUAGGAAAGAGUGCCCACAAAUUUUGAGAGCAAGCAAGAAAAUAUGAAGGGUACUUGCUUCACAACUUGACAGAUAGGGCAGAAUCGGAAAAGGAAUUUUUGGGAAAUAUUUUUGAACAUGGCCGAGGAAAGAUUCUGUCAUAUCUGAGGAAGAUAUGACCCAAGAGAUUUAUGGGAAUUAUUUGGGAAUUUGUGGAAUGCUAGAAAUGGGGGUUGAUUCACAACCCAGAGCAACAUGAUUAUUCCUUUAAUAGGAAAAAAGGAAUAUUUCCAGGAAAAAGAUUAUUGGGAUUGGCUCAAGAUGGAAAUGACCAGGUCUUGGGAUGGUUUGGAGGUUGGCAAGCCACUAGGGAAGAGGAAUCAAGGAUGAUCCCUUUAGGUUUCAAAACUAUUAAGCCACAGAAAAGCAAAACUAGACCAAAAUCAAAGGAAAAAAGAAAUAGGCAAAAUCCAUGGUGUUACAAACCUACCCCCCUUAAAGAAAUCUCGUCCUCGAGAUUUGGUUGCUCAGGGCUCAGGCAUGAAUAUCUCACUUGAGUAAACCGUUUCCAACUCAGAUUUCCUUUUUUACCUUAGUAUAAUGCUCUCGGUAUCAACUGACUGUUGUGUGGCUUCGGGGUGGUUUGUUUCACUGGAUCCUCAUAUGUUACUCUAACUUCCAUCCGUUUAUGUAUGCUGACUUGAUGGACGGAGGUCCUGGCAGAAAGAUCUUGUUCACGACAGGCUAUCCUUUGACUGAUUCCCAUAUGUGAGGACACAUGCUCCGAGGUUAUUGUCCAACAUUCUGGUCAUUCUGUUUGUCGACAUCUUUAAUUGAAUAGUAGGCCGUGUAACGCUUUAGCACUGUUGCUGCAAUCUAACUAUUGAGUCAUCCUCACAGAUUUGAAUACCCUCUUUUGACUAUUUUGAGCAUAUCUGGUUGGGCUGAGCGAGUUGACUCGAUAUAGGGUCCUUGCAAAUGGAAUAGACCUCAUGGGUGUGUUCCCAUGGUGAUUCAUAUCGAACCAGACUGUUUUGAGCAUAUGUACCAUGUUGAUCUUGCAACCAUUAUCAUACCUGUAUGGGCAAUCUUGCUCUUUUAGUAUGAUUCUAUUUGCCUGGAUCCUUAGUUGAAAGAGCUUGGCCUGAUGUGUUCUUUAUUCUUUGGAUGGCCAUGGGUGCUGCCAGGUACCAUAUUCCGGCAGGCAUAUUACUUCACAAGUUGUAGUUGUAGGGUAACAACCGUUUGAACCCUUGGAUAAAAGUGGCAAAUAAACCAGUAGCCACUAGAACGGUCUUUACAACUCAGAUCUAGGACAUUACUGGAGUAAUUCAACCAAGACUCAAGACGGCUGAAAAGCAGCUCAGAGCAUGAGACAGUGUCGAUAAGAAGAAAGUAGCAGUUCCCUAAGACGGUCGAGAAACAACGCAGAGCAUAGGGUCACUACUACGGAAAGAAAAUCAACAACUGUCCGAGACGGCCGAAAAGCAACUCAGAACACGGGCCAAUUGCUGACAAGAGAAAUAAAAGUUGGCAUCCACCCCAGACGGCCAAAAACAGCUUAGAACACAGGCGUGGUGCCGUCACCAAAGAAAGAUGGGCAAGGGUUCAUCCGUGUCCCAUACAGCUUACCCAUAGGUUGUUGGUCAUCUCACUGAAGUGUAUAACUGGCAUCCUUCUUCUUCUUAUAUAGCUCAUGCAAUAGUCGGAUUCCCACCGGGCUGAUAUUGUUGUAUGAUGGACUCAUAUGGCCUUGGUAGGAUGUCCACCAUAUAUAUUGAGUAUAUGCGGAUGAGCGCUUGAUUCCUAAAGCACGCUUGUGUCUUGACUGGCUAUUUUGCCUUCUGACCAACUGUUGCGGAUUCGAUCCUUGAGAUGCAUGGUCAUAUGCUACCAACUGUCGGUGGAAUAACUUGUACCAGUGAGAAUGUGAUGCCUUCCCAACAGGGUUACUUAGUUCGUCUUGUAUGUCAUCAAGAGUAUCAUGUCAAGGAAGAUCAAGUAUCUUGUGCUCGAUGCUUCUAUCGGGGUAGCUUCUGAAGAAGAUUGGGUACCAUAUCUCAAAUGCUUUCCUUCCUUGAAGACUUGCUGGGUAAGACUUGGUACCUUAUGCCAGAAGCUUGCCAUGAUAACUUACUGGAGAAGCAGGGAUGUCUUGUAUGGCAAAUAUCCGUGUGUCAUAUUGAGGAAGUCACAGAAACCUUGUGUCAUAAGCUUGCGGGGAAAGACUGGGUUGCUUAUACCCGAAGCUUUAUUUUUGCCAUAUGCAAGCUAGGUGCAUGUAUAUAUCCUUAACGUUCCUGUUGUAGGUUACUUGUUGUAUGCAACAGGGUAUUCAGCUAUCCUUCUUGCUGAACACUAGGUUCAUAGUUCCUUCUGGCUUCCUUCCGUAGUAUAGCAGGUUUCCAAUUGUAUUCAUAACAGACUCAACCGUGUAUACGAAUAAUACCUUUGACUCGAAUUGUACACAUCCUUGCCUUCUUGCUGAUUCGGUGAUUGUUGUUGUGAAGGUUGCACCGAUGCAUCCUCGAUGUUGAUAACUCAUCCAGUUAGGAUAUCAUUUUUACUGAGGUCUGAUAUUCCCGGUAUAACGCAGUCUGCCAUAAUUCUAUAUUGCUGAACUGAGCUUCCAAAUGACUAUUUCUUCACUGAUUCUUUGAGUCCAAUGUCGGUGAGCAACUUCCAUAAGGGGAAAUAAGGUAACACCAAGGGCCCAAAGAAAGAAGCAAACGACAAACACAUAAAGCAGCAAGAUCACACACAUGCAAUAUCAUAUUCUACAACUAUUCACAGCAACGAUAUGCAUUCCUACUUAGGCACAAAAAUCUCGCAAGAACUCCGGUACUACGGUCUAACAUGCUGUGGCGGUGUGCACGAAUGUGAAUCAAUGUGUGGAAGGAAGUUGGUGUAAACAAAGCUACACCAAACAAGGGCUUACGCUGGUUCCGUCUGGACGGACACGGUGGCAAGGGCGAACUUGGUGAUCGUGGGUCUGAGCACAGGGGUCUCGACCACGUCAUCAUCAAGCGUACGGAGAAAACCGUACUCGUCCAGAGAAUGGAUGGCAGGGCGGGAUAACGAUGAAAAUAAGGCUUGCGAGCAUUGCCCUUUCGUGAUAAGCAAGAUCAGUAAGGGUUGCCGACACGGCUAGAGGGAUGGGCAAGGUCUGGGAUAGAGUCAUAUCUAUCACCAAAACAAUAGGGCGGCUGAAGAGAAUGAGUUGGUGUGGUACCGGUGCAUUAAUCUGACAAGGAAUAUACACCACCAGGCACCUUGGCAUCACUCCGCUAGGAUGGAUAUAACACCACACCAAGGAACAAGAAUGCAAGCAAGAGAGUGCAUGUGGUUAAUCGAAACCGAUGCCACCGACACUCACCAGAUUCAUCGCUAGUAAUAAAAUAUCUAGUCUAUAUGCAUGCUAUGCUCAAUCAAAUGCAACAAACAAGUGCAACAAUCCAACUAGACCCUAUACUACCGGUUACUAACGUUCGCACGGUCUAGGGCGUCCUACGGCCAGACCUGCUCUGUUACCAACUCUUGUGGCACCCCGGCUCAGAGGAAACCAGAAUGCCCCGUAUUCCAACCCAGGGACACGUCUUCUGGAAUACGACACCGUUGGCAUAGAACAAAUCAGCUCUUUAUUACUAUGGAAAAUAUUACAAGGAUACAUGGAUUACAUCGCCUUGGUGAUACAACACCUGCCUACGGUAAUUUCUACACUAGCAGCGGAACAACGACCAAUGUGAUGAACACCACUCCGCAGGGACUCUGGUUGGAACGCGCAUCCUAGCUCGCAACUCGGAAUCCUCGACAAGCAAUCAUGGCAUGACCUGGAAGCUGAAAUGACAUGCCAGGUGAGUACUUUGAAUGUAAUCGCAAGCUCACAACAAACAUCAACAUUAGGGCAAGACAACAUCAUAUCAAUCAUGAUUAGGUAAAGAUUUGUUAUCACUACACGGGUAGUUGAAAAAUAACUAUACCAGGCUACUCUCACCGUACUCUCAUCAUACCAACUCUUGUGAUCUUACUGAGAACCUUUAGGAAAUAUCCUCAAGACGGACACCAAAACUUGUCACCGGCAUGAUGCCCAACUGUUACCAUACUCAGACGAGUUCUUCCAUCAUUAAUAUCAUAUUUACGGUUGACCACCUACUGAGGUCUGGACGGGCUGUCCAAUAAUGGGACGUGGCUAUUCGAAUAGAUUUGACACUCUCCAGAGGUUGCACACUUUACCCACAUCAUGGAGUACUGAGCUCGUGAUCCCAUUAGGGUGGACCAGUGUUGCUCCGACGAAACUUGUCUGAUCCGUGACUCUUUCAUCGUACCACCGGCAGUCAUCCUCCCCCGGAGUCCUGCCCUGGGUGGCCCUGUGUCCUCAUGACACCUGCCACCGUCGUGGCCAAACUAAACUGUCCCAAACGGAGACGUGCGCACAAAACAACUCAACUGGCUCACGGGGUUAUCACCGCCUACAGGGCCAAGGUAGCACAUGUGCAUAACCCCCCCCCCCUCUUUGGAGGUACCGGUGAAAGAGCAUGCAAUGAGACCAAGUCAAGGCCGCCCCAUAUCAGCAAAUGUGGCUGCACGGAUAAGCUCAGACAGGUGACUCUCGAUCAACCAACUAAGUAGCUUAUUCCCGAAUACUAUCUCUAUCAUAGGUGACACUCUGGUAUCAUAAUAAACCAACAAGCUCAUGCUACUACUUUUGACUCAUAUCCACAAACUGUCGGAUGCAACUCAAAGUAAUCAUAGACAGUAAUCUCAACAUCAUGGUAUCAACUAGUGGGUAAGACACUAGUCACCAACAAUCCCGUACUUUGUUCACACAGCAUCCUGCUGGACAGAAUCUUAGGAGAAUUACUAGGAAUAAUUGGCUAAAUAAAAUGAGCUCAAAAUUGGUUGAGAGAUGUUUUAUAGGUAGGAGAAUGUCCUGGUAAAAUUUCAGAAUUUAUGGAGUAACAUAAAAUAUAGUUGCUUCACAAUCCAAAUUAAUGACGAGAGACAAAGAUUUGAUGCUAUGGUCACAUGGUUGAAGGAGUGAUGCUCAAAUUUAGUGGAGAGGAAUUAUUUGAGCAUAUUGAGGUGUUGGCAAAGUUUCAACUAAUUUGAACACUCCUAGCUAGCACUUGCUUCACAAAACUGCGUCUGGAUGAGAAACUUUGGAAAUUGCCAAGAAUUAUUUAGUAUCCAAAUGGAGUUGGAUUUUGGCAUGAUGCAAUGAUAUGGAUAGGAAAGAGUGCCCACAAAUUUUGGGAGCAAGCAAGCAAAUAUAAAGGGUACUUGGUUCACAACUUGACAAAUAGGGCAGAAUCAGAAAAGGAAUUUUUGAGAAAUAUUUUUGAACAUGGCAAGGAAAGAUUUUGUCAUAUCUGAGGAAGAUAUGACCCAAGAGAUUUAUGACAAUUAUUUGGGAAUUUUUGGAAUGCAAGAAAUGGGGGUUGCUUCACAACCCAGAGCAACAAGGUUAUUCCUUUAAUAGGAAAAAGGAAUAUUUCCACGAAAAAGAUUAUUGGGAUUGGCUCAAGAUGGAAAUGACCAGGUCUUGGGAUGGUUUGGAGGUUGGCAAGCCACUAGGGAAGAGGAAUCAAGGAUGAUCCCUUUAGGUUUCAAAACUAUUAAGCCACAGAAAAGCAAAACCAUACCAAAUCGAAGGAAAACGAAAGAGGCAAAAUCCAUGGUGUUACAAGCCAACCCGAGCGCGUCGUGGACCCGGGAGUUGUUGUCGGCGUUCUAGGAAUGGGGGUACCCAGACCUACCUACAUGUGGCCCAGGGCCGGCCCACUUCAUCAAGCAAGCCAACCGGCUCGACAUCACUCAAGGCAAGGCCCUCGUGAGGGGCCAAGCCUCACGAGGAGGAGCAUCAUCAAGACCCGCAGGGGGCCUCCUCAGGCCCCCUCUGGAGCGGCAGAUAUUCCAAGGCAAGGCCCGGCCUCAGGAGUCAAGGGUGACGCAAGGGAAGGACAGGCGAGCAGUAGACAACAAGGCGGUGCAGUUUCCCCUUUAGUGCAAAGGGGGCAAGGACGGACCGGGGCCCCGAAGGCAUCUUCCAAAGGUUUCCCUUCUGGUGCAACAAGUUCAUCGCCAACCGCCAGCACGACACACGUCAUCCCCGGUCCCAUCCCUGCAGCGUCGGCAGCCACUUUGCAGGCGAAGACCACUUUUGGGCAGGGGAGCAUGUUCCCGUGUUCCCCUUCAAAAUUGGCCACUGCGUAUCCCUUCCCGCCGAAACGAUAGGGGAAGAGGACCGGGCCGCCACUAUAAAUAGAGGAUAGGAUGCUUCACAGGGGGGAUUCGAUUCCCGAACCAUCCAUUCACCCAUUAGCGCCCCAAGAGGUCAUCCAGCCUCCGGAGGCGCCCAAGCAUUGUACUAGUUCAUCCACCAACCUCCACGAGAGGCAAUCCACUAAAGCAGGGGUAGGGUUUUACGCUUUGUAGCGGCCUGAACCUGGGUAAUCUGUCGUGUUCGGUGUUUCCUUCACCAUCGUGUGAGAUUCUAGCCAUCCGAAGCAACUAGCAGGCUAGGUGAGGCAAAUCAGUGAGAGAUCUUCGUACACGCCCCUGAGUUCGAAUCUCUAGGGUUUUGCGGAGCCCGAAAUCCGACAUUUGGUGCGCCAAGUAGGGGGCGUGUCAAGAUCUUCUCCAGGUUGCGUCUCCACCAAGCUUCGCCGGUCCGAUGGUUGACGCUCGCAGGGCUCGCGCUGAACGUCGUGUCGCUUGCGUCGCUCAGAAGGCGCCCGCAGGCCCCGCCGGCGCACGCCGGUCACCAUCUCCCGUGAUGAACGCCACUACGGGACCCGACGCUCAAGAACAACAGGGCUCCUCCCAGCCGGUUACUGAGCACUGCAACGGCCGCACCGCCACUCCAUCGCUCGUCCGGGGCUCCGGGGCGACCUCGCAUGCCCGACCGGAGAUGCCGCAUGACCGGCGCGCGCUCGCCAUGGCCACCGAGCUGCUUCGUUACCGGCCCGCUCCUGACCGCCACCACGUCCGGCUCCAGCGCAUCGAGGAGCUCGUCACUGCCGCCGGUGGCUCUGCGGCACUCUCCUGUUUGUUUCGACCCCAACCGUCCCAAGAAAACAACGAAGAACAUGAUGCACUGCCCCCACCACCAAGGCAAGACGUGCGCCCCGAGCCCAGACAGGAAGCGCGUCCCCGCGGCCAACCUCGCGAGCCUAGGGCGGGGCCAGAAGAUGAAGCCAGCUGUCAGGUGGUCCCUCGGCCUCGCGCCGACGCGCCCGCUCCCCUAGCGCCACAACCCCCACAUCGUGAGCACACCCCGCUCGAAGCAAACCCGAUGGAUCAACAAGAUCCGGCUGCUCCCGCGCGCGUCGCACCCAUCGGGCCAGUGGGAUGCCUCGCCAUCGCCCCUGAACUCUACCCAACUGCGUGGCCCUGCAAGUUCAAGCCCGAUCUACCCCCGCGCUACGAUGGCACCGUGGACCCAACAGAGUUCCUGCAACUUUACACGCUGAGAAUCAGGGUGGCAGGAGGAGGCGACAAGGUCAUGGCGUGUUGGUUCCGCAUGGCGCUCAAGGGUGGCGCACUCUCUUGGCUCCUCAACCUCCCAAAGGUGUCCAUCACCUCGUGGGAUAGCCUGAGCGAGUGCUUCAUCGCCAACUUCCAAGGCACUCGCGACCGCGCCCCAUAGUGAACGACCUGUCGUGCAUCAAGCAGCAAGAGGGGGAGACCUUGCUCAAGUUCAUACAUCGCUUCAGGAUCAUGUUGGAAAUAUGCCCUAGAUGUAAUAAUAAAAUGGUUAUUAUCAUAUUUCCUUGUUCAUGAUAAUCGUCUAUUGUUCAUGCUACAAUUGUAUUAACAGGAAACAGUAAUACAUGUGUGCAUAAAUAGAUCCUGGGUCGAGAGCUGAAGCUAGUUUUUCAAGCUCAUGCCCGUGUCGAGAGAUAUGAAGUCUCCGACAAGUUCUUUAGUUGUAAGAUGGAGGAGAACAGUUCUGUCAGUGAGCACAUACUCAAAAUGUCUGGGUUACACGAUCGUCUGACUUCACUUGGAGUCAAACUUCCGGAUGAUGCUAUAAUUGACAGAAUCCUCCAGUCUCUCCCACCAAGCUACAAAGGUUUUGUGCUGAACUACAACAUGCAAGGGAUGGAGAAGACCAUUCCUAACUUGUACUCGAUGCUCAAGUCUACAGAACUAGAAAUCAAGAAAGAGCACCAAGUGUUGAUGGUCAACAAAACCACUAGUUUCAAGAAGGGCAAGGGUAAGAAGAACUUCAAGAAAUACGGCAAAGCCAUUGCCGCGUCCGGUAAGCCAGAUGCCGGGAAGNNNNNNNNNNNNNNNNNNNNNNNNNNNNNNNNNNNNNNNNNNNNNNNNNNNNNNNNNNNNNNNNNNNNNNNNNNNNNNNNNNNNNNNNNNNNNNNNNNNNNNNNNNNNNNNNNNNNNNNNNNNNNNNNNNNNNNNNNNNNNNNNNNNNNNNNNAGCCAGAUGCCGGGAAGAAGAAAAAGAAUGGACCCAAGCCUGAGACUGAGUGCUUCUAUUGCAAGGGAAAAGGUCACUGGAAGCGGAACUGCCCCAAAUACUUAGCGGACAAGAAGGCCGGCAACGUUAAAGGUAUAUGUGAUAUACAUGUUAUUGAUGUGUACCUUACCAGCACUCGUAGUAGCUCCUGGGUAUUUGAUACCAGUGUUGUUGCUCACAUUUGCAACUCAAAGCAGGAACUGCGGAAUAAGUGGAGACUGGCCAAGGACGAGGUGACAAUGCACGUCGGGAAUGGCUCCAAGGUCGAUGUGAUCACCGUCGGCACGCUACCUCUACAUCUACCGUCGGAUUAGUUUUAAACCUUAAUAAUUGUUAUUUAGUACCAGCUUUGAGCAUGAAUAUUGUAUCAGGGUCUUGCUUAAUGCGAGACGACUACUCAUUUAAGUCAGAGAAUAAUGGUUGUUCUAUUUAUAUGAGUGAUAUGUUUUAUGGUCAUGCUCCACUGGUGAAUGGUUUAUUCUUGAUGAAUCUCGAUCGUGAUGUUACGCAUAUUCAUAGUGUGAGUAUCAAAAGAUGUAAAGUUGAUAAUGAUAGUCCCACAUACUUGUGGCACUACCGCCUUGGUCAUAUCGGCGUUAAGCGCAUGAAGAAGCUCCAUACUGAUGGACUAUUAGAGUCUCUUGACUUUGAAUCAUUUGACACAUGCGAACCGUGCCUCAUGGGCAAGAUGACUAAGACUCCAUUCUCAGGAAUAAUGGAGAGAGCAACCGACUUAUUGGAAAUAAUACAUAUUGAUGUGUGUGGUCCAAUGAACGUUGAAGCUCGCGGUGGCUAUCGUUAUGUUCUCACUCUCACCGAUGAUUUGAGUAGGUAUGGGUAUAUCUACUUGAUGAAGCACAAAUCUGAGACGUUUGAAAAGUUCAAGGAAUUUCAGAGUGAGGUUGAGAAUCAACGUGACAGAAAAUUAAAUGUCUACGAUCUGAUUGUGGAGGAGAAUAUUUGAGUCACGAGUUUGGCACACACCUAAGGAAGUGUGGAAUCGUUUCACAACUGACGCCGCCUGGCACACCGCAACGCAACGGAGUGUCUGAACAUCGUAAUCGCACUUUAUUAGAUAUGGUACGAUCUAUGAUGUCUCUUACUGACUUACCACUCUCAUUUUGGGGAUACACAUUAGAAACUGCAGCAUUCACUUUAAAUAGGGCACCGUCUAAAUCCGUUGAGACGACACCGUAUGAACUAUGGUUUGGCAAGAAACCUAAGUUAUCAUUUCUUAAAGUUUAGGGCUGCGAUGCUUAUGUGAAGAAACUUCAACCGGAAAAGCUCGAACCCAAAGAGGAGAAAUGCGUAUUCAUAGGAUACCCUAAGGAAACUAUUGGGUAUACCUUCUAUCUUAGAUCCGGAGGUAAAACCUUUGUUGCCAAGAACGGAUCCUUUCUAGAGAAAGAGUUUCUCUCGAAAGAAGUAAGUGGGAGGAAGGUAGAACUUGAUGAGGUAAUUACACCCCCUCUCAAACAGGAUAGUAGCGCAGCGCGGGAAAUUGUUCCUGUGGCGCCUGCACCAACUGAAGAGGAAGUUAAUGAUAAUGAUCAUGAAGCUUUGGAUCAAGUUACUACUGAACCGCGAAGGUCCACAAGGGCACGGUCCGCACCAGAGUGGUACGGCAACCCUGUGAUGGAAAUCAUGUUGUUAGACAACGGUGAACCUUCGAACUAUGAAGAAGCAAUGGCGGGCCCGGAUUCCAACAAAUGGCUUGAAGCUAUGAAAUCCGAGAUAGGAUCCAUGUAUGGGAACAAAGUAUUGACUUUGGUGGACUUGCCCAAUGACUGGCGAGCCAUAGAAAAUAAAUGGAUCUUCAAGAAGAAGACUGACGCAAACGGUAAUGUAACCGUUUAUAAAGCUCGACUUGUCGCAAAGGGUUUUCGACAAAUUCAAGGAAUUGACUACGAAGAGACUUUCUCUCCCGUAGCGAAGCUGAAAUCAGUUCGAAUCAUGUUAGCAAUUGCCGCCUUUUAUGAUUAUAAAAUUUGGCAAAUGGACGUCAAAACAGCGUUCCUUAACGGGAACCUUAAGGAAGAGUUGUAUACGAUGCAACCAGAAGGUUUUGUCAACCCUAAGGGUGCUAACAAAGUGUGCAAGCUCCAGCGCUCCAUCUAUGGGCUGGUGCAAGCAUCUCGGAGUUGGAACAUUUGCUUUAAUGAGGUGAUUAAAGCAUUUGGGUUCAUACAGGUUUAUAGAGAAGCCUGUCUGUACAAGAAAGUGAGUGGGAGCUCUGUAGCUUUCCUCAUACUGUAUGUGGAUGACAUAUUAUUGAUGGGGAAUAAUAUAGAGAUGUUGGGGAGCAUAAAGGCCUAUUUUAACAAGAGUUUUUCAAUGAAGGACCUUGGAGAAGCUGCAUACAUAUUAGGCAUCAAGAUCUAUAGAGAUAGAUCGAGACGCCUCAUAGGUCUUUCACAAAGUACAUACCUUGACAAGAUAUUGAAGAAGUUCAAUAUGGAAAACUCAAAGAAAGGGUUCUUGCUAGUUUUGCAAGGUAUGAGAUUGAGUAAGACUGAGUCACCGACCAUGGCAACAGAUAGAGAGAAGAUGAGUUCUGUCCCCUACGCUUCAGCCGUAGGCUCUCUUAUGUAUGCCAUGUUGUGUACCAGACCUGAUAUAAACCUUGCCAUAAGUUUGGUAGGGAGGUACCAAAGUGAUCCCGGUAUGGAACACUGGACAGCGGUCAAGAAUAUCCUUAAGUACAUGAAAAGGACUAAGGAAAUGUUUCUCGUUUAUGGAGGUGAUGAAGAGCUCGUCGUAAAGGGUUACAUCGACGCUAGCUUCCACAUAGAUCCGGAUGACUCUAAGUCACAGACCAGAUACGUAUAUGUUUUGAAUGGUGGGGCAGUGAGCUGGUGCAGCAGCAAGCAAGAAGUCGUGGCAGCAUCUACAUGUGAAGCGGAGUACAUAACUGCUUCAGAAGCGGCUCAUGAAGGAAUUUGGAUGAAGGAGCUCAUCACCGACCUUGGAGUGGUUCCAAGCGUGUCGGGUCCAAUGACACUCUUCUGUGAUUACACUGGGGCCAUUGCCAUAGCCAAGGAGCCCAGGUUGCACCGGAAGAUGAAGCACAUCAAACGCCGCUAUAACUCCAUCCAGGACCAUGUCCAGAGUGGAGUAACAGAGAUUUGUAAAGUACACACGGAUCUGAAUGUUGCACACCCGUUGACUAAACCUCUUCCACGAGCAAAACAUGAUCAACACCAUAAUGCUAUGGGUGUUCGAUACAUCACAAUGUAACUAGAUUAUUGACUCUAGUGCAAGUGGGAGACUGUUGUAAAUAUGCCCUAGAGGCAAUAAUAAAAUGGUUAUUAUCAUAUUUCCUUGUUCAUGAUAAUCAUCUAUUGUUCAUGCUAUAAUUGUAUUAACAGGAAACAGUAAUACAUGUGUGAAUAAAUAGAUCACAAUGUGUCCCUAUCAAGCCUCUAGUUGGCUAGCUCGUUGGUCAAUAGAUGAUCAUGGUUUCCUGGUCAUGGGCAUUAGAUGUCAUUGAUAACGGGAUCACAUCAUUAGGAGAAUGAUGUGAUGGACAAGACCCAAUCCUAAGCAUAACAUUAGAUCGUAUUGUUCGUAUGCUAAAGCUUUUCUAAUGUCAAGUGUAUUUUCCUUCGACCAUGAGAUUGUGCAACUCCCGAAUACCGUAGGAGUGCGUUGGGUGUAUCAAACGUCACAACGUAACUGGGUGACUAUAAAGGUGCACUACGGGUACCUCUGAAAGUGUCUGUUGGGUUGGUACGAAUCGAGAUCGGGAUUUGUCACUCCGUGUGACGGAGAGGUAUCUCUGGGCCCACUCGGUAGAACAUCAUCAUGAGCUCAGUGUGACUAAGGAGUUAGUCACACGAUGACGUGCUACGGAACGAGUAAAGAGACUUACCGGUAACGAGAUUGAACAAGGUAUAGGUAUACCGACGAUCGAAUCUCGGGCAAGUUCUACACCGACAGACAAAGGGAAUUGUAUACGGGAUUGAUUGAAUCCUUGACAUCGUGGUUCAUCCAAUGAGAUCAUCGUGGAGAAAGUGGGAGCCACCAUGGGUAUCCAGACCCCACUGAUGGUUAUUGGCCGGAGAGGUGUCUCGGUCAUGUCUGCCUGUCUCCCGAACCCGUAGGGUCUACACACUUAAGGUUCGAUGACGCUAGGGUUAUAGGGAAUUGUUAUACGAGUUUAUAGAAAGUUGUUUGGAGUCCCGGAUGAGAUCCCGGACGUCACGAGGAGGUCCGGAAUGGUCCGUAGGUAAAGAUUGAUAUAUAGGACGGAUGGUUUUGGACACCGGAAGUGUUUCGGGGGUCACGGUAACGUACCGGGACCACCGGGACCAUUGGAAGUGGCCGCGGGGGUCCACCGGAAGGGGGCCACGACCCCGGGAGACUAGAUGGUCCAAGUGCGGGAGGGAACCAGCCCCUAGGUGGGCUGGUGCGCCCCCACACUCAGCCCAUGGUGCAAGAAGAGGGGACAGGGGGGACCCUAGCGCAGGUGGGCCUAAGGCCCACUAGAAGGGUGCGCCACCCCUCCUCCCCUCCUGGCCGCCACACCUCCUCCCCAUCUAGGGCUGCUGCCCCUCCCAGGAGAGGGAAACCCUCAAGGGGGCGCAGCCCCUCCCUUCCCCUAUAUAUAGUGGGCACUUUGGGCUGUUGGAGAAAACCAAUCUUCCAUCUCCCUCGGCGCAGCCCUGCUCCUCUUUCUCCUCCUCUCUGCCAGUGCUUGGCGAAGCCCUGCCGGGAGACCUCGUCUCUCCAUCGACACCACGCCGUCGUGCUGCCGGAGAUCUUCCCCAACCUCUCCUUCCUCCUUGCUGGAUCAAGGUGCGGGAGACGUCACCGGGCUGCACGUGUGUUGAACGCGGAGGUGUCGUGGUUCGGCACAAGAUCGGAAUCACACCGCGAUCUGAAUCGCCGCGAGUACGACUCCAUCAACCGUGUUCUAGCAACGUUUCCGCUUAGCGAUCUUCAAAGGUAUGAAGAUGCCCUCGCCCCUCUCUCAUUGUUGGUCUCUCCAUAGGAAGAUCUGAAUAUGGCGUAGGAAAAUUUUGAAUUUAUGCUACGUUACCCAACAGAUCAUGCGCCUCAAGAUCCCUAAGGCGUCGAACGAGGCCGUCAUCUCAGCCGUCUUUGACGGAGUCACCGACCUCAAGAUGAAGGAGGAGCUCGCCAUAAGUGACGAAAUGAGCACCGCACUAGAGAUGUUCAACCUGGCAAACAAGUGCGCGAGGGCUGAGGAAGGUCACCUGUCUCUCCUCGUGCCUCAGGCGGCGGAACCAAAGGAGAAGAAGGCCAAGACCAAGGAGAUGAAGCGCAAGGCCCCUGUGGUGCUCGCAGUCGAGCCUGAGGCAAAGUACGGCCGAGGAGGAGAGCACCCGUCAGGAGGGGGCCAAUGUGCAUCUUCCAUGGCACUAGCGUCCAUGACAGAUCUGAGUGCCAAGAGCUCCGGCUGGCCCGUGCAAUGCAUUUCAGUAGGCGCCCUAGGCGGGGAGACAGAAGCCCCGCCCACGACGGAGGCUGCGAAGGAGGCCGCUGGGACGACCGAGAGACGCGUCAGGGGUGGCACGAGCAACCCCAUGAGGACUGUUGCCAUGGCCAGGCUCACGAGGACCGCUCGCAUGACGACCCUCAGGAGUGACAACAACGCGGCCAGCCUCAUGAGGUCCGCCCUCGUGAGGCUGGGCUGCCUCCUCUGCCUCCGCCACCCUAGAGGAGAGAUGAAGAUAGGCAGGACGAAGCGGCUGGGGCUUCAAGGAGGUCAGGGCGGUGGCCUCCAUCUUGGGCGGCGCCCAGACCCCAGCCUCCAAUCGCGCCUUCAAGCAGUUCGCACGGGAGGUGAAUGCCGCUUUCCCGAAGCGUGAACCGAUGCGCCCCCUCAACUAGUCCCAGAUCACCAUCGCCUUCGAUCCCAUCGAUCAGCUUAGGUCCUCGUUCAUGGCCGGCAGUCUCCCCAUGAUGUGCACCCCGACCAUCAGCAACAUCCUCGUAACCAAAACCCUUAUUGACAGUGGAGCGAGGCUCAACGUCCUCUCGGUCGAGACCUUCGAGAAACUCCAGCUGCCAUACGCACAACUCCUGCCAACAAGCCCUUCUCAGGAGUCACGGAGGGGUCCACCAUAAGGGAAGAGGACCGGGGCCGCCACUAUAAAUAGAGGAUAGGUUGCUUCGCAGGGGGGAUCCGAUUCCCGAACCAUUCAUUCACCCAUUAGCGCUCCGCAAGGUCAUCCAGCCUCUGGAGAUGCCCAAGCACUGUACUUGUUCAUCCACCGACCUCCACGAGAGGCAAUCCACUAAAGCAGGAGUAGGGUUUUAUGCUUCGCAACAGCCCAAACCUGGGUAAACUAUCGUUUUCGGUGUUUCCUCACCAUCGUGUGAUAUUCUAGCCAUCCGAAGCGAGUAGCGAGCUAGGUGAGGCGAAUCAGUGAGAGAUCUUCGUACACGCCCCUGAGUUCGAAUCUCUAGGGUUUUGCGGAGCCCAAAAUCCGACAGGUGGACCGGCCCUCCAUAGACCAUGGGAGGAGGAACACACGCAAAUGCAUUUGCCCCACUUGUUCCUUGAGGCGUUUUAUCCUUUCCACUACUAGCAUUUUCCUUUUCGGAAUUGCCCCCCGAAUCUGAAGUUGUGGGAGACACCAACAACGGGUCAGUGGGCGGUUUGUAAAUAUCAAGGAAAUCCUUAAGCAUGUUUUUUUACUUCGAUAGCCAUUGAGGAUUUAAAUGUGGAUAUGACCUCAUUUAAUUCUUCUUGGGUGACCGAGUUUGCAGCAGCUCCCUCGGGCACCUCCUCAAUCCAUUCCCCGUCGUCAACCAUACUCUUUGGGUGGUGAAACCCUUAAUAAAGAAACCUGGAUCUGAUACCAAUUGAAAGGAUUGAUAUGGUUGACUAGAGGGGGUGAAUAGGAAACUAACAAAUUUUAAGUUUUCUUUAAACAAAUUAGGUUUAGCAACAAAUAGGUUGUCUAGAUAUGCAACUAGGUGAGAAACCUAUAUGAUGCUAACAACAACAAUAAUAAGCAAUAAGUAAAUACAAGUAAAGGUAAGAAAUAACCACAAGUGGAACCGAUGAAGACGAGGAUGUGUUCUCGAAGUUCUUUCCCUUUGAGGGGAAGUACGUCUCCGUUGGAGCGGUGUGGAGGCACAAUGCUCCCCAAGAUGCCACUAAGGCCAUCGUAUUCUCUCCACGCCCUCACACAAUGCAAAGUGUCAUGAUUCCACUAAGUGGUGCCCUUGAAGGUGGCAACUGAACCUUUACAACAAGGUUGGGCUCUCUCCACAACUCAAUUGAAGGCUCCCAACAAAACCACGGAGCUUCACCACAAUGGAAUGUGGCUCCGAGGUGACCUCUUCCAUCUAGGGUGCUCAAACACCCAAGAGUCACAAAAUCCACACAAGAACUUGGGGAAAUCGAUUUUCCUUUGGUAGAAGUGUAGAUCUAGGUGUCCUCCUUCAAUCGAUUUUCCUUGGGGAGGAGGAAGAAAGCUCUCCUUAUAUAGCCCCCCCCCCUAGAUUUCUAAGCGUUACAACCAUUUUACAUUGGCCGGUACAACCAGUUGCCAGGCCAGUACAACCGGUCUUCCUAUAUUAGCGGGACAACCAGCCAACCACCGCCCAACAACCGGGUGAAAACAGAAAGUUGGCCCUGAGGUUCCACCAGCCACGACCGCUAGGCGUGACUAAGUCCCAAGCGGUACAACCUCUUCGAACACCGGUAGUACCGGCUAUAAUUAAUAUAGCGGUACAACCGGGCUACCACCGCCCAACAACCACAGUGAAACAAAGUCGUGACUAGUUGUGGACCGGUGCAGGGAUGGUACAACCGCCCAGGUGUUGAGCGGUACAACCGCCCAUGGCGGCGGUAUGACCGGUCAGUUAGAAAACCAGGGGACUCUCUCUCAAUGACGCGAUGGAACGAGAUGGGUGCAAAAAGUGUGUGAGAAGAAUUGAUUCACCCAUAGACUUCCAAUGUGUAUUCCCUCUUAAUAGUACGAGAUCCCUACGACCAAAGAGAAUAAAUACGUAGGGAAAACAUCUUCGAUCUUUUCCGUUUCGAGGGAAUAUCUAACCGUCUUGUGUCUAGCAUAUGAUACCUACAUACUUGACAUCCGAUUAGAUAACAUAGUGAGUUGUCAUCAUCACCAAAACACUUAAGCUGGAGAAUGCCCUUACAGCGGGGAGCAAUAUACUUGGAGGCAUGCUCUCAUGGACUGCCCAAUGGUGCACAACACUUGGGCCCUAUCCUCUGAUGGGAUCAUUGAUCAACUAAGCUCUCACGAACAAGAAUGCGCAAAGACAUGGAUUAUUGCUAUGCUGACAACUUUGUCUACUCAUGAGUUCGUCAAGUUUUCAGCAUCCCUUUGGGCCAUAUAGGGAGCACGCAGGAAAGCAAUCUAUGAAGAUGUCCACAAGACACCAUAUAAUGUCCAUAGCUUCAUCAUCAGUUACUUGGUGGAGUUACAAGCAAUCAUCCAUUCAACACCGGCCUGGAACGAGGCGGAGGCUCAGCCUUCUAGCUGGUUAGCGCGAGCUGAGAAUCAUGCAACGCUCAAUGUGGACACUAUAGUCAGACCUGUGAGGCAUUUAGGUGCGAUUAGCAUCGUUUGCAGGAGCUACUCCGGAAUUUUUCUUGGCGCGCUUGCUAUGGUUUUCUGCAUUGAUGAUCCUGCGACUUUAGAGGCCUUAGCUAUACGCGAAGGCCUAGCGCUGUCUAUGGACCUAAAUCUAACACAUAUCCACAUGGCCUCUGAUUGCGAAGGAGUUGUGCAGGAAAUCAAGCACGGGAGUGGAUCCAACUAUGGAGCUAUUAGCCAGGAGAUCAAGAAACAACUACCUACCUCUACUUCUUGUAAUCUAGUUCAUGAAUUUAGGACCUCGAAUGUUGAGUCUCACAACUUAGUGAAACAUGCUCUAAGGUUGGGACCUGGUCGCCAUGUUUGGUCAGGCCAGCCGAAUGGUAUUCCAUUCGUUCGUGUAAACAUUGUGACGGUUUGAAUAAAGUUUCGCGAGGUUGUCUCAAAAAAAACAUAGCAAAGGCAGCUCGGCCGACCCAUCUCGCCGUCGCGCCCAUUACGACCGCUCGUACAUCUUUCAUUGAGAGUGAUAUAAUAGUUCUUGCUAAUUACAAGCUAUGAUCUAGGUCGGCCCGAGCGAUUUAACGAGCCAUGUAAACCCUAAGGGCAUGUACAAUGGUUGAUACGAUGGUCUUAUCUUAAGUCUUGCAUGUAAUUUAGAGAUGACAAAAAAAGAGUGUCUACAAUGGGUCAUCCCUUAGCCUUAUCUUCAAUAACUAGUCAUUCCUAAAAAUGAGGCGAGACAUAUUGUGCUAAGAGAUCAUCUCAUUUCUUCUCUUAAAUAAGAGAAGAAAAAACUUUUCUUAUGAGUUCUCUCUCCUCCACCUCAUCAUUUAUCCUAUGUGGCACUCAUAAGAUAUCACCAUUGUACAUGCCCUAAGGGCAUAUCCCGCCAUUUGCCCCCUCAAGGGCUGAAAUAGCACCGUUCGGGAGCGAACCGAUGCUAAAAUCGGCUUAGGGCGCUCGGGUUUCCAACCGCUCCCCCAAGGCCGCCCCCAUACGCCAAUUUUCAAAUCGAAAUCAGACCAAAUUCGAAGUAAUUUGGGUGAUUUUGGAUGAAAUUUAGAUGAUUUCAUUAAAAUUUCUACAAAACUAAAAAAACAUGAAAACAUAAAAAACUGUCGCUGCCGAGCCGCUAGUCUAGUUCAUGCCGAGGAGCUGGUAGAAGGCGGUGUAGUCACCGCUGCCGUCGUCGUCGUCCUUUGCGCCACCAUCCUGCGAUGUCCUUGCUUCAGCCUUGCCCUGGAUCGCCGCUUCGAACGAGGGCGGUCUGCGCUGGCGUUUCUUCAUCAUUGUCGUCGAGGACGAUGACGCCGCCCUUUUCUUGAACGCAGUGCCAUGUGGCAAUCUCCUCCACAGCGUAGCGCUAGCGCUCCAUUUCCUCCCGAACGUAGUCGUCGUGCGAUCACUUCAGGCCAGUGUCCAGGUCGACGGCCAUCUCGAUGUGCUCCUGCUUGAAGGCCACUAGCGGCGUCGCCGGCCCCUUCUCCUUCUUUGGCUUGACCAGUCGAAGGUGGCCGCAGGAAGGCGAAGGUUGGCGAUGGCCCUCGUUUAUGAUGAGGUUGCUGCCACGGUUGCGACGUUGCUCCGACGUCUCCUGGGGCUCAGCCUUCACGAUGGUGAGCGACGGUGUCGUGCCGGAGAAGCGAGAGGAGGACGAGGUGGAGGACCCCGCCAUUCGCCUUCGCAGUCAUGAGAUGCCGCUCUGGCGCGAGUAUGACUACGCCGGGUACUCCGACGGUGGCUCAUUGACGCCCUCGAUGUGCUCGAGGACAGCGUGGAACGUGCGCCCGGGGAUGCCCCAUCACUCACGGCAACCGUCAGAGUCAUGGCACCCCCUUGGCACCGAAAACCCGUUGGUGGUGGCAAGCUGGUCGGCGAGGCAGCCGUGAAAGUACGUCGUCCAGAGAGGGAGGUUGUCGGCUGCGUACCUUUCUUUGUGUCAUGCAUGCUCCGACAAAGAGGCGCGGAUGCGUGCCAUCUCGCCACGGCGUUCUGCGGCGUAUGGUGAAGGGGGCAUGGGAACUCCUCCGGCGCUCGACCUCUAGGCGCCCGGCACAUGCAUGUUUGGCGGCGUCGGGUAGUUGGCCUUGUGGAGGACUCACGCCUCCCAUUUGUGCAGCGACCGACGACCGGAGCUGUUGGCGGCUGCUCCAUCGCCGGGGAAUCGCUUUGCCAUGGUUUCAGGAAGAAAACUGACGACGGAGACGAGAGAGAUUGGAGAAGAGGAUGGUGGGGCGAGUGUGCAGUGAGCGGCGGCGACACACGGCUUUUAUAGCGGGGAAGGAGCGGGAGCGGUGUGCCAUCACUCGCCGCCACACCUUUGAAUCCAGCGCAUUGAAUCGAUGUGUGAGCCAAGGCGACGAGGUGGACGAACGUUCUAGACGACGCCAAUCUCGCUAACUCGACGGGUCCACGCGGGAGGGAUUUGGCGCAUUGUUUUCGCGCCAAAUUUCUUUCCCCUGGUGUCCCCGCGCGCUGGGUUCGGCAUAGUUCCGUCGGUGUCAAUUUUGGCCCAAAACGCGCGAUACAACAAAUCGUUUUUUGCGCCGGCGUAAAAAAAGGGGCUUGGGAGGCGUGUUGGGGAUGCUGGUGGAGAUGCCCUAACCCUUACGAACAAUUGUCCGUCCGGUUUUACAAACUUUGCCUAGUUUUGGAAAAUACGUGCAUUUUAUCUAACUAGUUUAUAUUAUGUAUUCUCAUUCAUUAUUCUUUUUUCAUUUUUUGUUUGUUUGUUUGUAUUCCUUUUUUUAUUUUAGAUACAUGUUGAAUGUUUUCUAAAAAAAAUACAUGAACAAUUUUGAAACUAAUGUGAAUAUUUUUUAAACACAUGUUGAACAUUUUUCAAACAUGAGGUGAUUUUUUAAAAAACCCAUGGUCAAGAUUUUUAGAAUAUAUGUAUAUUUCUAAAAUGUUGGAAAUAUUUACAAAUUCACAGACAAUCAUUUAAUUAGUAGACUUUUUGAAAUUCAUAAAUAGUUUUCAAAAUCAUAAACAUUUUUGAAAUUACAUGACAAUUGUCUAAAAAAAUCCUGAUGCAUAUAUUUUUAAAUAUGCAAUGCUGUAAAAAUAUCCUAGGAUUUGUUUUUGUUUAACAGAUAUUUCACAAAUAAAUAUGUGAUUUUUUGAAAGAAGCAUGGAAAAUACAAGUGAUUUUCGAACCCAAGGACACUAAAAACCUUAAACGGGGAAAGAUAUUUUUAUUAAUGCCAACGUAUACACUAUUGCUACCUAACACAGGGCAAAUCACAUUUUCGCUAAAAUAGAUCAUACCAUGUGCAGUAUGAAUAAAAAUCAAAGAGAAGAAAACCGAGAGUCACUAACCAGCANNNNNNNNNNNNNNNNNNNNNNNNNNNNNNNNNNNNNNNNNNNNNNNNNNNNNNNNNNNNNNNNNNNNNNNNNNNNNNNNNNNNNNNNNNNNNNNNNNNNNNNNNNNNNNNNNNNNNNNNNNNNNNNNNNNNNNNNNNNNNNNNNNNNNNNNNNNNNNNNNNNNNNNNNNNNNNNNNNNNNNNNNNNNNNNNNNNNNNNNNNNNNNNNNNNNNNNNNNNNNNNNNNNNNNNNNNNNNGGGGGGGGGGGGGGGUUUAAUGUAUAUUUGUUGUACAUGUUUUCAGGUUUUAGAAGGAUUUUUUACGUCUCCAGUUUUUGUGUGAUUUCCUCUAGGUUUUUGGAAAAAUGUUUCUACAAGAAGGACGAUUGUGUUUCUUGUGAAAACAUAGAUUUGCUUUCAUGAGAAGUAUAACUCUGCUUUUACUUGAAAGAGCUUUGCUACACCUACAUAUACUUUAUGUAAUCAUUACGGGAUGAGCAUGGUUGGAGGGUCGGAAUUAAACUUAAUGGGCAGGCCCACACGAUGAAAUUGGGGGGGGGAUUUAAUGUGGACGAAUCAUCCCUCCCAAAGGUCGGCAUUGAGGGUGACAUUAUUGUACUCGAAAAGGGAAAAUAACUACUGUGAUUCUACGAGAAGCAAAACCAUGCUUUCGCGAGAAGCAUAACGUGUGCUUACUUAAAGAAGUAAAGAAAACACAACAUGUCCUUUUAAAAAAGUCAAAAAUCGCAACCGUACUUCCGGAGUCUGCUAUAUGGGGUUUUGUUUUUUCAGGUUUUCAUGGGAAAAAGAUAGUUGAAACCUAUUAACAUGGAUCUACUUUUGACUAACUUAUCAUUAGUGUUUGAUUGGUAGUCAGUCAUUGGGCAUUAAAGCAUGAUAAUUUGCAUGAAGUGAUAACUUUCUCCCAAGGCGAGACACAGUGUAUCAGUCCAUAGAGAUAAGACCUCAAGUCUCAAGCAAGCAGUACUGCAAUUAGGGGGUGUUUGUUUACAUGGACUUUUUGGUGUAGGGACUAAAAAAAGUCUCUUUUAGUCCCAUGCGAAACAAACAUGAGGGACUUUUAGGGACUAAAAGGGGGUAUUUGGGACUAAAGGAAGAAGUCCACGUGGGAGGGUCUUUUUGGGACUUUUUCCCACCGUGCCCCGCACCGCACCUUAUCCGUCCGCUCGCUCGUCCAUGCCCAUUGGCUCGCUCGCUCCUCCCUCCCAUCCGUUCGCUCCUCCCUCCCAGUCGCUCGCUCCUCCCCUCCCCCACCGCCAGUGUCCUGAGAAGCCGCUGCCGUCAUGGCCACAGAUGAAGACAACGAGACGCAGUUCUUCUCUCAGUUUCCCUCGCAUCAACGGGCAUCCCAGAGCUCAUCCACCGGCGGAAAUCUGGGGAGGGGAAUUGGUUUUUUGGAUCUCAACAUCAACAUCGACGACUUCCCCGAGCUGGGCUCGUACCAGCAGCUCCUCCUUGACGAGCCGGACGUUCAUGAUUCUCCUCCGAUUGGGCCUGGUCGUGGGAGGUCUGUUUCCCAGGGAAGAGGAGGCCUGACCUGGUCUGUGAGCCGCUCACAUGCGUCCAUUCGUCGCCCCCGGGCGCAACUGCCAUUGGCGGAGGCGUCAGAGGGCGUGGGAGGUCCGUGUCCCAGGGCACUGGAUGCGGUGUAGGCCGAGCCCGUGGUGCCUCAUCGACCGGCAUUCGACUCGUCGCACGUCGGGGCUUUUCCAUCUCUCAGGUUGCAAGCCGGCAACGAGCAUCGUCAUCUCCUACGCCUUCAGAAGAUGCGGACGACAGCGAAGGCUUUGAAGAUGGAGACGACAACGGCUAUGGGAGAGGUAUAAAUUUCUCGUUCGUAUGCAUAUUCAGCUUUCUGUCUACAAGGAAAAGAGUUGUGCAAAUUCAUCUUCUUUUUGUUUAGAAAAUCAUUGCCAAGGCUGAUUGGAUAGACAAGAAUGUUAUUGUUUUUUUGUAACAUUGCCUGUGAGGAAGAUAGGGAUGGGCACUGUGUGAAUGGUACUUGGACAACUAAAGCCUAAAAGAAUAUGAAGACAAAAUUUUAUCAUCACACUGGACUCCUCCAUAGUACCAAGCAAUUCAAAAAUUGUUUAACUAAACUGAAAAACUAAUAUAGUGCUUGGGUGUGGUUGGGGCAGCAAACAGGUUGUGGUCGAACUAGAGACAGAGUUAUAACAACCUCAACUGAGUGGUGGAACAAAAAAUUAAGGUAUAUUAUUCUGCAAAUUACAGUUGCAUUGCUCACACUCCUACAUUUAUCCUUGUCCUAAUUACCUAACUAAUGCUACAAGAGAGACCAUAUGUCAGAAAAUUCAAGGGUGGCAAUCCUGAUUAUUUGGAUAUGCUUAUAGAGCUAUUCCAAGGUGUGGCAGUUGAUGGAUCAUCAACUUAUGUGCCCAUAGAUGAAGAGGAGGAAGAAGAGUAUGUUGCUACCGAUGAUGCACAUGAGGAGAGUCCAAUGAGCACCACCAGCAGGAAGAGGGGAAGCAGCGGCGCUGAACAGUUAGCAUCAAGCCCAGGCAAGAAACACAAGAGCCCAAUAGUGAAACUAAUGACAGGGCUGAUCAAUAAUAUGAAGAGUGAGAACACUUAUGACAUGAUCACUGAAUAUGCAAACAAAAGGCAGGAAGCAAAGGACAAGGCAAAAGAGAAGAAAUCAAACAACAUUAAAUAAUUUAUUGCUCAUUGUGAAUUGUUGGUAGUUCAAUGUGGUGCAGAUGAAACAAGUGUUGAGUAUUUCAUGGCAACUCAACUGUUUGCAGAUGAGGAAAACAGAGUCAUAUUUCAGAACAUUUCAAGUAGUGAGGCUAGACUGACUUGGUUGAAGAGGUGGUGCAUGAUGAAGAAGUUGUACUAGUGUACUAGUGUUCUUUUUCUAAUAUAACUAUGUAAUGGACCUGUAGCGUGUGACCUUGUUAAAUGAUCAUUGCAUUUUGUGUGUUUCAUAAUGUUUGUUGGGUGAAGAGGUGGUGCAUGAUAAAGAAAGUUGUACUAAUGUUUGCAUGUUUCAGGAUGAUGGCAGCAGUGCAGAUGAUGGCAGCAUCGCUGAUGAGAGCAGUAGUGAUGAUGAAGCACCGAUGUUGUUGAUGCACCAAAAAAGGAAGAGAAGAAUGUUGUAGAUGGCUUGCAUGGUUGGUAUGUACUACUUGGACUAUUACUGUAACAAAGGACCUAAAAGAGUAGCAAUACAGUCUAGGCAUGAUUGGGUUAUGACAACACUAGCCAACAAAACCUCCAGUUACAACAUGUUUAGAAUGCACACACCAGUGUUUGAGAAAUUGCAUAGUGUGCUUGUUGAUUCGUAUGGUUGAAGUCCAGCAAAAGAAUGUCAUCAGUUGAGUCUCUAGGCCUGUUUCUGUGGAUAGUAGGUUCCCCUCAAUCUUUAAGACAAGCAGAAAAUAGAUUUGUUAGGUCACUCGACACAAUUGUAAGGAAGUUUGAUAAGGUUUUGGCAUCUAUAAUCAAGCUAUCAAAAGAGAUCAUCAAACCAACAUAUCCUCAAUUCAAAACUGUGCAUUCCAAACUAAGAUGUACUAAAUAUUCACCAUUUAUGGACAAUUGCAUUGGAGCAAUAGAUGGGACACACAUACAAGUUGUGGUACCAGUUGCCACUUCUAUCCAUCAUAGGAAUAUACAUAAGGAGAAGAGUCAGAAUGUGAUGUGUGUGUGUGACUUUGAUAUCAGAUUCACAUUUCUCCUAGCCGGUUGGCCAGGAUCAGUGCAUGACAUGAGGGUCUUCAAUGAUGCCCAAUCCAGAUUUGGUGAAAAGUUUCCAAAACCACCACCUCGAAAGUUCUAUCUUGUCGACUCGGGAUACCCAAACAAACCUGGUUAUCUUGCACCAUACAAGGGUUUAAUCUAUCAUUUCCAAGAGUACCGUGAUGGCACAAUGCCUAGAGGAAAAAAGGAACACUUCAAUUUCAGCCAUUCUUCACUUAGAAAUGUCAUUGAGAGGUGUUUUGGAGUCUUGAAGAACAAGUGGAGGAUUUUGUUUCACUUACCUAGUUAUCCACAACAGAAACAAAGAAAAAUCAUUGUGGUUUGCAUUGCAUUGCACAAUUUUAUUAGACAAAGUCAACUAGCCGAUAUAGAUUUUGACUUGUGUGAUCAAGAUGAAAAUUAUGUACCAUUGUCUGUGCUAACGACUACUCCAAGAAAUGAUUCAACCAAUGAGACGAAUAGUGCUGCUAUGAAUCAAUUUAGAGAUUGGGUCGCUGAUGGGUUGUGGUCGUUGAAACAACAAUGAUAUAUUAUUUCGGUUGUUAUGAACAAGUGUUCUUUGCUUCUGUAAUAUUUGCUUAUGAACAAGUGUUAUUUAAUAAUAUGGUCAGGGGUAACAUGGUCUUUUACAUGUCAUUUAAUGACCUCUAGUCCCUGUUUAGUCCCUGGAAACAAACAGAUAUAGUGACUAGGAACUUUUUAGUUGAGACUAAAAAAAGUCCUAAGAGUUUUUAAAUAAACAUGGCCUUAGUACUCUACCCUUCGACACAGAGGCAGAUGUGAGUUAGUACAAAUUCGUAUACAAACGUCAGUUAAAUCAGGACAGAGGAAGUAGAUAAUAUGGUUUGAGGUAUCCUGUAUUUUCAAUAUAAAUAAGCUGGAAAUAAAAGUGCGUGAAAAUACGAUUUAGAUUUCCCCCCCUGAAAGUGCAUCUAGUCCUUCCUUUUUUUUGCGGGGGACCUUCCUAUUGUUUUUUGAUGAUUAAGUACAAAUCAUUAAGUGGUUAGUGUAUUUAAUGAGUAUACACGUGAUGUUAGUUGAACCUAGAUACAUUGAUCGCUAAAAUUGUGGAGAUAUUGUAGCUUUUAGUGCCUUAGUGAGUCAGUUGAGUUUAAGAGUGAGUAUAAUAAGCUGACGUAAACGAGCUAUAAAGAUUUAAAUAUUAUAUUUUUAUUGAUUUGAAAGAAAGAUAAUACAAAAGUGAAAAGAAGUAGAUUGUAUAUUAAGAGUCAGUUGUAACAGAGAUUUCAAGAAACUUUACAAGAGUGUGAGGUGAGCUAUGGCUUAACAAAGUAGUACUAUCUCUCUGGGCGUUUAUUAGUUCUCAUCAUAUGUUGGGUCAAAAUUUGACCACAUAUUUGAUUAAGAAUUUAUUAAUGCAUGUCAUCAAAAAAUAUCUUUCUUGAAUUCGUAUUUGAGUAUAGUUUUCAAUAAUAUUAUUUUUAUACAUAUAACUUAUAUUUCAUUAGUUAAAAUCAUGAUCAAAAUACGAGGGGACCAGUGAAUCAUGACUGAGGAAGUACUUAUUAUAGUGAACUUAUAAUUAUAUUUGAUAUUAGAUUGGCUAUAAAUAACAUGGCAACAUCUUAUAACCAACAAUUGACUUAUAGCCAUGCUCUAAGCCAAGAUUAUACAUACACGUCUAAUCUCAUAUCAGCGGUGCAAUUUAAUCGUAUCUUUUUUUAUUUCUCAAGCAAGGAGAAAAUAAAGAUAGAUCAGUAACAAUUAGAAAGGUAGUCAUCACAUCCAAACCAACCAAAUAAUUAAUCCCAAUGUGGAGGUUUACAAACCAAGUAGUAGAAAAAUGUGAUAGGGCCCAAAACAUGGAGGCUAGUAGCAUUUUGGUAACAAGGCACAAUUGAUCAGUCCGAUUUCCCCGGGCACGAGGAUGGAACUGUGGUCGCUACUCUCAGAAGCAGGCAUCCAGGAGACAACAACAACAAAGUGCGGCCAGGCUGUUGGAACAAAUAAUAUAAGAGAAUCACGAGAUAUAACCUUGAAGGCGAAUUUUUCAACAAAUAAAGAAAAAGCGAGAAAACUGACAAUUAAUACGGAGUACUAUAAUCACAUAUCCAAAAUAUUGACAAUAUUUGUACAAUAUGAAUGUUGUAUAUAGCUAAGAAUGGUUCGUUCCAUCUCACAUUCUUGUUCAUUUUUGUAAAGACCGGUAACUAUGUACAUGAAAUGCACGUUAGUGUUAGGCAAGAUAUUAAUAUUGUUGCAUAAUAGUAGAGGCAAGAUAUAAGUUAUAUAUUAAUAUUAUGUUGGAUAUAAUUACUUGGUUAAUGCUGAUAUUGAUAUUAUAAAAGAUAUUAAUUUUAUUGUACAUCAAUAUUAGACAAGAUAUAAAUUACAUGUUAACAGUUGAUAGGAUAUAUUAUUUGGUUAAUACUGACAUCUAAUAGACAUGAUAUUAAUUAUUGGAGGGUGCUGAACAUGUUUAAUGCUAAACACCAAGCAACUUAAACCAUUGGAUAGAUGUGGUUGAACGGAUAUGAUUUGUUGAAUCUCUGUAAUUCACUCUUUAUUAUAUUAGUAUAUACAUAUAUAGAUACAGAGUAUAUAAAUUCCAACUAAUUAUACUUUUUUGUAUAAAAAAACUAAUUAUACUCGACANNNNNNNNNNNNNNNNNNNNNNNNNNNNNNNNNNNNNNNNNNNNNNNNNNNNNNNNNNNNNNNNNNNNNNNNNNNNNNNNNNNNNNNNNNNNNNNNNNNNNNNNNNNNNNNNNNNNNNNNNNNNNNNNNNNNNNNNNNNNNNNNNNNNNNNNNNNNNNNNNNNNNNNNNNNNNNNNNNNNNNNNNNNNNNNNNNNNNNNNNNNNNNNNNNNNNNNNNNNNNNNNNNNNNNNNNNNNNNNNNNNNNNNNNNNNNNNNNNNNNNNNNNNNNNNNNNNNNNNNNNNNNNNNNNNNNNNNNNNNNNNNNNNNNNNNNNNNNNNNNNNNNNNNNNNNNNNNNNNNNNNNNNNNNNNNNNNNNNNNNNNNNNNNNNNNNNNNNNNNNNNNNNNNNNNNNNNNNNNNNNNNNNNNNNNNNNNNNNNNNNNNNNNNNNNNNNNNNNNNNNNNNNNNNNNNNNNNNNNNNNNNNNNNNNNNNNNNNNNNNNNNNNNNNNNNNNNNNNNNNNNNNNNNNNNNNNNNNNNNNNNNNNNNNNNNNNNNNNNNNNNNNNNNNNNNNNNNNNNNNNNNNNNNNNNNNNNNNNNNNNNNNNNNNNNNNNNNNNNNNNNNNNNNNNNNNNNNNNNNNNNNNNNNNNNNNNNNNNNNNNNNNNNNNNNNNNNNNNNNNNNNNNNNNNNNNNNNNNNNNNNNNNNNNNNNNNNNNNNNNNNNNNNNNNNNNNNNNNNNNNNNNNNNNNNNNNNNNNNNNNNNNNNNNNNNNNNNNNNNNNNNNNNNNNNNNNNNNNNNNNNNNNNNNNNNNNNNNNNNNNNNNNNNNNNNNNNNNNNNNNNNNNNNNNNNNNNNNNNNNNNNNNNNNNNNNNNNNNNNNNNNNNNNNNNNNNNNNNNNNNNNNNNNNNNNNNNNNNNNNNNNNNNNNNNNNNNNNNNNNNNNNNNNNNNNNNNNNNNNNNNNNNNNNNNNNNNNNNNNNNNNNNNNNNNNNNNNNNNNNNNNNNNNNNGGGGGUUGGUUCUGGUUGGUCUCUCGCGCUGUGCAGGGCUACGGGUUGCUGCCUAGGCCGAGUGGUUUUAUAAAACGCGGGGGGAACAUGACUGACCUGGCUGGCGGGGCCAUCUAGCCUCGAGCGUUCGGGGUGGACUUGUCGCUGGCCGUGUACGUACCUGCCUGGCUGGUGGCUGCUGAGACUGUAAACGACGACCACGACUAAGUUAGGUGACAACACACAUAACAAACGAGCUUUUUUUCUUUCUUGAGUGUACAUAAACGAGCUUUUUUUAGGUAAUAAACGAGCUACUAUAUACUUCGAAUAGUUUUUUCCAACUAAAAUUAUUUAGCUAUGAAAAAAUAUGUAUGGAUUUGCUCAUAAGAUCCGGAUUUUCUUGGUAGUGGUACCUAUCAAUUUCUUUUUAAACGAGGCACCUAACAAACUUAUUACCGCCGGUCACGUUUGCUUCUGGAGCUCAACAGAUAAAUGGAGUUUCGGUGACAGAGUUGACCUAGCACAGUUGAUUUGACGAGCGUUACUCACCUGUUUUGGGAGUUUCUUUUUAGCUUCUUGAUGGAGCUGCAUAUUAAAUCGCAAAAACAAGAAGAAGCACGCAUCGAUCGUGCCGAGGGAUGCGCAUGUUGCUGGCAGGUUUGACCGAGCAACGGUAAUUGUUUUCUUCUUCUUUUUGGCGGGCACGGAGCACAGUAAUUGAUUUUUUUUUUUACUAAUAACAGAGUAGGAGGGAUUAUUCAAGAACCUCAAUAGCCAGCGAACGUUUCCUAGGAGAGUGAUAUUCGUUUUUAUGACAAAUUAUUUCAUUACAGGACAAUUUCUUCAGAAACAUAUGCCAAAUUCUGCAAACAAAGGAUUUUAUUGUGAAAUGUGUCGUGUUCGCUUGAAUCAAUUGUUAGGUUCAUGCAAAAUGCAUGGAAUGCAAUCCCGUGGAAUAACGUGGUGCACGUAGGAUUAAGACUGAUGAUAUGGGUUCACGUUUUUUAUCAGGAUUUUUCGCUGCUAGAUUGUGUUGGUGUUCGGCCUUCAUGGUCUUAUCUAUGUAAGACUUGGUCGUAAUGGUUUUUAUUUGUGUAAGACAGUAUGUAUGGACGUAAAACUCUUGUUAUUCAGCUUUUAUAUAUUUGGUGAGCGUUGAACACGUGCAUUCGGUGAUCACGACUUAUGAGUCCGGAUCCCCACAGCCAUGGACUCGUAGCUCUCUGGUGAACUACUCACACAUCAUCAUAGAGGCAGUAAGGUUGAUGUAGAAAGCCUCCGUGAUCAAUUCUCCUCCGACAGGGUACCAAAAAAGGUCUUAAAAUGGGAUCACGACGAAACAAAGACUUGCGACGGCGAAAUCAGGUGAGGAGGUGCCACGAGGGGCCCGCGAGCUCAUGUGGCGCGCCCUACCUCCUUGGGCGCCCCCAGACUCGUCGCCACCUCGUGGCUCCUCAGGUCUUCUCCCGAGGUUCCCUGGAUCUUUUUUGAUCCAGAAAAAUUCAUCGUAUUUGGACUCUGUUUGGUAUUGAUUUUCUGUAAAAGUCAAAAAUACGCAAAAACGAGAACUGACACUAGGCACUAGAUUAAUAGGUUAGUUUCCAAAAAUAAAAUAAAAUAACAUGUUAUUGCAUAUAAAGUAUCCGAGAUUGAUAAUGUAGUAGCAUGAAACAAUAAAAAAUUGUAGAUACGUUGGAGGCGUAUCAGGGGUCAACCUAGUUCCCUCAUGUAAGCUCGAUGAAGGCGUCGCCGCGCUCCGAAUCGCCCAUAGGAGGAGGAUGCAUCUUCUCGGCCUUCGCCCCGUUGCUUGUUCACUCCAAGGGCCCGAAAAAUCUUUUUGGACUUUGCUCCAGCUGCUUCUGGGAAGGUCACUUUUACUUUUGAUGGUGUUGGAAUUGUCUCCGAAGAGGAAGGGUGAUGUAGUAAAGUAGUAAUAAGUAUUUCUUGAGUUAAGAACGAAGGUGUAUCGAAAUAAUAGGAAACCACGCAAAGGAACAAUCUACAAUACCUACACACACACACAAAUGAAUACUUGCAUCCAACGGGGGCAAACAAGUUAUCAAUCCCUUGUACUCGUUAAUUGCAAGAAUUAAUUCGGCUAGUGCAUGAUAGACAAUUAUAAAUAAUAAGAUAAUAAAUUACACCAUAUAUAUAUAAUAAAUAUAAUAGGUAAAUGGACCCCGGGCCAUAGCGUUCACCACAGGCAUCUCACUCAUGAGCAUAGUAUUGAUCGAUGAACGAAUUAUUGUUGGACUAUUGAUAGAAAAAUAAGUGCUUAUGAUAUUAUUCACGACAAGAUUAAUAUAUAUGCAUUACGCCCGUGACAAGUAGACCGAGAUGAUUCUUCGUCUAUAACUAUUACUCCAUCAAUCGACCACUAUCCAACAUGCAUCUAUGAUAUUAAGUUCAUAAUAAAUGGAGUAAUGCUUGGAGCAUGAUGACAUAAUGUAGAUAAAGUAAGAACAAUCAAUAUGUUCAAGCCUCGUUAUUUUAUCCUUAGUAGCAAUAAUAAAAAUAUGUGCCUCGAUAGCCCUCCUGUCACAGAAUGAGGAAACCGCAAGAUUGAACCUACUACUAUGCACCACUUCCUGUGAAGUUCUACUCAUCAACUUGGCUAGAGUAAAUUUGUAGAUCAGAAAGAAUACAUAGCUAUAUGAAAACACUUUCAAUGAAUAAUCUGACCAUAAACUCAUAAUUCAUCGGAUCCCAACAAACACACAACAAAUAUUAUAUCGAAUAGGUCUUCGAAGAGAUCAUUGUAUUGAAUACGAAACGAGAAAGAGAGGUGAGGUGAGCGCGAACAAGGAGAAGAAGAGCCGUGGUGCACGCUAACCUACUUUAUCGCAUGGUAUAUAUAUAGAGAGAGAGAUAUAAAAGAGCCGGAAAUAGGAUGAAGUUUGACUUCAUGGAUGGACAAAAUAUGCCUAUUGACCCUCUGCAAGCAGCAAAACUCAGUUCAAAGGUUGGUUAUCAUGCAGAACUAAGAUUUCCAUAAAAACCAAGUGGAAUGUGUACAAUGUAGAGUAGAACAAGCAUAUGCUUCCUCAUGUUUUACGGUCAUUACAGGUCAUCCAUCAAAUGAAUCUCUUUAGCAAUUGUGACAUACCACAUCUUUCUAUCUCCACGCUCUAAAUGUUGUAAAAUGCAUGUGUGUAUGAUGUCCACAACAAAAGUUUGAGUUUUUCAGAACGCUGCAUUGUCCAAAGCAGUGACUGAAUGUGUCAUUCAAAAAAGCGUGCGGUCACAUAGGCACAGACUCAAUGCAAAAUUUAUAGUAAGGUUAAAAAUCUUACUGAGGAGCAAGCAUCAUAGUAAUCCAGUGAUUAUUACACAUAAAGAUUGGAUAGAUCUAGUAAAACAGUGGAAAUAUGUAAUUUGUGCUUAAUCUAACAUAUUAAAUUUUUACUAUACCAUAUGGUCAAAAUUAAAUUUAUUCUUCAAUUCCUAAGAUAUUUGUGCCAAGAAUAAAGCAAACCGAAGUGGGGUGAAGCUCCACCAUAAAGCUGGCUCCAGACGCUACAUUGUAGCUUAUCACAAUAUGUUUAGCACUCCAACUUCGUACAUGAAAAUUAUCAUAUAGUUUUCAUAAGUAAAUGGCAUGCGGAAAUAAUGUCAUCAUGUUCUGUUUGAUGUACUAGUGUAAUGAGAAAAACCAGAAACCUACACCAGUUUAAUUUUUUGAAGCUACCCAAACUAGAAAGAAGGAUGAGGUGAUGAGUGAGAUUGCAACAACGACAAUCAUAAGCAUUCUCCAAUUUUCUGGAUUUCACAUGUAAUUGCCAGCCAAAAUAUUAUUUUUUUGUAACACCGUACGAGUAGCGCUUCAACCAUAUUGUAGAAGGAUAUGAAGGAAAAUCAAGGCGCAAGUCGAGCAGAAGGGGAAGAUCCAAAAACAGAUGUGCAAAUUGUUGCAGAGGUUGUUAAGGGCGUUUCCAAGCAUAGAACGUCCCUUGCAAGCAUGGGAGAGUCGUCUGCCUCCAUGCAGAAGACGACUUCUCAUGAAUGCAUGAGAGAUCUUGAAGAGAGGCUUGCAACUCUGAAGCCAGCUACGAGAUCAACACCUGAUAGGUACCAAUAAGAGCUAAAUGCAAGAAUGGUAGCGCAACAACAUGUAAUCAAAGAGAUGAAACCAAAGCAGCUAGAUGAAAUUGUAGAUCUUAAGAAGGAACAAGAUGAGAUAAUUUCUUAUAUGGAAAAGAAGCAAUCACAACUGGAAGGAACUUUAGGUUUUUUCUGAAGGAUGCAUGGUGGAUCUGAUAAAAGCAUGUGGUAGCCUACUUUAGCGGGGUUGUAACAACAACAUGUCACAUGCCAUUUUGGGGGGCUCUAACAACAGCAUGUCGCAUACCUAAUGGUGGUCUUCUUCGUCCAGAAACUUUUGGUCUUCCCUUACUAUAUUUUGUAAUGUGUGGUACUCUAUGUGUUCGUUUUAUGUAGUGUGUGAUACUUCCUCACUUGGUUGAUCAUUAUUAUAAUUGUGUUAAGUAUUUCUGUUUUCAGCGUUAACAAAACUCAUUUCAUUAUAAUUCUUGAAAUCUUACCAAAUUCAAAUUCAAAUUUAAAUUUGGUUGGCAGUUACAACAACACACAAACUGUGACGGUAAUAGUGAUGGAAAUGUGUGUUGUCACCAGCUUCCACACCUACAUGUAAGUAGCCACGUUAGCAUCCCAUGGGUCCACAUGUCAGGAUCUUUGGCCGUUCAAAUAUUAUUAUUACUAACGGGGCAUCGUCAGUGAUAAAAACUUGGUCGGGUCGAGUUGUAAGGUACCACAUCAGCAUAUUAUGGGCCCGCAUGUCAGAAAUGGUGCGGUUCUAGUGACAUCUUAUGACCGUUGUAGAAUGGAGUUUCGAGGACGAUUUUUUGCUUUACCGCCUAAGAUGCGAUCUCGCAUGACGAAGGAAGUGGUGCUGUCAAGAUUUUACUUUUUUAUGACGACGCUUCAGUGAUUGUCAGGGUGACGGCCGAAAAACAUCGUUGUGGUAUUUUUCGUAACGGAAAAGGGUUUUAGGUAGAACAAAAUGAAACAUCGCAAAAGAGAGCAAAUUUUAUAGUGUAUACUGCUUUGAGAAAGCCACACCAUGGUCGCUUCCGAGCACGCAUGCCCUCGUCUUGGAUUCGUAGGUGAGCGGUUCCGGCUUCAUAAGGUACUCGUGGAUGGAGGCACAAGGACAAACAUCAUCUAUGUUGGCACCAUGAAGCAGAUGGGCAUUCCUGAGUCCAAUUCGUCAUACUCUUGUUCUUCCAUACCUGGAUAACUAAAUAACUUGUGGAAAACCAAUGAGUACUUUGAAUGUACUCACAAACAACCCAUGUUUUGGAACAAUGGUAUAACAAUGCAUGAUAUAUCACUAAAUAGGUAAUUUGCAGAAAGCUAAUUUUAGUGCAAUGAGAUGGUCAAUAUAACUUGUAAAAACAUGCAUCAUGGGGUUGCAGAUAUCCAUAGGAACAAUUUACAUAUAUCAAUGUAAGAGGGGGUUGAACAUCUCAUGUUCAAUCAUCGAGUUAAGUUGUGACUUAACUCAGUUAUCAUCUUUUUCACACACAUACACAUGCACCAAGUUUUGCAAUAGUGGAUGUAGUUUAAGAAGCACCACCCAACUGUACUUUAUCGUGGACAUGGCCAUUCGAAUAGUUUUACACUCUCCAGAGGUUCCUGUCGGCGUUAUGGGAAUGGGGGUGACCACACCUGCCUGCCUUCGGCCCGGGGCCGGCCCACCUCAUCGACCCAAGAUCAACUGGACCGACAUCACCCGGGACAAGGCCCUCGCGAGAGGCCAAGCCUCGCGAGGAGGAACAACAUUAGGACCCGCCAGGGACCUCCUCAGGACCCCUCCGGAGCGGCGGAUAUUCCGAGGCAAGGCCGGGCCUCGGGAGUCAAGGAUGACGCCAGGAAAGGACAGGCGAGCAGCAGAUGGCAGGACAUGGCAGUUUCCCCUUUGGUGCAAAGGAGGCGGGAGCAUGAAGGGGUUCCAAAGGCAUCUUACAAAGGUUUCCUUUUUGGUGCAACGAAUCGCCACCGCCCGCCAGUAGGGCAAACAUCAUCAUCGGUCCCAUCCCUGCAGCGUGGGCAGUUACUUUGUAGGCGAAGACCACCUUUGGGUAGGGGAGCAUGUUCCCGUGUUCGCCUUCAAAAUUGGCCGCUUUGGGAUCCCUUCCUGCUGAAGCUAUGAGGGAAGAGGACCCGGGACUCCGCUAUAAAUAGAAAGGGUAGAACACUUGGUAGGGGGGUGGAUUCCAACCACAGGGCAAUACACCUAGCCACUUGGCCUCCGGAGGCUCGAGAGCACUGUACUAGUUCAUCCACCACCUCCGCGAGAGGUAAUCCACCAAAAGCAGGAGUAGGGUUUUACGCUUCGCAGCGGCCCGAACCUGGGUAAACUGUUGUGUUCUAUGCUACCCUCGCCAUCGAGUGAGUCCUUCGUCGUUUCCAUCGAGCAGCGAGCUAGGUAAGGUUGAGCCGAGAGAGAUCGUAGUACACGCCCUUGUGUUCGAAUGCUUAUGGUUUUGCGGAGCCCGAAAUCCAACAUUUGGCUAGCCAGGUAGGGGACGUGUCAAGGUAUUUCCCAAGGUUCGGCUCACCGAAACUGACUGCGCCCAUGGCGGGGAAACGACGAGUCCACGCGGAGAGGCGGGCUACCCGCAUGGCGCGGACGACGCGGGCGGUCCACGACGCCCAGCUGCAUCCCGCCACCUUGACGGCCGACGUCCAUGUUGGACAGGCUUCCAGCGGGCAUCGAGGGUUGCCAUCUUCACCAACCAUACAACAUCCCCGCGUCGCUCCGGCCCUUCCACGCGUCCCGCUGGCCUCUUCCCUCGUCCGAUCUUAUCAGCACUCGACGCACAGGCAUGUCACGCUGUUGGUGGCGUACGAGCUCAGGCGCGAGCGCAUCGCACGUCACCGCCGCGUCGGAGGUCACGCGUGCCACCUCAGGCUCUUCGGCGCCGGCGAAGCCCGACCUCGUUCCCGCGCGAGCUGUGUCCGUCAUCCCGCUUCGCCAGGACUUGCAACGGAGAUCCGGCACCCCCCAAACCUCCACCUGGGCUCACCCCUAUUGGAGAUCCGACGGGAGCAGAUGGGGGUGCAAGACUCGGCCCCGCUGGGAGGGCGUCACCUAGCGUUCCCGAGCACACUUCACGGAGCGGGGAGGGAAUACCGGAGGCUCGACUACAUCAACCCCCGGGGGCUCGCACGGUCCGACGACAACCAUAUCGGCACACCUACGGGCCAUGGAGGAGACCACGCGAAACGUCACCACAACAGGAGGCACGAGCGCAACCCCACGGACAGCCCCCACGCGAACAUAAUUGAAUAACGCCAUGGGGGUGAUCCGAGGGGGUGGCUUCGCGAGGACGCCCAGCGCGGGUGCACUCGCGGGGCGCACCUGCUAGUUGGGAUCUGCUCUAGGCAGACGUCUGGGUCUGGGGACCGGAGACCUCUUGCCUUGGACAGGGUGGAAGCACCCUCAUGUCCAGGUCGAAGGCCCGAGCAUGGGGAUUGAGGGUGGAGCAUACGCCCAUGUUCCCGAGCCUGACGAUCCCAUCCUGGGGGUUGGGGGUGGUAUACCGGCCCCCGCCACCAGGGCGCGUGACGCCCACUUGGGGACGGAGGGUGGAACACACGCCCAUGUCACGAGUGCAGGCUUCGUUCGGUUACCAUCAGGUGUUCGGGUACCCGUCGCUGCCCUUAGGGUGGGCUAGCCCAGGCCUGGGGGCGCGACCCAGGGUACCAGUCAGGGAACCCGGGGGCGGCGAGUGAGGCACGCUGGGGCAUCGCCCCGGGGAUUCCGCACCCUCCACCUGGGCAAGCCUUCUGGCCGGUGGGCACGGGGAGCUCCCCCCUCGCUCAGGGCGGGCCACGCCACGCCGCUGCAAGCAUGGAGACCACGAGCGGGGCGCACGCUGAUACGUCUCCAUCGUAUCUACUUUUCCAAACUCUUUUCCCUUGUUUUGGACUCUAAUUUGCAUGAUUUGAAUGGUAAUAACCUGGACUGACGUUGUUUUCAGCAGAAUUGCCUUGGUGUUAUUUUUGUGCAGAAAUCAAAGUUCUCCAAACGUCCUGAAAAUCUACGGGGAGCAGUUUUGGAAAAUAUAAAAAAUAUCUGCGCCAAGUUCCACCUGAGGGGGUGGGCCAGUGGGCCACAAGCCCUGGCUCCGCCACCACCCCCUGGUGGCGGUGGGUAGGCUUAUGGGGCCCACAGGCACCUGCCGCCCCCAAUUCCAGCUCUAUAAGUUGUCUUUCGUCCCAGAAAAAAUAAAAAGAGAAGUUUUUGUCGCGUUUUCGAUACGGAGGCGCCGCCACCACCUGUUUUCAUCUGGAGGGCAGAUCUGGAGUCCGUCUUGGGCUCUGGAGAGGGGAAAUCGUCGCCAUCGUCAUCAUCAACCUUCUUCCCUCUCCAAUUCCAUGAAGCUCUUCGUCGUUCGUGAGUAAUCUAUUCGUAGGCUCGCUGGACGGUGAUGAGUAGGAUGAGAUCUAUCAUGUAAUCGAGUUAGUUUUGAUGGGGAUUGAUCCCUAGUAUCCACUAUGUUCUGAGAUUUGAUGUUGCUACUACUUUUCCAUGCUUAAUUCUUGUCACUAGGGCCCGAGUGCCAUGAUUUCAGAUCUGAAAUUAUUAUGUUGUCACCAAUAUAUGUGUGUUUUAGAUCCGAUCUUGCAAGUUGUAGUUACCUACUAUGUGUUAUGAUCCGGCAACCCCGGAGUGACAAUAGCCAGAACAACUCCCGGAGAUGACCAUAGUUUGAGGAGUUCAUGUGUUCACCAAGUGCUAAUGCGUUGGUCCAGUUCUUUAUUAAAAGGAGAACCUUAAUAUCCCGUAGUUUCCUUUUGGACCCCGCUGCCACGGGAGGGAUGGACAAUAGAUGUCAUGCAAGUUCUUUUCCCUAAGCACGUAUGACGACAAAUGGAAUGCAUGCCUACAUCACAUUAACGAACGGGAGCUAGCCACAUAUCUCUCCGUGUUAUAGCUGUUGCAUGAUGAAUAUCAUCCAAACAAAUCACCGACCCAAUGCCUACGAGUUUGUACUACUGUUGCUACUGCCGUUACUUGUCUUGCUCUGCUGCUAUUACUGUUGCUACUACCGUUACUUGUCUUGCUCUGCUGCUACUACUGUUGCUACUGCUGUUACUUGUCUUGCUCUGCUGCUGCUACUACUGUUGCUACUGCUGUUACUUGCUUUGCUCUGCUGCUACUGUUGGUACUACUGUUGCUUGCUACUGUUGCUACUUGCUACUACUGUCACUACUGCUGUUCCUUUCCACUGCUAUUGCUCGUUACACUGCCGAUACCUGCUACUUCGCUGUUACUACUUCGAUGUUACUAUUGUGCUUGCAGAUACUAAUCUUUCAGGUGUGGUUGAAUCUGACAAAUUCAGCUGCUAAUACUUGAGAGUAUACUCUCACCUCCUGACUGGCGUACCUACAAAUUGGGUCGAAUACUCUACCCUCGAAAACUGCUGCGAACCCACGCGCUGGUGGGCCAUCAACAACAUUCUUCCAGUUUCAUUGCCGGGGAGUGCUAUCAGCAUUCUUCUGGUGCCGUUGCAGGAGAAGGUUAGUUGUUAUAAGCAUUCGUCUAGCUAACACUAGAGAUUGCAGGAUCAACACUUUUCUGGAGCCAUUGCCAGAGAAGCACAGCCGACGUAAGCAUUUUUCUGGCGCCGUUGCCGGGGAGGUAUUGCUAUAUUCUGUGAGUUACUUGGGAUUUAUAUCUGCUGAUCACUAUGAAGAAUCUGAAGGAUCCGAAGACCAAAGUCUUGCCCUCAACUACGAGGGGAGGUAAGGAAUUGCCAUCUAGAUUUGCACUUGAUUCACCUUCAGUUAUGAGUAAGUUUGCGACAUCACCUCCUGCUAGAAAUCUUGAUAUGUCGCCUGUGCUUGAUGAUGCUUGUGAUACUACUGCUAGAGAUGCUAUGCUUGAUACUGCUUUGCCUGAUGAUGCUAGAGACACUACUAUGCCUGAUGAUGCUAUGCUUGAUACUGCUAGAGAUACUCCUUUGCCUGAUGUUCCACUGGGAGCGUUCCUUGAUGCUCAUAUUGCUAGAGUUACUGCCAAUUCUCGUGAUGCUUCUGAUACUGCCGAUGCUAUUGAGAUAGAACCUGCUUUUGCUCCUGCUAGAUCUAGCUCUCCUAGAUAUGAAUUGCCUGAUAUACCUGAGGGUUACGUUAUGGAGGAAGAGAUAGCUGAGGAUUUUCUUGCGUGUAAGGAUGCCUAUGACGCUGAGAAAUUAGUUCUCAAGUGGAAGGAAAAAUCUCGGGAAGUUAGGAUGAAAAAUGAUCCGAAGUUUGCCACUUUGCUUAUCUUUUUCACCGAUAAGGAUUAUGAAUUCUCUGUCGACCCUGAGAUAAUCUCUCUAGUCGAAUAUGCUCCUUUUCACGGUUAUGAGUCUGAGACGGUCAUAGCCUAUCUUGCCAAACUAUCUGAAAUAGCCAACCUUUUCACUAAUGAGGAGAAGAUCCGCCACUACUAUAUCCUUAAGCUGUUUCCUUUCUCUCUAAAGGAUGAUGCUAAAGCCUGGUUCACCUCUCUUGCUCCUGGAUGUGUGCGUAGUCCCCAGGAGAUGGUCUAUUACUUCUGUGAGAAAUAUUUCCCUGCCCAUAAGAAGCAAGCUGCCUUGCAGGAAAUAUACAACUUUGCCCAACUCCAAGAAGAGGGUCUUCCACAAGCUUGGGGAGGCUCGUCCAGCUACAGAAUGCUUUGCCUGAUCACCCUCUAAAGAAGAACGAGAUACUUGAUAUCCUCUAUAACGAACUUAUCGAUGCCUCUAGAGACCACCUAGAUAGUUGUGCCGGUUGUGUUUUUAGGGAACAAACUGUAGAACAAGCUGAGACCCUACUGAAUAACCUCUUGAUCAAUGAUAAUGCUUGGACUAUUCCCGAACCACCUCCUAAGCCAACUCCUAAAAAAAGAGGUAUUCUAUUCCUCAGUCCCAAAGAUAUGCAAGAAGCCAAGAAAUCUAUGCAAGAGAAAGGCAUUAGAGCUGAAGAUGUCAAAAAUCUACCACCUAUCGGAGAGAUCCAUGGUCUCGACAACCCGAUACAGGUAGUAGAAGUGAAUUCUCUGCGUAGGUUUGAUCAGAGUGAUAUUCCUUUUGAUAAACCUGCUAGCCUAUGCUUUGAUGAAUUUGACAACUUUGUUGCCAAACAACAGAGUUUCAAUGAUUAUGUUAGCGGACAUUUGGAACAAAGUGCUCGUAUGCUUAGCCAUUUAAGUGCUUGUGUAGACAUAAAUGUCAAUGCUCUGAAGCUUCUGAGUAAACAUGCCUCUAUGAUUAGUACUCAGGUAGAACAAGUACUUAAAGCUCAGAAUGACCUGCUCAAUGAAUUAAAUGACAACUCUGCCAGAGUCAUUACUAGAGGAGGCAAAAUGACUCAGGAACCUUUGUAUCCUGAAGGUCAUCCUAAGAGGAUUGAUCAAGAUUCUCAAGGAAUCAAUGCUGAUACACCUAGUCAUCCUAAGGAGAAGAAGAAGAUGAUAGAAGCCUGCACGCCAGUUCACCAAAUACUGUCACACAUGAAGAACCUAAUGAUAUUUCUGCGUCUGAUGCAGAAACACAAUCAGGUGAUGAACAUGAACCUAGUGACAAUGUGGACAGUGAUGUUCAUAAUAAUGCUCAACCUAGCCAUGAUGAGGAUGUGGAGAUUGAACCUACGGUUAAUCCUGAUAAUACACAACCUAAGAGAUACGACAAGAAUGACUUUACUGCUAGGAAGCAUGGUAAAGAAAGAGAGCCAUGGGUUCAGAGACCUAUGCCCUUUCCUCCUAAGCCAUCCAAGAAAAAGGAUGAUGAUGAUUUUGAGCGCUUCGUUGAGAUGAUAAGACCCGUCUUUCUACAGAUGCGGUUAACUGAUAUGCUCAAGAUGUCUCCGUAUGCCAAGUACAUGAAAUAUAUCAUGACUAAUAAAUGGAAGAUACCAGAUCUUGAGAUCUCCACCAUGCUUGCCAAUUACACUUUCGAAGGUGGAACUCCUAAGAAACUUGGUGACCCCGGAGUGCCCACUAUACCUUGCUCCAUUAAAGGAAACUACAUAAGAACUGCCUUAUCUGACCUUGGAGCCGGUGUUAGUGUUAUGCCGCUCUCUCUUUAUCGUAGACUUGAGUUGGAUAAGUUGACACCCACUGAAAUUUCUCUGCAAAUGGCCGACAAAUCAACUGCUUUCCCUAUCGGCAUUUGCGAUGAUGUGCCUGUUGUGGUUGCUAAUACCACUAUCUUAACAGACUUUGUUAUCUUGGAUAUCCCCGAGGACGAUGCCAUGGCUAUCAUCCUCGGAAGACCCUUUUUAAACACCGCAGGGGCUGUUAUAGAUUGCAACAAAGGCAAUGUCACUUUCCAUGUCAACGGUAAUGAGCACACAAUGCACUUUCCGAAGCAACGAUAUCCAGUACAUUGCAUCAAUGCUAUCGAAAAGACUUCAUCGAUUCUUAUUGGGAGCUUUGAAUGCCCUAUUCCUCGUGUCAAGAUGAAGCAUGAUUUGCUUGUCGGGGAGAUACAUAUCCCCAUUGAGGUGACUUAGUGGCUAUUUGAAAAUUCUCCGUUCUCUCUUGCGAUUCCAGAAGGUUUUGUCAUAAGGACUUGAUCAACCCCAUUGAUGAAUUUCUUCCAAUGACCAUGAAACGGAUGAAUCAGAGAGUCACAUACCUCUGUUUUGAGUCUUCAUUUUCUGUUGCUUAGAAGAAAAAUGAUGGAAUUAGUUUAGAUUUUCCUGUUUUCUGUUUUAGCGUCUCGGAUAAAAAUACCUCGAAAAUAAAAGUUCUCCGAUGGUCCUGAAAAUUUAGUAUGAUUUUUUAUGGAAUUUUUGAAAAUUUCUGAGCCUCGGAGCUGGUCAGGGUGCCUGACCAGUGGGCCACAAGCCUCCCCGCCGCCACCUACCCCCCUGGUGGCGGGGUGCAAGCUUUUGGGGCCCACAGGCAUCCCCUCCACUCAUUCCAGCUCUCAGCCUCUUCUUCCACCUCCAGAAAAAAUUGUUUCGCAGCUCAAACCNNNNNNNNNNNNNNNNNNNNNNNNNNNNNNNNNNNNNNNNNNNNNNNNNNNNNNNNNNNNNNNNNNNNNNNNNNNNNNNNNNNNNNNNNNNNNNNNNNNNNNNNNNNNNNNNNNNNNNNNNNNNNNNNNNNNNNNNNNNNNNNNNNNNNNNNNNNNNNNNNNGUUUCGCAGCUCAAACCCGUGUUCUUGCUCAUUUGGCUGUGAUUUUUGAUCUCCUUGCUCAAAGCACCAUUCUCCGAACUGUUUUGGGGAAAUUACUCCUUGGUAAGUGACUCCUCCAUUGGUCCAAUUAGUUUUUGCUCUAGUGCUUUAUCCGUCGCGAAUUUUUGCUACCUUGGUGACCCUGUUCUUGAGCUAGAAAUGUUGAUUUUAGCUGGUCCCAAGUAGUUUUAGCGCGUGAUACAGUCUCUAGGCACUAGUAGGAGUAGUUGCUACAAGGUAUGGUUGGUCCUCAUUCACUUUUCUCUUGAACUUCAAAAAUUUCAGCAAAAGGAAAUUAUGUUCAGGAGGAAGUUUCAUGGUGGUUCCUCAAGUAAGAAGGGUCCUGGUCUCUCCUUUCGGGAGCCCGAACCUUUUCAACUAAGGGAUGCGCCGGUGCAACCAUGUGAAUGGCAUUCCGAUGAGUUCAUGAUCGAAGCAGGCUUCAAGGAUGAGUUUGAUGCACUUGUCCGCAAUGCCGGGUUAGAAGAAUUCCUCUCAGAUAAGUGUGAACAGUAUGCUAUGCUGACUGCCGCUUUCGUGCGUAGAUUUAAAUUUUUAGCUGGCCAUGAGUCAUCCAUACUGUUUGAUCUGUAUGAUAAAUCCUACAUCGUGGGUCUGGAAGAUUUCAAUAGGAUUUGCAAGAUACCCGGUGGAGGUAGUGUUAUUGAUCCUCCUAAGUCUUCGGUCAGAGACUUUGUCUCCAGUAUAACUAUUGGAGAAACCACAGAUAUCUUGCAAGCCAUCAUAGGAAGCAUCCAUUUCCCUGCCUUGCACUACCUUGCCCUCUUCAUAGGUAGGUGCAUUAACGGCAAUGGUGCACAUUGUCACCUAUGCGCUUCCGACCUUAGUAUCCUUAAGAGCGCAGUGACAGGUGACAGCAACUUUAAUAUGGGAGGCAUUAUAGCAAGGAGGCUGAAUAAAAAUGCCAGUGAGGGGGAUUUCUUUGGCGGAGUUUAUGCUACACGCUUAGCAAAUUUUCUGGGAGUAUCCAUCCAUCCAGAAGACCCUCCUCUCCGUACAGCCUACCUUGAUCGUGUCGCUCUAACACGCUACCAGUUCCUUGAGAGAGAUCAUGGAUCUCUUCUAUACCGCUUGAUAUUUAACCGACAUCGUGUUUUCCAUAUUACCCUUCCUGCUCCUGCUUUCUUUGACUUUCAGGUUAAACGAAGAUACUGCAUAACCAUAGGAGAAGCAAAGGAGUAUGAGAGGGAGGCGACGGCUGCUCGACUUCACGAGAUAGCUAUUCAGGCAGUGGCCGCAACACUCCCGUAUAACACUCAUUAUGACUUUGGGUUUCGCCAGGAUCAUCCAUGGGAGUAGACCAAGCUAGGCCAAAAGCCUAAGCUUGGGGGAGUACGUGUUCUCACCGACUUUACAUUCAUUCUUAUGCUUUCGCUUUGUUAGCCGGUGUUUACACUUUGCCACUGUAUUAUCCAUGCUAGUUUAUUUUCCUUUUCUUGUUUUCUUGUUUUGUAACCUUUUGAGAAAACCAAAAAAGAUUUUUCCUUCUUCUUUUGCUUGUUGGGAUCUUUCCCGUGUAAAUAGCUUUCUUUUUCUUUGUGUCAAGGUAGAAUAUAUUGGCUACAAUUCUUAGUGGUUCUUACAUGCUUACCUGUUUAGCUUUCAAAGAGCCAUAUUAUUUUGUCUUCUCCUUUGUGUUUGCCUGCAGAUUCAGCUUAGUCCAAUGCGCUUAUUAUCGUUUUCAUCGUUCGAUCGUGCAAAUGAAAGGCAACAAUGAUGAUAUAUGAUGAAGUGACUGAGACUGAAAAGCUGGUAUGAACUCUAUCUAUUUUGUUUUUGUAAAUAUGACUAGCUUGUCAACCCAGAUUUAGCUUUGUUGUGAGAGAACCAUAUUUGCAAUGACAACUUAGAGAUCGUAGUUUCUGAUGUCAUGCUUAUUUAGCUGAGAGCUUAUAAUGGUUUGUCUUGAUUGCCAACAUAGAUUUUGAGAUGACUAUGAUGUAGUAUGAUAGGAUGGUAUUCUCCUUUGAAUGUUUCAAGUGGCUUGACUUGGCGCAUGUUCAUGCAUGUAGUAGAAACAAAAUCAACAUAGCCUCUAUGAUGUUCGUGUUCAUGGUGAUUUAUAUCCUGUUCAUGCUUGCAUUCAAUGUUAGUCAAACUCAUUGCAUCUUGAUGACCAUUGUCGCUCUCUAGUUGGUCGCUUCCCAGUCUUUUGCUAGCCUUCACUUGUACUAAGCGGGAAUGCUGCUUGUGCAUCCACUUCCAUAAACCCAAAAGUUUUUCCAUGAGAGUCCACCAUACCUACCUUUUUGCGGUAUCUACCUGCCGUUCCAAGUAAAUUUGCAUGUGCCAUUCUCUAAACCUUCAAGAAAUAAAUCUGUUUUGCAUGCCCGAACCGCUCAUGUGGUGACAGAGGUCUAUUCGUGUCUUCCAUGCUAGGAGUGUUAUCCUCGACAUGUGUUUAUUCACAGUCAUUCACGAGAAAGGGGCCGGUAUUUGGGAUGCCUAGUUCCAUGCUUAAAUCGAAAACAUAACUGUAAAACAAGACUCCCCCCCGGAUUGAUGUUAGUAUGGACGGUACCCGAGGAUUCGGCUAGCUGUGGAGUGUGAUUGAUUGGUGGUGGGGGAGUUAAAACUUUACUUUUCUGUUUGGGAACCGCCUAUAGCACGAGUAGCAUGGAAGAUAUUGAGAACUCUUGGUCAUUGCGUUGACAAUGAAAGCAUGCCACCCAAAAUUAUUAUCUCUGUUUUCAAAGCUUGAGCUCUGGCACCUCUGCAAAUCAAUGCUUCCCUCUGCGAAGGGCCUGUCUAUUUAUUUUCCUCUCGAGUCAUCCUCCUCUUUUGUAAGCACCAAUUAGAGAGCACCUCGGUCAUUUUUAUGCUUUGCUUUUGAUUGAUAUUGAGUAUGACUAUGACUGGAUCUUCGUUGCUAUGAAUUACAAUGUUUAGUUAGCCCUUGAUCUUUGAAAGUGCUCUGCAUUUAUGUUUUGCGGUCUCAGAAAGAGCUAGCGAGAUACCACCUAUUCAUAUUGCUUCAUGCUUGUUUUGAUUGAAGUGUUGGUAUUUGAAACUCAUUAUUAUUUGCUCGUUAGCUGAUUAUGCCAUUCAUAUUAGUUUACCGUGAGACCUUUGUGUCACUUGCUUAUGUAGUUAACUUGUGAUCUUGUUGAAAUUCUGGUUAUGAGUUAGACAUAGUUGCAACAACAAGAUCAAAUAGAGUUUGUCAAGUUUUUAUUUCUCUCUCAAUUUGUCAAUUGAGUUGCUUGAGGACAAGCAAGGUUUUAAGCUUGGGGGAGUUGAUACGUCUCCAUCGUAUCUACUUUUCCAAACUCUUUUGCCCUUGUUUUGGACUCUAAUUUGCAUGAUUUGAAUGGAACUAACCUGGACUGACGCUGUUUUCAGUAGAAUUGCCUUGGUGUUAUUUUUUGCAGAAAUCAAAGUUCUCCAAACGUCCUGAAAAUCUACGGGGAGCAGUUUUGGAAAAUAUAAAAAAUAUCUGCGCCAAGUUCCACCUGAGGGGGUGGGCCAGUGGGCCACAAGCCCUGGCUCCGCCACCACCCCCUGGUGGCGGUGGGCAGGCUUGUGGGGCCCACAGGCACCUGCCGCCCCUAAUUCCAACUCUAUAAGUUGUCUUUCAUUCCAAAAAAAAUAAAAAGAGAAGUUUUCGUCGCGUUUUCGAUACGGAGGCGCCGCCACCACCUGUUCUUCAUCUGGAGGGCAGAUCUGGAGUCCGUCUUGGGCUCCGGAGAGGGGAAAUCGUCGCCAUCGUCAUCAUCAACCUUCUUCCCUCUCCAAUUCCAUGAAGCUCUUCGUCGUUCAUGAGUAAUCUAUUCGUAGGCUCGCUGGACGGUGAUGAGUAGGAUGAGAUCUAUCAUGUAAUCGAGUUAGUUUUGAUGGGGAUUGAUCCCUACUACCACUAUGUUAUGAGAUUUGAUGUUGCUACUAAUUUUCCAUGCUUAAUGCUUGUCACUAGGGCCCAAGUGCCAUGAUUUCAGAUCUGAAAUUAUUAUGUUGUCACCAAUAUAUGUGUGUUUUGGAUCCGAUCUUGCAAGUUGUAGUUACCUACUAUGUGUUAUGAUCCGGCAACCCCGGAGUGACAAUAACCGGAAGCACUCCCGGUGAUGACCAUAGUUUGAGGAGUUCAUGUGUUCACCAAGUGCUAAUGCGUUGGUCCGGUUCUUUAUUAAAAGGAGAACCCUAAUAUCCCGUAGUUUCCUUUUGGACCCCGCUGCCACGGGAGGGAUGGACAAUAGAUGUCAUGCAAGUUCUUUUCCCUAAGCACGUAUGAUGACACACGAAAUGCAUGCCUACAUCACAUUAACAAACGGGAGCUAGCCACAUAUCUCUUCGUGUUAUAGUUGUUGCAUGAUGAAUAUCAUCCAAACAAAUCACCGACCCAAUGCCUACGAGUUUGUACUACUGUUGCUACUCCCGUUACUUGUCUUGCUCUGCUGCUACUACUGUUGCUAUUGCCUUUACUUGUCUUGCUCUGCUGCUACUACUGUUGCUACUGCUGUUACUUGUCUUGCUCUGCUGUUGCUACUACUGUUGCUACUGCUGUUACUUGCUUUGCUCUGCUGCUACUGUUGGUACUACUGUCGCUUGCUACUAUUGCUACUUUCUACUGCUGUCACUACUGCUGUUCCUUGCCACUGCUAUUGCCAGUUACACUGCCGAUACCCGUUACUUCGCUGUUACUACUUCGUUGUUACUAUUGUGCUUGNNNNNNNNNNNNNNNNNNNNNNNNNNNNNNNNNNNNNNNNNNNNNNNNNNNNNNNNNNNNNNNNNNNNNNNNNNNNNNNNNNNNNNNNNNNNNNNNNNNNCUAUGUAUCCACACAUGUAUAUAAGUCUUCAUUCAAUACAAUUAUAGCAUGGAUAAUAAAUGAUUAUCUUGAUACAGGAAUUAUAAUAAUAACUAUAUUUAUUAUUGCCUCUAGGGCAUAAUUGCAACAGUCUCCCACUUGCACUAGAGUCAAUAAUCUAGCCCUCACAUCAUCAUGCGAAUUACAUUGUAAUAAAUCUAACACCCAUACAGUUCUGGUGUUGAUCAUGCUUUGCCCGUGGAAGAGGUUUAGUCAGCGGGUCUGCUACAUUCAGAUCCGUGUGCACUUUGCAUAUAUUUACGUCCUCCCCUUCGACGUAGUCGCGGAUGAGGUUGAAGCGUCGUUUGAUGUGUCUGGACUUCUUGUGAAACCGUGGUUCCUUUGCUAGGGCAAUGGCACCCGUGUUGUCACAGAACAAGGUUAUUGGAUUCAGUGCGCUUGGCACUACUCCAAGAUCUGUCAUGAACUGCUUCAUCCAGACACCCUCCUUAGCCGCCUCCAAGGCAGCCAUGUACUCCACUUCACAUGUAGAAUCUGCUUCGACGCUUUGCUUGGAACUGCACCAGCUUACCGCACCCCCAUUAAGAAUAAAUACGUAUCCGGUCUGCGACUUAGAGUCGUCCGGAUCUGUGUCAAAGCUUUCAUCAACGUAACCCUUUACGGCGAGCUCUUCGUCACCUCCAUACACAAGAAACAUCUCCUUAGUCCUUUUCAGGUACUUCAGGAUAUUCUUGACCGCCGUCUAGUGAUCCACUCCUGGAUACUCUGGAACCUGCCUGCCAUACUUAUGGCCAAGCUAACGUCCGGUCUAGUGCACAACAUUGCAUACAUGAUAGAACCUAUGGCUGAAGCAUAGGGGACGGUGCUCAUAUGCUCUCUAUCCUCAUCAGUUGCUGGGCACUGAGUCUUACUCAAUCUCGUACCUUGUAAAACUGGCAAGAACCCUUUCUUGGACUGUUCCAUUUUGAACCUCUUCAAAACUUUAUCAAGGUAUGUGCUUUGUGAAAGUCCUAUCAGGCGUUUUGAUCUAUCCCUGUAGAUCUUAAUGCCUAAAAUGUAAGCAGCUUCUCCUAGGUCCUUCAUAGAGAAACUUUUAUUCAAGUAAUCCUUUAUGCUCUCCAAAAACUCUACGUUGUUUCCAAUCAGCAAUAUGUCAUCCACAUAUAAUAUUAGAAACGCCACAGAGCUCCCACUCACUUUCUUGUAAAUACAAGAUUCUCCAACCACUUGUAUAAACCAAAAAGCUUUGAUCACCUCAUCAAAGCGUUUGUUCCAACUCCGAGAUGCUUGCACCAGCCCAUAAAUGGAUCGCUGGAGCUUGCACACCUUGUUAGCAUUCUUAGGAUCGACAAAACCUUCGGGUUGCACCAUAUACAACUCUUCCUUAAGGAAACCGUUAAGGAACGCCGUUUUGACAUCCAUCUGCCAGAUUUCAUAAUCAAAAAAUGCAGCUAUUGCUAACAUGAUUCUGACGGAUUUAAGCAUCGCCACGGGUCAUAAUGUCUCAUCGUAGUCAACUCCUUGAACUUGUGAAAAACCAUUUGCCACAAGUCGAGCUUUAUAAACGGUCACAUUGCCGUCACCGUCCGUCUUCUUCUUAAAGAUCCAUUUGUUCUGAAUAGCCUUGCGGCCCUCAGGUAGUACUUCCAAAGUCCAUACUUUGUUCUCAUACAUGGAUCCUAUCUCGGACUUCAUGGCCUCUAGCAAUUUGUUGGAAUCUGGGCCCACCAUUGCUUCUUCAUAAUUUGCAGGUUCAUUGUUGUCUAACAACAUAAUUGACAUGACGGGAUUACCGUACCACUCUGGAGCAGCACGUGGUCUCGUCGACCUGCGUGGUUCGACAGGAACUUGAACCGGAGUUUCAUGAUCAUCAUCAUUAACUUCCUCCUCAACCGGCGUCGCAAUGACAGAGGUUUCCCCUUGCCCUGCGCCACCAUCUAGAGGGAUGAGAGGUUCGACAACCUCAUCAAGUUCUAUCUUCCUCCCACUCAAUUCUCUCGAGAGGAACUCCUUCUCGAGAAAAGCUCCGUUUUUAGCAACAAACACUUUGCCCUCGGAUUUGAGAUAGAAGGUGUACCCAACUGUCUCUUUUGGGUAACCUAUGAAGAUGCACUUUUCCGCUUUGGGUUCCAGCUUUUCAGGCUGAAGCUUUUUGACAUAAGCAUCACAUCCCCAAACUUUAAGAAACGACAACUUUGGCCAUUUUCCAUACCACAGUUUGUAUGGUGUCGUCUCAACGGAUUUUGAUGGUGCCCUAUUUAAAGUGAAUGCAGCUGUGUCUAAUGCAUAACCCCAAAACGAUAACGGCAAAUCGGUAAGAGACAUCAUAGAUCGCACCAUCUCUAAUAAAGUAUGAUUACGACGUUCGGACACACCAUUACGCUGUGGUGUUCCAGGCGGUGUCAACUGCGAAACAAUUCCACAUUGUCUUAAGUGAGCACCAAACUCGAAACUCAGAUAUUCACCCCCACGAUCAGACCGUAGGAACUUGAUCUUCUUGUUACGAUGAUUUUCAAUUUCACUCUGAAAUUGCUUGAACUUUUCAAAUGUUUCAGACUUGUGCUUCAUUAAGUAGAUAUAACCAUAUCUACUCAAAUCGUCAGUGAAGGUGAGAAAAUAACGAUAUCCGCCACGUGCCUCUACGCUCAUCGGACCGCACACAUCGGUAUGUAUGAUUUCCAACAAGUCACUUGCAUGCUCCAUUGUUCCGGAGAACGGAGUUUUAGUCAUAUUGCCCAUGAGGCAUGGUUCGCACGUGUCAAGUGAAUCAAAGUCAAGUGACUCCAAAAGUCCAUCGGCAUGGAGUUUCUUCAUGCGCUUUACACCAAUAUGACCUAAGCGGCAGUGCCACAAAAAUAUGGCGCUAUCAUUGUUAACUCUAACUCUUUUGGUCUCAAUGUUAUGUAUGUGUGUAUCACUAUCAAGAUUCAAUAUGAACAAUCCUCUCACAUUGGGUGCAUGACCAUAAAAGAUGUUACUCAUAGAAAUAGAACAACCAUUAUUCUCUGACUUAAAAGAGUAACCUUCUCGCAAUAAACAAGAUCCAGAUAUAAUGUUCAUGCUCAACGCAGGCACUAAAUAACAAUGAUUCAAGUUCAUAACUAAUCCUGAUGGUAACUGAAGUGAAACUGUGCCGACGGCGAUUGCAUCAACCUUGGAACCAUUUCCUACGCGCAUCGUCACUUCAUCUUUCGCCAGCCUUCGUCUAUUCCGUUGUUCCUGUUUCGAGUUGCAAAUAUGAGCAACAGAACCGGUAUCGAAUACCCAGGCACUACUACGAGAGCCGGUUAAGUACACAUCAAUAACAUGUAUAUCAAAUAUACCUGAUUUUUCUUUGGUCGCCUUCUUAUCAGACAGAUACUUGGGGCAGUUGCGCUUCCAGUGACCCAUACCCUUGCAAUAGUAACACUCUGUUUCAGGCUUAGGUCCAGCUUUGGGUUUCUUCGUCAGAUUGGCAACAGGCUUGCCGCUCUUCUUUGAAUUAUCCUUCUUUCCUUUGUCUUUUCUCUUGAAACUAGUGGUCUUAUUCACCAUCAACCCUUGAUGCUCUUUACGGAGUUCAGACUCUACGACUUUCAGCAUCACAAACAACUCGCCGGGUGACUUGUUCAUCCCUUGCAUGUUGUAGUUCAACACAAAGCCUUUAUAGCUUGGCGGCAGUGAUUGAAGGAUUCUGUCAGUGAUAGCCUCUUGCGGGAGUUCAAUCCCCAGCUCAGCUAGACGGUUUGAGUACCCACACAUUUUGAGCACAUGUUCACUGACAGAUGAGUUCUCCUCCAUCUUGCAAGCAUAGAAUUUAUCGGAGGUCUCAUACCUCUCGAUCCGGGCGUUCUUCUGAAACAUGAACUUCAACUCCUGGAACAUCUCAAAUGCUCCAUGACGCUCAAAGCAACGUUGAAGUCCCGGUUCUAAGCCAUACAAGACUGCACAUUGAACUACUGAGUAGUCCUCCUUACGUGUUAACCAAGCGUUCUUAACAUCCUGGUCAGCCGUAGCGGGUGGUUCAUCUCCUAGCGCAGCAUUAAGGACAUAAUCCUUCUUCCCAGCUUGUAAGAUUAGCUUAAGAUUACGAGCCCAGUCUACAAAGUUGCUUCCAUCAUCUUUCAACUUAGCUUUCUCUAGGAACGUAUUAAAAUUCAGGGUGACUGUCGCGUGAGCCAUGAUCUACAACACAAAUAUAUUCAAAGUGGACUUAGACUAUGUUCAAGAUAAUUAGAGUUUAACUUAAUGAAAUUACUCGCUAAACUCCCACUCAAAAAGUACAUCUCUCUAGUCAUUUGAGUGGUUCAUGAUCCACUUACACUAGCUCAAGUCUGAUCAUCACGUGAGUUGAGUAUAGUUUCAGUGGUAAGCAUCCCUAUGCUAAUCAUAUCAUCUAUAUGAUUUAUGAUCGACCUUUCGGUCUCAUGUGUUCUGAGGCCAUGUCUGCACAUGCUAGGCUCGUCAAGCCUAACCCGAGUGUUCCGCGUGUGCAACUGUUUUGCAUCCGUUGUAUGUGAACGUUGAGUCUAUCACACCCGAUCAUCACCUGGUGUCUCGAAACGAUGAACUGUAGCAACGGUGCACAAUCGGGGAGAACACAAUUUCGUCUUGAAAUUUUAGUGAGAGAUCACCUCAUAAUGCUACCGUCGUUCUAACAAAAAUAAGGUCCAUAAAAGGAUUAACAUCACAUGCAAUUCAUAAGUGACAUGAUAUGGCCAUCAUCACGUGCGCCUUGAUCUCCAUCACCANNNNNNNNNNNNNNNNNNNNNNNNNNNNNNNNNNNNNNNNNNNNNNNNNNNNNNNNNNNNNNNNNNNNNNNNNNNNNNNNNNNNNNNNNNNNNNNNNNNNNNNNNNNNNNNNNNNNNNNNNNNNNNNNNNNNNNNNNNNNNNNNNNNNNNNNNNNNNNNNNNNNNNNNNNNNNNNNNNNNNNNNNNNNNNNNNNNNNNNNNNNNNNNNNNNNNNNNNNNNNNNNNNNNNNNNNNNNNNNNNNNNNNNNNNNNNNNNNNNNNAUUACUACUAAAGCUACAUCCUAGCAAAAUAGUAAACGCAUCUGCAAGCACAAACGUUAGUUUAAAGACAACCCUAUGGCUCCUGCCGGUUGCCGUACCAUCGACGUGCAAGUCGAUAUUAUCUAUUACAACAUGAUCNNNNNNNNNNNNNNNNNNNNNNNNNNNNNNNNNNNNNNNNNNNNNNNNNNNNNNNNNNNNNNNNNNNNNNNNNNNNNNNNNNNNNNNNNNNNNNNNNNNNNNNNNNNNNNNNNNNNNNNNNNNNNNNNNNNNNNNNNNNNNNNNNNNNNNNNNNNNNNNNNNNNNNNNNNNNNNNNNNNNNNNNNNNNNNNNNNNNNNNNNNNNNNNNNNNNNNNNNNNNNNNNNNNGUCCUCUAAUUUUGUUGCUGCAUGUUUUACGUGGUGACCAUGGGCAUCUAGUAGGAUCGCAUCUUACUUACGCAAACACCACAACGGAGAUAUAUGAAUUGCUAUUUAACCUUAUACAAGGACCUCCUCGGUCAAAUCCGAUUCAACUAAAGUUGGAGAAACUGACACUUGCCAGUCAUCUUUGAGCAACGGGGUUACUCGUAGCGAUGAAACCAGUCUCUCGUAAGCGUACGAGUAAUGUCGGUCCAAGCCGCUUCAAUCCAACAAUACCGCGGAAUCAAGAAAAGACUAAGGAGGGCAGCAAAACGCACAUCACCGCCCACAAAAACUUUUGUGUUCUACUCGAGAAGACAUCUACGCAUGAACCUAGCUCUGAUACCACUGUUGGGAAUGUCGCAUGGGAAACAAAAAAUUUCCUACGCGCACGAAGACCUAUCAUGGUGAUGUCCAUCUACGAGAGGGGAUAUUCGAUCUACGUACCCUUGUAGAUCGCACAGCAGAAGCGUUAGUGAACGCAGUUGAUGUAGUGCAACGUCCUCACGUCCCUCGAUCCGCCCCGCGAACCAUCCCGCGAUCAGUCCCACGAUCUUGUGCCGAACGGACGGCACCUCCGCGUUCAGCACACGUACAACUCGAUGAUGAUCUCGGCCUUCUUGAUCCAGCAAGAGAGACGGAGAGGUAGAUGAGUUCUCCGAUAGUGUGACGGCGCUCCGGAGGUUGGNNNNNNNNNNNNNNNNNNNNNNNNNNNNNNNNNNNNNNNNNNNNNNNNNNNNNNNNNNNNNNNNNNNNNNNNNNNNNNNNNNNNNNNNNNNNNNNNNNNNGGCAUAUUUCCAACAGUCUCCCACUUGCACUAGAGUCAAUAAUCUAGUUCACAUCACCAUGUGAUUCCAACGAAUCCAACACCCAUAUAGUUAUGGGGUCUGAUCACGUCUUGCUCGUGAGAGAGGUUUUAGUCAACGGUUCUGAAACUUUCAGAUCCGUGCGUUCUUUACAAAUCUUUAUGUCAUCUUAUAGAUGCUGCUACUACGUGCUAUUCGGAAAUACUCCAAAUAUCUACUCUACUAUACGAAUCCGUUUCACUACUCAUAGUUAUUCGGAUUAGUGUCAAAGCUUGCAUCGACGUAACCCUUUACGACGAACUCUUUAACCACCUCCAUAAUCGAGAAAAAUUCCUUAGUCCAUUAGUUACUAAGGAUAAAUUUCGACCGCUGCUAGUGAUUCAAUCAUGGAUCACUCUCUGUACCUCUCAACAUACUUUGAGUCAAGGCACACUUCAGGUGCGGUACACAGUAUGGCAUACUUUAGAUUCUACGGCUAAGGCAUAGAAGACGACCUUCGUCUAUUCUCUUUAUUCUGCCGUGGUCGGGUUUUGAGUCUUACUCAAAUUCACACCUCACAACGCAACCAAGAACUCCUUCUUUGUUGGUCUAUUUUGAACUCUUUCAAAAACUUGUCAAGGCAUGCAUCUUGUUGAAACUUCUAUUAAGCGCUUUCGAUCUAUCACCAUAGAUCUUUGAUGCUCAACGUUCAAGUAGCGUAAUCCAGGUACUCCUUUGAAAACUUCUUUCAAACAACCUUGUAUGCUUUACAGAAAUUCUACAUUACUUCUGAUCCACAAUAUGUCAACCACAUAUACCUAUCAGAAAUUCUAUAGUGCUCCCACUCACUUCUUUGGAAAUACAAGUUUCUCAUAAACCUUGUACAAACCCAAAAUCUUUGAUCAUCUCAUCAAAGUGUAUAUUCCAACUCCGAGAUGCUUGCACCAGUCCAUUGAAGGAUCACUGGAGCUUGCAUACUUGUUAGUAUCUUUAGGAUCGUCAAAACCUUCUGGUUGUAUCACAUACAAUGUUUGCUCAAGGAAACCGUCGAGAAAACAAUGUUUUGACAUCCUACGUGCAAUAUUUCAUAAAUAAUGCAUCAACAACUAACAUAAUUCCAACAGACCUUUAGCAUCGCUACGAGUGAGAAAGUCUCAUCAUAGUCAACUGUUUGAUCUUGUCGAAAACAUCUUUGCGACAAGUCGAGCUUUUCUUAAUAGUGACUUAUCACCAUCAUCGUCUGUCUUCUUUUAAAGAUCCAUCUUUACUCAAUAGUCUUAUGACCAUCAAGUAGUUCUUUCAAAGUCUACACUUUGUUUUAUACAUGGAUCCUCUCUCGGAUUUCAUGGCUUCCAGCCAUUUGUCAGAAUCUGGGCCCACCAUCGCUUUCUCCAUAACUCGUAGGUUCACUGUUGCUCAACAACAUGACCUCCAAGACAGGGUUACCGUACCACUCUGUAGUAGUAUGCGACCUUGUCAACCUACGAGGCUUGUACUAACUUGAUCCGAUGCUUGAUGAUCACCAUCAUCUGCUUCCACUUCAAUUGGUGUAGGCGCCACAGGAACAACUUCCUGCACCCUGCUACACACUGGUUGAAGUGAUGGUUCAAUAACCUCAUCAAGUUCUACUACCCUCCCACUCAAUUCUUUCGAGAGAAACCUUUCCUCGAGAAAGGAUCCGUUUCUAGAAACAAACACUUUGCUUUCGGAUCUGAGAUAGGAGAUGUACCCAACUGUUUUGGAUAUCCUAUGAAGAUGCAUUUAUCCGCUUUGGGUUCGAGCUUAUCAGACUGAAACUUUUUCACAUAAGUGUCGAAGCCCCAAACUUUCAAGAAACGACAGUUUAGAUUUCUCUAAACCUCAGUCUAUACUGUGUAAUCUCAACGGAAAUACGCGGUGCCCUAUUUAAAGUGAGUGCGGUUGUCUCUAAUGCAUAACCCAUAAACGAUAGUGGUAAUUCGAUAAGAGACAUCAUAGUAUGCACCAUACCAAAUAGUGCGUGGCUAUGACGUUCAGACACAUCAUCACACUAUGAUGUUCCAGGUGGCAUGAACUGCGAAACAAUUUCCACAUUGUCUUAACUGCGUACCAAAACUCAUAACUCAGAUAUUCAUUUCCAUGAUCAUAUCGUAGACAGUUUAUCCUCUUGUUACGACGAACUUCACUCUGAAACGGAAUUGAACUUUUCAACAUUUCAGACUUGUGAUUCAUUAAGUAAAUACUCCUGUAUCUACUCAAAUCGUCAGUGAAGUAAGAACAUAAUGAUAUCCACUACGUGCCUCAGCACCCAUUGGACUGCAUACAUCAAAAUGUAUCACUUUCAACAAGUUACUAUCUUAUUUCAUCUCAAUGAAAACAAGGCCUUGCUCAUGUGGUAUUAUUUGCAUGUCACUAGUGAUUCGAAAUCAGGUGAGUACAAAGAUCCAUCAGCAUGGAGCCUCUUCAUGCAAUUUAUACUAACAUGACUUAAGCGGCAGUGCCACAAGUAAGUGGUACUAUCAUCAUCAACUCGUAUCUUUUGGCACCAAUAUCAUGAACAUGUGUAACACUACGAUCGAGAUUCAAUAAACCAUUGAAGGUGAUUAUUCAAGAAAAUAGAGUAACCAUUAUUCUCUUUAAAUGAAUAAUCGUAUUGCAAUAAACACGAUCCAAUCAUGUUCAUGUUUAACGCAAGCACGAAAUAACAAUUAUUUAGGUUUAACACCAAUCCCGAUGAUAGAGGGAGCGUGCGACGUUUGAUCAUAUCAAUCUUGGAAACACUUCCAACACGUAUCGUCACCUCGCCUUUAGCUAGUCUCCGUUUAUGCCGUAGCUUUCAUUUCGCGUCACUAAUCACUUAGCAACUGAACUGGUAUCCAAUACCCUCGUGCUACUAGGAGUACUAGUAAAGUACACAUCAACAUCAUGUAUAUCAAAUACACUUCUUUCGACUUUUGCCAGCCAUCUUAUCUACCAAGUAUCUUGAGUUGCUCCGCCUCAGUGAUUGUUCCCCUCAUUACGGAAGCACUUAGUCUCGGGUUUGGGUUUAACAUUGGGUCUCUUCAUUAGUGCAGCAACUGUUUUGCCGUUUCACGAAGUAUCCCUUCUAGCCCUUGCCUUUCUUGAAACUUAGUGGUUUUACAAACCAUCAACUAUUGACGCUCCUUCUUGAUUUCUACUUUCGCAGUGUCAAACAUCACGAAUCGCUCAAGGAUCAUUGUAUCUAUCCUCAAUAUGUUAUAGUUCAUCACGAAGCUCUCACAGCUUGGUGGCAGUGUCUUUUGGAGAACCAUCACCAUCUCAUCUGGAAGAUUAACUCCCACUUGAUUCAAGUGAUUGUCGUACUCAAACAAUCUGAGCACACGCUCAUCGAUUGAGCUUUUCUCUUUUACUUUGUGGACAAAGAAUCUUGUUGGAGGUCUCGUACCUCUUAACAAGGGCACAAGCAUGAAAUCACAAUUUCAUCUCUUUAGAACAUCACUUAUGUUCCGUGACGUUUUACAACGUUUUCGGCGCCUUGCUUCUAAGCCAUUAAGUAUCUUGCACUGAACUAUUGUGUAGUAAUCAGAAACGUGUAUGUCGGAUGUUCACAGCAUCCACAGACGACGCUCGAGGUGCAGCACACCGAGUGGUGCAUUAAGGACAUAAGCCUUCUGUGCAGCAACGAGGACAAUCCUCGGUUUUACAGACUCAGUCUGCAAAGUUUGCUACUAUCAACUUUCAACUAAAUUUUCUCUAGGAACAUAUAAAAACAGUAGAGCUAUAGCGCAAGCUACAUCGUAAUUCGCAAAUACCAUUAGACUAUGUUCAUGACAAUUAGUUCAAUUAAUCAUAUUACUUAAGAACUUCCACUCAAAAAGUACAUCUCUCUAGUCAUUUGAGUGGUACAUGAUCCAAAUCCACUAUCUCAAGUCCGAUCAUCACGUGAGUCGAGAAUAGUUUCAGUGGUAAGCAUCUCUAUGCUAAUCAUAUCAACUAUACAAUUCAUGCUCGACCUUUCGGUCUCAUGUGUUCCGAGGCCAUGUCUGCACAUGCUAGGCUCGUCAAGCUUAACCCGAGUGUUCCGCGUGCGCAACUGUUUUGCACCCGUUGUAUGUGAACGUUGAGUCUAUCACACCCGAUCAUCACGUGGUGUCUCGAAACGAAGAACUGUAGCAACGGUGCACAGUCGGGGAGAACACAAUUUCGUCUUGAAAUUUUAGUGAGAGAUCACCUCAUAAUGCUACCGUCGUUCUAAGCAAAAUAAGGUGCAUAAAAGGAUUAACAUCACAUGCAAUUCAUAAGUGACAUGAUAUGGCCAUCAUCACGUGCUUCUUGAUCUCCAUCACCANNNNNNNNNNNNNNNNNNNNNNNNNNNNNNNNNNNNNNNNNNNNNNNNNNNNNNNNNNNNNNNNNNNNNNNNNNNNNNNNNNNNNNNNNNNNNNNNNNNNNNNNNNNNNNNNNNNNNNNNNNNNNNNNNNNNNNNNNNNNNNNNNNNNNNNNNNNNNNNNNNNNNNNNNNNNNNNNNNNNNNNNNNNNNNNNNNNNNNNNNNNNNNNNNNNNNNNNNNNNNNNNNNNNNNNNNNNNNNNNNNNNNNNNNNNNNNNNNNNNNNNNNNNNNNNNNNNNNNNNNNNNNNNNNAUUACUACUAAAGCUACGUCCUAGCAAAAUAGUAAACGCAUCUGCAAGCACAAACGUUAGUUAUAAAGACAACCCUAUGGCUCCUGCCGGUUGCCGUACCAUCGACGUGCAAGUCGAUAUUUCUAUUACAACAUGAUCAUCUCAUACAUCCAAUAUAUCACAUCACAUCGUUGGCCAUAUCACAUCACAAGCAUACCCUGCAAAAACAAGUUAGACGUCCUCUAAUUUUGUUGUUGCAAGUUUUACGUGGUGACCGGGGGUAUCUAGUAGGAUCGCAUCUUACUUACGCAAACACCACAACGGAGAUAUAUGAGUUGCUAUUUAACCUCAUCCAAGGACCUCCUUGGUCAAAUCCGAUUCAACUAAAGUUGGAGAAACUGACACUUGCCAGUCAUCUUUGAGCAACGGGGUUACUCGUAGCGAUGAAACCAGUCUCUCGUAAGCGUACGAGUAAUGUCGGUCCAAGCCGCUUCAAUCCAACAAUACCGCGGAAUCAAGAAAAGACUAAGGAGGGCAGCAAAACGCACAUCACCGCCCACAAAACCUUUUGUGUUCUACUCGAGAAAACAUCUACGCAUGAACCUAGCUCAUGAUGCCACUGUUGGGGAACGUCGCNNNNNNNNNNNNNNNNNNNNNNNNNNNNNNNNNNNNNNNNNNNNNNNNNNNNNNNNNNNNNNNNNNNNNNNNNNNNNNNNNNNNNNNNNNNNNNNNNNNNCCACUGUGCUGGAAAGGGGUUUUCAUCAUUGGUUUGAGUUUAUCCUUCUACAUCAUGUCAUCUUGCUUAAGGCGUUACUCUGUUCGUCAUGAACUCAAUACACUAGAUGCAUGCUGGAUAGCGGUCGAUGUNNNNNNNNNNNNNNNNNNNNNNNNNNNNNNNNNNNNNNNNNNNNNNNNNNNNNNNNNNNNNNNNNNNNNNNNNNNNNNNNNNNNNNNNNNNNNNNNNNNNNNNNNNNNNNNNNNNNNNNNNNNNNNNNNNNNNNNNNNNNNNNNNNNNNNNNNNNNNNNNNNNNNNNNNNNNNNNNNNNNNNNNNNNNNNNNNNNNNNNNNNNNNNNNNNNNNNNNNNNNNNNNNNNNNNNNNNNNNNNNNNNNNNNNNNNNNNNNNNNNNNNNNNNNNNNNNNNNNNNNNNNNNNNNNNNNNNNNNNNNNNNNNNNNNNNNNNNNNNNNNNNNNNNNNNNNNNNNNNNNNNNNNNNNNNNNNNNNNNNNNNUGGCCCCCGGGUCUACUUCACACCAUAUUUUUAACCUUACUCUUUUACUUCGUUGCACUUUCCGCCUUGAGAUCUCACUUUGCAAUCAAUCUUGAAGGGAUUGACAACCCCUUUACAGCGUUGGGUGCAAGCUCUUUUGUGUUUGUGCAGGUACUUUGGACUUGACGCGAUUCUCCUACUGGAUUGAUACCUCUGUUCUCAAACUGAGGGAAAUACUUACUGCUCUUGUGCUGCAUCGCCCUUUCCUCUUCAAGGGGAAAACCAACGCAAGCUCAAGAGACGACAGAAGGUUUCUGUCGACAUAGCAGGGAGCUUUGCACCCUCAUCGCCCGUCUUGAAGAGAAAGCUCCACUGAGGGCCUCCCUGGGGGCCCGCCGACGGAGUCCUUCCUCGCCAGUCCUCGAGCAUCCGCCGACUCGAUGGUGCUUGUAGAGGUGGAGCAGUGCGUGGAGCAGGAGCGUCUCGAGACGUGGGAGUGCCAGUUCUCGCUUGCUGAGGAAUCCCUUGCCUCUCGUGAAGCGAAGCUUCUGUAGGAGAUAGACAAGGGGGUGGCGGAGGCUCGACGUUCGCUUCUUCUCGAUUAUUGUGCAAAGUUGAGGCUCUAGGAGUCCCGCUUCCUCAAUCACCAUGGUUAGAUCAGGAAGUGGAAAGCUGACAAGCCGCGCUGGAUGCACAAGCCACUGCCGAGGGUAAGCUAUCUAAUAUCUGCAAACAAGUGAAAGGCGCGGCUUCCCUGGUUGGAGAGGCUUCCGAAGAGGCAACCCGCGCUCGCAACCUUCAACUUGAGCGCUCCAGGAUGUUCCGGUCCCUCGAGCGGAGGGCUUCCCACGCUCUGAGCGACAUCUGUGGAGAAGGCGUUUCCGGUCCCCUGAUUCCCGACGACUCCGGGUACUUGGGCUUUUUCUAUCGCGUCUUAGAGCAUCUUGAGGCGGGCGCCGAGAAGGCCCUUGCGCUUGCGGAGGAGAAGAGCCGCGACCUUUUGGGUCAGGCCGCCUCGGACGUCUUCAGCCACCUCCUUCGCCCUGACCCCGACUUUGACUUUGCUUCGAUGAUGGAUCCGGUGCCAGAGUUGAUACACGCCGCCCUUUUAACGUGUUCCCUGAUGACGAGGUUUGCGCGACGCUUCCAUACUGGCCGCGGUUGUUGCCAGCAUCUGAUGUCGCCAUGCUAAUGAUUUGUCCUGCGAGCGUGGGCUCGUUCAUGGUGUCUCCUUCCUGCUUUUGGGGCGGUUUUAGGACCCUUUCGGCACUCUGUGUCUGCAGGUCCUGGUCCUGCACAUUUCCCUGUCGUCGUGCGGCGUAACCCAUUACCAAGGUUGCUCCUCACGAGGCAAAGCACCGGCGCCCUGGGGGGCGAGUGGCAUUAUGACCAGUGAGGCCCCUAAGGCGUGCUGCUCAGGAGCCCCCUUUGACACUCAAGCCACUCUACGUCGCCAGGCCCCAGUCCCGCACAUUUCCCUGCCGCCGCGGAGCUAGCGCUUCACAGGGCGGGGCCCCGCCACUCUCGACGCCGACUGGAUCUCCCGGACGUCGCCAACAGUGGCGAGUUGCAUUAUGACCGGUAAGGCUCCUGAGGCGGAGCCCAAGAACCCCCCCUUUCUAGUGCUCGAGCGAUUCCACACUUCGCCCCUUUUUGCGAUUAACUCGGGAGGGCCGAAGACCUCCUGAGGUUCCCGCGAAACACCAAUCGGAGCAAAGGGGGAAAGAGAACACGAGUUCGGCAAAGCGAGAGAACACAGAAACGAGAUCCCCACCCUUCUUUUCUUUUCAAAACAUGAAGUAGAGAAACCUGCGAGCCCUCGACAGCUCAGGAUACAGUAGCAAGGGAAAGUCCCUAGUGGGCCUCGACUUAAAACGCAAUGAAGAAACGAGAAAAAUCUGCGUCUGGCAUCCUAGCUAUUCACCGCCUCCGUCUCCCCCUGGUGCUGAGCAUAGGGCUUCCACUAGGCGUGGGGUGGACCCCUUCNNNNNNNNNNNNNNNNNNNNNNNNNNNNNNNNNNNNNNNNNNNNNNNNNNNNNNNNNNNNNNNNNNNNNNNNNNNNNNNNNNNNNNNNNNNNNNNNNNNNNNNNNNNNNNNNNNNNNNNNNNNNNNNNNNNNNNNNNNNNNNNNNNNNNNNNNNNNNNNNNNNNNNNNNNNNNNNNNNNNNNNNNNNNNNNNNNNNNNNNNNNNNNNNNNNNNNNNNNNNNNNNNNNNNNNNNNNNNNNNNNNNNNNNNNNNNNNNNNNNNNNNNNNNNNNNNNNNNNNNNNNNNNNGUGUCCCUACCCCCGAGGCAUUAGGCACCUGAUUCCGGAAGUCAUUGGGGGACCGUGUUGAAUCCUCCUUCUUCUCCAUUAGGCGUGGUGUGGACCCCUUCCGCGUCCUCAGGGGGCCCUGAGCGUAUACUGCCUCGGCUCACGUGAGAGUGUCACGGGAUGAAGUAGGUUCCAAAAGAAUUGAAGGACGAUGCAGGGUCGAUACAGAGGUGGCGCCGGGGCGUCGUGGGGGUGGUGUCGGGGCAUCGUGGGGGCGGCGCCGAGGUGUUACGGGUUGAUACGGGGCCCGGGGAUUCUUCGAGGGCUCCAUGCCCCAUGGGAGUGUGACGUCAGUUGUGCUUCUCUGGCAAUNNNNNNNNNNNNNNNNNNNNNNNNNNNNNNNNNNNNNNNNNNNNNNNNNNNNNNNNNNNNNNNNNNNNNNNNNNNNNNNNNNNNNNNNNNNNNNNNNNNNGAAUUCAAUUUAAUUAUUCGUGUUCAUUAUAUCCUAUUCAUCCUUGUAAUUCUUUCCUAUGUUGGAGAUUCUUAUCAGUCUAUCUUGUUUAUUCAGUUAUCUCUAUUCUAUCCGGAGCGUUGAAGUUAUCUCAGAAAUUCUUGUUUUCAAUUCUUGCAUUUAUUUCAAGGUGCCCAGCCUCAUCUAGUUGUCAUUUAUACCGGUGCAAUAUCUCUCUUCUAAGCAAUCUUUCUAACGGUGGUUUCUUUGAGUGGGCCCAUAACCCACAGGUUCUUUCCCAGGAUCUUACCUGGCUCUUGUAAUAUUUUCUGGAGAUCUUUAAUUCUUUUCAACUACGACGUAAGUAUGAAUUUCAUCAGUCAUACCCCUUCUUCAAGAUCAAUUUGAAUUAAUUCUCAUAUUUGGCGCAACCUUUCAUUCUUCAUUAUUCUGGAGUGCCUCAUUAUUCUUGGUGUUGUUCCUUGUCAUCAUUCUCAGCUUGCAAAUUCGAAGGAGUGUUUCUCUCAAAUCUUGCUCCCUUCUUGUGAAGAUUGUCAUCUCAGCUUCGUGUUAUCCUCUCAAUUGUUUAUUUCAUGAGUGAUUCAUUUCUUGCCAUCCGGUGCAUUUCUGAGUUGUUUUUAUUUCUCGUUCAUCCGGAGGCCAUCAUUUUAGAAGAUUCUUCGUUCUCGGCUUUCAGCUUUCAUCCUCAAAUCUUCUCAAUUGUUGUCUCUUCGUUCAUCUCUCGAUUAUCCGGUGCUUUGUUCAAGUUUUCUUUCAGGUACAUCAUGAUCUCUUCAUUCUCAUGUAUAUCCAUUAACUCUUGGUAUUCCCAUUCAGUUGUGAAUUCUCACCGGUGCUCCCGUCAAUUAUGCGUCAUGUGGUGCAUACCUAUCUUUCUCUUCAAGUUUCUUUCAAGAGUAAUAAGUUGUUGCUAAAUCCGUUGCUUGUCAUCAAUUAAACUUGAUGAAGGAUAAGCAUAACAUAAUUCUUAUUCUAGUUCGUAGUAUUUUGAAUUCUUCUUUCGGAGUGGCUCAUGAUAUCAAUUCCUUUUUCUCAACUGUUAUUAUCUUUUCUUUUCCGGAGUUCCAAGUUCUCUCAAGAAUCUCUUUGUGAGGCUUCAUCUUAAUUUUGGAAAGUUCAUAAUCUUAUUCUUUUCUACCUUCAUGUCGUUGCAUCAUUCAUUUUUUAUACGGAGGUCCUUCUUGGUGGUUCAUCAAGGUUUCAAUCCAUUCUCAAGUGUUCUUCAAGAUUCUUGUUGGAGAACCUCAAGUAUCCUUUCUCUUGCAUUUCUAUGAGCAUUUGUUCUUUCUUUAUCCUUUGAGGUGGUAUUAUAGCAUUCUUGUAGUGUAGGAGCCUCGAAGAGAUUUCCUUUCAAGAAUAAGAUAAUUAAACCCACCAAUUCUAUGAUCAUGAGAUAUUUUCAACCCAUGAUUUCUUCAUUGAGCUAUCUUGGUUUGGAUUUCACCUAAAUCUUUUCCUAUGGAUUGUUGCUAUCAUGGUGCUUGCCAUUAAUCCAAGGUCAAUGUAUCCUCUUGGGGUAAGUAAUUGUUCAUAUCUUGUUUCUCCCAAUCAAUCCUUGUUUCUGUUAGUGGUUGGUUGUCACCUCAUAUUUGUUGAGAUGAUUUUCAUAAGCCCACUACUAUCUUGUUCUUUUCGUUGUUGUUUUUCCAACAACUUCGUCCAAUUCUUCUUGCAAGGAUGCUUGCCAAGUUCAUUAGAGUUAGUAGUUGUCAUUCUCUCUUCAUUCUCUUCUUCCGUAUGAGCUAGUUCAUAUUCUCUUGUUCCGGAGGCUUUGUGAUGUUGCUCUUUUGGGUCUAUUAUGUUGUUCUACCAAGAUCAUGGUGUUCCCUUGCUCUAUUUAGUUGUUUGUUAUGUAUAUUGUGUAAUUCUCUCUUCUUAUCGAAUUUUUUGUCCCUUUUUCCUACCGAAGUGCUGCCGAAAUUUUCCGUGAAUUCUUGCUUCUUUCUCAUAUCAUUCCUCAUCGCCUUGCAACUUUCAAGGAUCGUUGAUUUCACUCGUUUGUCAAAUAAGCGAUUAAGUUUUACCUCUUGUUUUCUCAUCCUCUCCCCCUUUCAUUCUUGGAUCUCGGGGCUAGAUCCUCUUGUAGUGUAGGAGAGUUGUGACAUCCCGAUGCCGACGUGCCAGAAGAUUCCCCUUCUAUUCCGUUUUCGUCGUGUGUCUAUUUUCUUUUGUCGCACCAUCAUCGCAUCAUGCGCAUCAUCAGCAUUGCAUCGGCACCCCGUUGCUGCCAGUUUUCAAAACUUGCAUCCAUUGUUAGUUGCCGAUUCUCGUCGUUGUCCGUUCUGAGCCCGGCGGCACUCGCACGCGGCCGCGGCAUCGUCAAAACCCUGUUUUAAAAGUGUGUUGAAAUUUUUCUUUGAUUGGGUUGGAAUUUGACGUGCGGUAGUUAUCAGAUAUAGCUAGGCCGCCUGUCGAAUUUCGUCGCGAUCGGAGUCCGUCUGGUACCCGAACGGUCGACCGUAGCGGCACCGUAUUCGGUCUAUCGUCGGACGUUUUCAGGUAUUUUAAAUCUAGUUGCCGGGCUGCCCGUUUUCCCUCCCAUCUCCGCCUAGCCCCUCUGCACAGUGCACCGACCCUACACGCAACCUAGUCCGAAAACCUUCCCCGGAUCCGAACCAGGUGCUCGUAACUGUUGGGUCCGGAUCAACCCCGUUUAACCGCAAACCGUCAUCGGUUUGUCCAUUGAAACCCUAACCUAUUUAUCCGCGACCGUUCGAUUACGAUCGGAAGGUCUUGAGCUAGAUUCAUUUCCCUAUAUAUAGGUCCAUCCAGUCCAAUCAGACCAAAGCCUAGUUUUUAGGGAUCCUACCCCUGUUUACUCGCCGCCGCCAACCACCUCGCUUUCCCCACCGGGCCAACCAGAGCGCUCGCCUGCAACGCCAUGUCUUCUGCAGCAGCAAGCUCGCUGACCCGCCCGCUGACUCGCCAAUGAUCGGAUCCAUGCCGUCUCUCACUCCCGACCUCGGGAACCCCGCCUCGUCCUUCUGCUGGUGUGCAGAGCCACGCCUCCCCUUGCCUCUCUUCUUCUUCCUCCCUCUCCUCUGUUCCCCUCUCUCUGGUUCUCCCCUCGUCUCUCACCUUCUCUUUCUACAGGAUCAACAGCUUCGAAGGAAUUCCAUGGUGCGCUGUCCCUCCUGCUCGUCGCCUCUUUGCCUUCCCCCACCCGGCACCUGCGCGCCUGCCUCUCUGACCUGGCGCUGGCCGGCGAGACGCCGGCAGGCAACAACACGGGAGGAGCUACGUGCCACCGAUAUCCGGGGCAGCAAGUGCGACGCCAGGCCCCUGUCCUCUCUCUCUCUUUCUUCUCCCCUUCUGCUAAUUUCCCUCUCUCUGAAUUCUCUCUUCUCCUGUUCUAUUUUCAGACUUCUGCAACGCCAUGGAUGAGCCCCUGCAGCCCCCGUUCGCCGGAGCUCCCCGUCGCCCCGCUCCCGAUCCAGCGAUCUGCAGCCGGAUCCCUAGUCCCUCAGCCGGAUCCGGCGAAUCCAGCACCGCCGUGGACCUGCUGGCCUUUGAUUUCCUCCGCCCGUGCCACCCUCCGCGAACCCCCGUUUGUUGCAGGUCCGUAGCCAUUGUUUCCACCGCGUAUGCCUCUGUGCGUUCGUGUAGAAGUAAAAACUACAACAUCAUUAGUAUUGUGGUUCUGCUCUACUCCUAGUUCCAAUCGACAAGCAGAACCGAGUCGGCUAGCAACGCUGGGUUUCUUCCCACAGGACUGGUGUUCGAAUCCUAUCUUUGCCAAUAUAAUUUUUUGCGUGUUUUGCACUCUGCGUAGGGACAUCCAUCAAUAGUAAACCGUUCCUGGUUUUUCCACAAGUAUUGUAGCAGCACACUGGUUGGAGCCUUCGUCUGCACCACUGAGGUCCUCGGAUCGAAUCCCAUUCCAGCAUCAUUUUAUUUUCUGUCUUUGUUUUCUUUUCGGUGCUGCACAUGGUCAUUGGGCUGCUGCACUAUGGUGCAAAUGAGCCCAUUGUAGUUUUUUUAACGUCUUCCAGUUUGCUUUCCAAUUACGAGGUAUUUUAGAAAAAGCGGCAUAUUUUAAAACGCUCAUAGUUUUAGAUCCGUAUGUCGGGUCACAACAAGUUAGUUAUGUAACUUGUCUAGAAUUUUGCGUAGGGUAAUAUUUUUUCCAACUCUCAUGCAUAAUUAGAACUGUUUAGUGUGCUGUUUGCAUUGGUUUGCAUGUCGAAGUGUUGAAAACGGUUUAGGUCGUAUCUAUUUUACCGUAGCUCCGUUGGAGAUGUGCCAUAUAUGUAAAUGGACCAGAACGACGAGUAGAAUCACGUGAACCACUUUGUUUUGCCGUUUAACAAACCUAAAAUGUGUUUAGGACAAAUCUGGACAGAAUUAGGAUUUAACACGUGGGGUCAUUUCGGAGGUACUAUAUGUUGUUUCCGGUCUCAUUGAAAAUGCCUAGCUAGGUAGAUUAAUUUGUGCUUCACCCCGUGUCAUGUUAACAAUAUUUUAAUAUUGCCGUGUUAAUAAACGAGAAUGAACUAAAUAAUUAAACGUGGAGCUUCGUCGAUAUACAACUCAUUGCAUAUCGAGCUUCACUUAAUGUGUAGUGUUUGAUUGUUGUGAUUGUCAUGCCGUGCAUUAGACCGUUCAUGCAUCAUGUGUGUCUUGCAUCGUGUGGUGUAUAUCGUGUGUUGAUGCUUGUUUCGGGUUUCCUCCGUCUCGAUAGAGUUCCGCAAGCGUGUCGGAUGUGAGGACUGUUCGACUACAUCGGUUCGUCUGCUUCACGGAGUCAUUCUUAUUCCAAGCGGGAUCUCAGGCAAGAUGAUCAUUUCCCCAGAUACCAUUACUAUCAUUGCCAUGCUAGUUUUACCGUUUCUAUCGAUUAUGUCUCGUUGCCUACCACCUGUUACAUAUUAGCCUCUCAACAAUGCCAUGAAACCUUCAACCUGUUUGACCUAGCAAACCACUGAUUGGCUAUGUUACUGCUUGCUUAACCAUGUUGUUAGCGUUGCUAGUUGCAGGUGCAGUUGCUUCCAUGUGAUAACAUGGGUCCCUUGUCUUAUCACCAUAUUAAUGCUAUUUAAUUUAAUGCACCUAUAUACUUGGUAAAAGGUGGAAGGCUCGGCCUUUCUAGCCUGGUGUUUUGUUCCACCUUUGCCCCCUUAGUUUCGGCUACCGGUGUUAUGUUCCAUAAUUGAGCGCUCCUAACACGAUCGGGGUUGUUAUGGGGACCCCCUUGAAAAUUCGUUUUAGAUUAAAGCUGGUCUGGCAAGGCCCAACAUUGGUACUAUUUGCCCAACAUAAUAAUUUGAUAAUACUGAAAUGCAUAGGGAGUUAGCGCUACCCGAGGAGUAAUUCCACAUAAUACAAGUAGGGCUAGUGCUGAUGGUGCUGGUCCAAAACAGAGCACUUUGCGGGCACCGCGAGGAAACUCGAGGUUUGGCAUUCGUACGCGUCGCUUAUCCGUCGUGUCCUGAAAACGAGAUACGCGGCUCCUAUCGGGAUCGUCGACACGCCGGGCGGCCUUGCUGGAUUAGUUUUACCUUUGACGAGAUAUCUUGUGCAUCAGGAUUCCGGUGAUGCUUUGAGUAAUCUCAGAGUUGAGGUUUUCCACCACGGAAUCCGACGAGAUCGCGAGCUUCGUGAUUGAGGAUUUCUAUGCGGCUUGUGGUAAUUUGUGAUGGACUAGUUGGAGCACCCCUGCAGGGUUAAGUAUUUUCGGAAAGCCGUGCCCGCAGUUAUGUGGCAACGUGGAAACAUUGUUUAACACUGGUUCUAGAUAACUUGAAGUUAACUUAAUUAGAAUAUGCCAACUGUGUGCGUAACCGUGACUGUCUCUUUCGUGAGUUCCUUCUCCGAUCGAGGACACGGUGGGGUUAUGUCUGACGUAGGUCGGUGUUCAGGAUCAUUCAUUUGACCACCAGUAGUCACGUCCGUUAUGCGUAGAUCUUCCCCCUCUUAUUUCUUGUACUCGUAAGUUAGCCACCAAAUACAUGCUUAGCCGCUGCUGCAACCUCACCACUUAUCCAUACCUCACCCAUUAAGCUUUGCUAGUCUUGAUACCUUUGGAAAUGAGAUUGCUGAGUUCCCUGUGGCUCACAGAUUACUACAACACCAGUUGCAGGUACAUGUAAAGGUUAUUUGAUGCGAGCGCGUUUAUUGUUCAUUUGGAGUUGCUUCUUCUUCUUCUUCUNNNNNNNNNNNNNNNNNNNNNNNNNNNNNNNNNNNNNNNNNNNNNNNNNNNNNNNNNNNNNNNNNNNNNNNNNNNNNNNNNNNNNNNNNNNNNNNNNNNNNNNNNNNNNNNNNNNNNNNNNNNNNNNNNNNNNNNNNNNNNNNNNNNNNNNNNNNNNNNNNNNNNNNNNNNNNNNNNNNNNNNNNNUCUUCUUCUUCUUCUUCAUCGAUUUAGGAUGGGUUCCAGGCCGGCAGCCUGGGAUAGCAAGGAUGGACGUCGUUCUUAUUUUCUCGUUUGUUUUCAUCCGUAGUCGGACCCUGCUCUUACUCUUGAUGAUUAUGUAAUGUACUAAUGUGACUCUGAUUUAGCUUGUGGCGAGUGUAAGCCAACUCUGUAUAUAUAUCUCUUCUUUUGAGUACAUGUACUUGUAACGGUAUCCAUUCUUGUGACACGACGAGAUGCAUUUCUAUCCCUGACGAGGCCUUCGUGCCAAAUUGAGGAUAGGGUCGCAUCUUGGGCGUGACAAGAUAAUAGCAUGAAACCAUAAAAAAUUAUAGAUACGUUGGAGAUGUAUCAAGCAUCCCCAAGCUUAACUCCUGCCCGUCCUCGAGUAGGGAAGUGAUAAAGACUAAAUUUUUGAUGUGGAAUGCUACCUAGCAUAGUUGUCCUUUGUAACUUAUUUCAUGUGACAAUAAUGUUCAGAUCCGUAAGAUUCAAAACAAUAGUUUGCUAUUGACAUUAAAACAAUAAUACUUCAAGCAAACUAGCAAGGUAAUCAUGAGCUUUCGAAAUAACAAGGCCAAAGAAAGUUCUCCCUAUAAAAUCGUAUAGUCUGGCUGUGCUCCGUCAUCCCCACACAACUAAUUUAAAUCAUGCACAACCCCGGUAUUGGCCAAGUAAUUGUUUUUCCACUCUUACUUUCUCAAACUUUUUAUAACUAUCACGCAAUACAUGAGCGUGAGCCAUGGAUAUAGCACUAUAGGUGGAAUAGAGUGUGGUGGUGGUUGUGAGACAAAAAAGGAGGAGAUGGUCACAUUGACUCGGUGUAUAAAAGGGCUAUGGAGAUGCCCAUUAAUAGCUAUCAAUGUGAAUGAGUAGGGAUUGCCAUACAAACGAUGCACUAGAGUUAUCAGUAUGUGAAAUCUCAAAAGAAGAACUAGUGGGUGUGCAUCCAACUUGCUUGCUCAUGAAGACCUAGGGCAAUUUGAGGAAGCCCAUCAUUGGAAUAUACAAGCCAAGUUAUAUAAUAAAGACUCCCACUAGCAUGUGGUGGUGACGAAACGAGAGGCUCUCAAUCAUGAAGAACAUGGUGCUAUUAUGAAGAACAAGUGUGGAAAGAGAUAGUAGCAUUGUCCCUUCUCUCUUUUUCUCUCUCUCUUUUUUUAUUUGGGCUCUUUGGCCCCCUUUUUUUUAUGUGGGCAACUUUGGCCUAUUUUUUCAUUUCCUCACAUGGGACAAUUCUCUAAUAAUGAUGAUCAUCACACUUUUAUUUACUCACAACUCAAAUCUUAGAACGAUGAUGACUCUAUAGGAAAUGCCUCCGGUAGUGUACCGGGAUGUGCAACGAUCUAGCUUAGCAUAUGACGUUGAAACAUCUCUCUAGCUAUCUUACGAUCACGCAAUGGCAAUAUGAGAGUGAUGGCACAAGUCAUGAGGCAGAACGGUGGGAGUUGCAUGGCAAUAUAUCUCGGAAUGGCUAUGAAAAUGCCAUAGUAGGUAGGUAUGGUGGCUGUUUUGAGGAAGGCAUAUGGUGGGUUUGUGCACCGGCGAGAAUUGCGCGGUACUAGAGAGGCUAGCAAUGGUGGAAGGUGAAAGUGCAUCUAUACCAUGGACUCACAUUAGUCAUGAAGAACUCACAUACUUGUUGUGAAAGUUUUUAUUAGUGAUCGAAACAAAGUGCUAAACGCAUACUCCUAGGGGAAGGGUUGGUAGGUGUUAACCAUCGCGUGAUCCCGACGGCAACAUAAAGGAUGACAAUCAAUAGAUCAAUUAUGCUCCGACUUCCUAACAUAGCGGUUCACCAUACGUGCAUGUUACGGGAAUCACUAACUUCAACACAAGUAUUUCUAGAUUCACAACACCAUACUAACAUAACUCUUAAUAUUACCAAAUCCACGUCUCAAAACUAAUUGAGAGGAAUCAGACUUCUCUUUCUACACAAUGCACAUGAAGAUGGAAGUUUUUGUAUCCUCUUUGGGUACCUAUAACCUUUGGGACUACUUUCAUAGCACAAACCAACUACCAAGUCACGCACUGCCGUGCUCUAAAAGAUCUAAGUGAAGCACAUAGAGCAAAAUUAUCUAGCUCAAAAAAUAUAAGUGAAGCACGAUGAGCAUUCUAGCAAAAUCACGAUGAGUACACGUCUCUCUCAAAAGGUGUGCAGCAUGGAUGAUUGUGACACAACAAAAAGAAAAGACUCCUACGAUACAGGACGCUUCAAGCAAAACACAUAUCAUGUGGUGAAUAAAAAUAUAGCUCCAUGUAAUGUUACCGAUGGAUUGAAGACGAAAGAGAGGAUGCCUUCCCGGGUCAUCCCCGAGCUUAGGUUUUUUGGUGUCCUUGAUUUUGGCUUGGGAUGCCUUGGGCAUCCCCAAGCUUGAGCUCUUUGCACUCUUUAUCCCUUUGUCCAUGAGAACAUCACCCAAAACUUGAAAACUUUACAACACAAAACUUAAACAGAAACUCGUGAUAUCAUUAGCACAAGAAAACAAACUACCACCUCUUUAGGUACUGUAGCAAUCUUGAUUUCUAUUUAUAUUGGUGUGAUAUUACUGUAUUCUCACUUUUCCAUGGCUAGUACCCCCCGAUACUAUCCAUAGUUUCAUCAAAACAAGCAACCAACUCAACAAAAACAGAAUCUGUCAAAAACAGACUAGUAUGUAGCAAUCUGUAUACUUCGUAUAUUUCUUUUACCUCCAAAAUUAUGAACAGUUAUGACUGCUUGGGCAAAAGGCAUAUCAAUCAGCAGAAAAAAUAAUCAACUCAAAAGCUCUUUCUGAAUAAAAAUAAAAAAUAAUCUCGUAAGAGAAAAGUUUCUGUCUUUUUCCAGCAGGAUCAAACAACCAUCACCAAGACUAGUCAUAAAGGUUUUGCUUGGCUCAAACACAAAAAGAAACAAAAAAACACAAUCAUAACAGAAUUAUGAUGGUGUGGACGCAAGAAAACAGAAAGAAAAAGGUAAAUUCAUUGGGUUGCCUCCCAACAAGUGCUAUCGUUUAACACUCUUAGCUAGGCAUAAAGCGAUGGAAUCACGUAUCGUCGUCUUUGGUGCUCAAACCAUAAGUAUCCCUCAUCAUGGAUUCAUAAGGCAAUCUUAUUUUCUUUCUAGGAAAAGGCUCCAUGCCCUUUUUAAAGGAAAUUGGAAUCCAAAAUUCCCUUCCUUCAUAUCGAUGAUAGCACCGAUAGUCCUUAGGAAAGGUCUACCAAGAAUAAUAGGGCAUGUAGGAUUGCAAUCGAUGUCAAGCACAAUGAAAUCCAUGGGUACAUAGUUCCUAUUUGGAAUAAUAAGAACAUCAUUGAUCCUUCCCAUGGGUUUCUUGAUAGUAGAGUCCGCAAGAUGCAAAUUAAGAGAACACUCCUCAAUCUCAUUAAAACCCAGAACAUCGCAUAAAGACUUUGGAAUCGCGGAAACACUAGCACCCAAAUCACACAAGGCAUUGCAUUCAUAGUUUUUAUUUAGAUUUUGAUAGUAGGUUCCCACUCAUCAUGAAGCUUUAUAGGGAUAAAGACUUCCAAUUCAAGUUUCUCUUCAAGAGAUUUUAUCAUAGCUUCGACGAUAUGAUCGGUAAAGGCCUUGUUUUGGCUAUAAGCGUGUGGAGAGUUUAGCAUGGAUUGCAUCAAAGAAAUGCAUUCAAUCAAGGAGCAACUAUCAUAAUUGAUUUCCUUGAAAUCCAAAGUAGUAAUUUCAUUAAUACUCAAGGUUUUAAUAUCUUCCACUCCACUUUCAAUGCUUUUAGCAUCAAGAUAGAUGGACUCCUAAUAAUUGGGGCAUUUUUCAACCAAAGUGGAUUCAUAUCCAGCCCCAUCAUCAUUAGGUUUGACACAAGAAAACAAAGAUUCAAUCGGAGUCAUACCAAGCACUUUAAGAUCUUCGUGAUUCUCAGGUUUAGCAGCCAUUUUAUUGACUAAAGUAGCAUGUUUAUCAGAAAUCUGGCCUACCAAUUUUUCAAGACGAGCAAACUGAGAAUUUAGCGCAAGGAAUUCUUUGGCCAUAUCAUCAACUUCUUUAUUCAUAAAAGCCAAAAAAGAAUUUUGCUCCUUCAUUUCUCUACGGAAGUAACUGUUGUAUUCAAACUGUGUAGACAUGAAGCCUUUAACACUGGUUUCAAUCUCUUCCAACCUCGCAUAGUGAGCAUCCAAAUCCCUUGGUUGGGCCAUACAGGUCUUAGCAGGCAGACAAGCGAACAGAAAGCAAGCGAGAGAAAAGGGCGAAUGAAAAAGGCAAACGAAAAAGGCAAAUAUUUUUGUAUUUUUUUGUUUUUUUCAGAAGCGAGGGAGAGGAAAACGAGAGGCAAAAAAGUAAAUGCAAGAAAUGAGUUUGCGACACUUACUUGGAUGAGUUCUUGACUUGAUCCUCCCCGGCAACGGCGCAUGAAAUCCUUCUGCUACGUCGACAGAAACCUUCUGUCGUCUCUUGAGCUUGCGUUGGUUUUUCCCUUGAAGAGGAAAGGGUGAUGUAGCGCAGCAGCAGUAAGUAUUUCCCUCAGUUUGAGAACCAAGGUAUCAAUCCAGUAGGAGAAUCGCGUCAAGUACAAAGUACCUGCACAAACACAAAAGAGCAUACACCCAACGCUAUAAAGGGGUUGUCAAUCCCUUCAAGAUUGAUCGCAAAGUGAGAUCUGAAGGCGGAAAGUGCAACAAAGUAAAGGAGUAAGGCUGAAAAUAUGGUGUGAAGUAGACCCCGGGGCCAUAGUGUUCACUAGAGGCUUCUCUCAAAAUAGCAAAUAUUACGGUGGGUGAACAAAUUACCGUCGAGCAAUUGAUAGAACCGCGCAAAGUCAUGACGAUAUCUAAGGCAAUGAUCUUAUAUAUAGGCAUCACGUCCGAGACAAGUAGACCGAUACUUUCUGCAUCUCCUACUAUUACUCCACACAUCGACCGCUAUCCAGCAUGCAUCAAAUGUAUUGAGUUCAUGACGAACAGAGUAACGCCUUAAGCAAGAUGACAUGAUGUAGAGGGAUAAACUCAAACCAAUGAUGAAAACCCCAGCUUUUUACCCUUGAUGGCAACAACACGAUGCGUGCCUCGCUACCUCUUCUGUCACUUGGUGAGGUCACCGCACGGUAUGAACCCAAAACCAAGCACUUCUCCCAUUGCAAGAAUCAUAGAUCAAUUUGGCCAAACAAAACCCACAACUCGAAGAGAAUUACAAGGAUAUGAUAUCAUGCAUAUAAGAGAUCAGAAGAAACUCAAAUAAGAUUCAUAGAUAAUCUGAUCAUAAAUCCACAAUUCAUCGGAUCUCGAUAAACACACCGCAAAAGAAGAUUACAUCGGAUCGAUCUCCAUGAAGAUCAUGGAGAACUUUGUAUUGAAGAUCCAAGAGAGAGAAGAAGCAAUCUAGCUACUAGCUAUGGACCCAUAGGUCUAUGGUGAAGUACUUACACAUCAUCGGAGAGGUCAUGGUGUUGAUGAAGAAUCCCUCUGUAUCCGAAUCCCCCUCCAGCAGGGCACCAGAACAUGCCAGAGAUGGGAUCUUGCGGAGACAAAAGCUUGCGGCGGCGGAAAUGUACUUUCAAUGAUCUCCUGAUUUUUUCUGGGAUUUUAGGGAAUAUAUAGGCGAAGGAGCUAGGGCAGAGGAGGCCUAGGGAGCCCACAAGCCUGGGAGGCGCGGCCCCCCUGGCCGCGCCAUGAGGGCUUGUGGGGUCCCUGGUGACCCUUUGCCUUGGUUCUCAAGUCUCCCGAUCGUCUUCUGUUUCGGAAAAAAUCUUUUCGGAAGUUUUAUUCCGUUUGGACUCCGUUCAAAAUCCUCCUAUGAAAAGGGUAAAAACAUGGAAAAAACAGGAACUGGCACUUGGCACUGAGUUAAUAAGUUAGUCCCAAAAAAGAUAAAAAAGGCAUACAAAACAUCCAAAGUUUGACAAGAUAAUACCAUGAAACCAUAAAAAUUAUAGAUAUGUUGGAGACGUAUCACACCCUAUGGCGGUCUUCGGAGGCCGUGCACCAACAAUCAGCCUCAUGAGCCUCAACGAGGGUGCACUCGCAGGCUUCUACCGCCACACCAAGGGAUGCCUCCGCCUCUGCGCGAGCACGCUCCUGCUGCAGACGGCCUAGGUUCACGGAGACCUGAAGCUGGCGCCACCCAGACGCAAGGUACAUGCGCUCACCUUCCCGGUUGGACUCAUGACUGGCAAGCCCCACCCCAGACGUUGAAGCGCGUCCGCAGCGGUGCGAAGCAAGCCCCAUGGUGGGGCGGGAGAACCCGCGACAUGCUCCAGUGUUGGAAAUAUGCCCUAGAGGCAAUAAUAAAUUAGUUAUUAUUAUAUUUCUUUGUUCAUGAUAAUCGUUUAUUAUCCAUGCUAUAAUUGUAUUGAUUGGUAACCCAAAUACAUGUGUGGAUACAUAGACAAAACAUUGUCCCUAGUAAGCCUCUAGUUGACUAGCUUGUUGAUUAAAGAUGGUCAAGGUUUCCCGACCAUAGACAAGUGUUGUCACUUGAUAACGGGAUCACAUCAUUAGGAGAAUCAUGUGAUGGACAAGACCCAAAUUAUAAACGUAGUAUGUGAUCGUGUCAUUUUGUUGCUAUUGUUUUCUACGUGUCAAGUAUUUAUUCCUAUGACCAUAAGAUCAUAUAACUCACUGGCACCGGAGGAAUACCUUGUGUGUAUGAAACGUCGCAACGUAACUGGUGACUAUAAAGGUGCUCUACAUGUAUCUCCGAAGGUGUCCGUUGAGUUAGUAUGGAUCAAGACUGGGAUUUGUCACUCCGUGUGACGGAGAGGUAUCUCGUGGCCCACUCGGUAAUACAACAUCACAAACAAGCCUUGCAAGCAAUGUGACUAAGUGUAAGUCACGGGAUCUUGUAUUACAAAACGAGUAAACAGACUUGCCGGUAACGAGAUUGAAAUAGGUAUGCGGAUACCAACGAUCAAAUCUCGGGAAAGUAACAUACCGAAGGACAAAGGGAAUGCCAUACAUGAUUAUAUGAAUCAUUGGCACUGAGGUUCAACCGAUAAUAUCUUCAUAGAAUAUGUAGGAUCCAAUAUGGGCAUCAAGGUCCCGCUAUUGGAUAUUGACCGAGGAGUGCCUUGGGUCAUGUCUACAUAGUUCUCGAACCUGCAAGGUCUGCACACUUAAGGUUCGGUGAUGUUUUAGUAUAGUUGAGUUAUAUGUGUGGUUACCGAAUGUUGUUCAGAGUCCCGGAUGAGAUCACGGACAUCACGAGGCUUUCCGGAAUGGUCCGGAAACGAAGAUUGAUAUAUAGGAUGGUUUGAUUUGGUCACUGGAAAGUUUUGGGCAAUUCCGGCAGUGUACCGGGAGUGACAAAUGGGUUCCGGGUGUUUACCGGGAGGGGCCCACCCACCUAGGAGUGAGCCCAAGGCUCUAGGGUGGUGCACCAAGUCCUUAUUGGGCUGGUGGAGUCAUCCCAAGAGGGCUAUGGCCCCACAUAAGAAUAUACCAAAAGAAAAAAGGAAAAAGGAAAGAGGGAGGUGGGAAGGAAGAGGAGGACUCCUCCUUCCCAAACCGAAUUGGAGGAGGAGUCCUCCUCCUCCUGGCGGCCGGCGCACCUUGAGGCCCUUGUGCCUCAAGGCUUGCCCCUCCCCUCCUCCUAUAUAUAGUGGUGGUUUAAGGCUUUUUGAGACACAACUUUUCCACGUGCAAUUCUAGCCUAUUCCACAUAGUCUUACCUCUAGAUCGGAUUUCUACGGAGCUCGGGUGGAGCCUUGCAGGAGUAGAUCAUCACCACCAUCGGAGCGCCGUCACGUUGCCGGAGAACUCAUCUUCUUCUCUGUCUUGCUUGCUGGAUCAACAAGGCCGAGAUCAUCAAUGAGCUGUACGUGUGCUGAACGCGGAGGUGCCGUCCGUUCGUGCUAGAUCGGAACGGAUUGUGGGACGAAUCGCGAGACGGUUCGUGGGACGGUUCGUGGGACGGUUCAAGGGACGUGAAGACGUUCCACUACAUCAACCGCGUUUCUUAACACUUCCCACUGAGCGAUCUACAAGGGUAUGUAGAUCUAAUCUCCACUCGCAGAUGGACAUCACCAUGAUAGGUCUUCGUGUGCGUAGGAAUUUUUUUGUUUCCCAUGCAACAUUCCUCAACAGUGGUAUCAGAGCUAGGUUCAUGCGUAGAUGUUAUCUCGAGUAGAAGACAAAAGAUUUUGUGGACGGUGAUGUUCGAUUUGCUUCCCUCCUUAGUCUUUUCUCGAUUCGGCGGUAUUGUUGGCUUGAAGCGGCCCGGACUGACAUAACUCGUACGCUUACAAGAGACUGGUUUCAUCGAUUGACAUGCAACCUCGUUGCAUAAAGAUGACUGGCGAGUGCCUGUUUCUUCAACUUUAGUAGAAUUGGUUUUGACUGAGGCGUUCCUUGGACAGGUUAAAUAGCAAUUUGCACAUCUCCGUUGUGGUUUUUGCGUAAGUAAGAUGCGAUCAUACUAGAUACCCAUAUCAGCCACGUAAAACAUGCAACAACAAAUUAGAGGACGUCUAACUUGUUUUUGCAGGGUAUGCUUGUGAUAUGAUAUGUCCAAUGACGUGAUGUGAUAUAUUGGAUGUAUGCGAUAAUCAUGUUGUAAUAGUUAAUAUCGACUUGCACGUCGAUAGUACGACAACCGGCAGGAGCCAUAGGGUUGUCUUUAAACUAACAUUUGUGUUUGCAGAUGCCUUUACUAUAUUGCUAGGUCGUAGCUUUAGUAGUAAUAGCAUAGAUAGCAUGACAACCUCGAUGGCGGCACGAUGAUGGAGAUCUUGGUGUGGUGCCGGUGACAAGAAGAUCAUGCCGGUGCUUUGGUGAUGGAGAUCAGGAAGCACAAGAUGAUGGCCAUAUCAUGUCACUUAUGAAUUGCAUGUGAUGUUAAUCCUUUUAUGCACCUUAUUUUUCUUAGAACGACGGUGGCAUUAUAAGGUGAUCUCUCACUAAAAUUUCAAGAUGAAAUUGUGUUAUCCCCGACUGUGCACUGUUGCGACAGUUCGCCGUUUCGAGACACCACGUGAUGAUCGGGUGUGAUAGACUCAACGUUCACAUACAACGGGUGCAAAACAGUUGCACACGCGGAACACUCGGUUUAAACUUGACGAGCCUAGCAUGUGCAGACAUGGCCUCGGAACACAUGAGACCGAAAGGUCGAGCAUGAAUCGUAUAGUUGAUAUGAUUAGCAUGGAGAUUCUUACCACUGAAACUAUUCUGAACUCACGUGAUGAUCGGACUUGAGUUAGUGGAUUUGGAUCAUGCACCACUCAAAUGACUAGAGAGAUGUAAUUUUUGAGUGGGACUUUAUUAAGUAAUUUGAUUAGUUAGACUCUAAUUUUCAUGAACAUAGUCAAAAGGUCUUUACGAAUUAUGAUGUAGCUUGUGCUAUAGCUCUACUGUUUUUUAUAUGUUCCUAGAGAAAAUUUAGUUGAAAGAUGAUAGUAGCAACUUUGCGGACUCAGUCCGUAAAACUGAGGAUUGUCCUCAUUGCUGCGCAGAAGGCUUAUGUCCUUAAUGUACCACUCGGUGUGCUGCACCUCGAGCAUCGUCUCUGGAUGUCGCGAACAUCUGACAUACACGUUUUUGAUGACUACGUGAUAGUUCAGUGCAUAAUACUUAAUGGCUUAGAAGCAAGGCGCUGAAGACAUUUUAAAACAUCACAGAACAUAAGAAGAUGUUCUAAGAGAUGAAAUUGAGAUUUCAUGCUCGUUCCCUUGUUGAGAGGUAUGUGACCUCCGACAAGAUUCUUUGUCUACAAAGUAAAGGAGAAAAGCUCAAAUCAUUGAGCAUGUUCGCAGAUUGUGUGAGUACAACAAUCACUUGAAUCAAGUGGGAGUUUAUCUUCCAGAUGAGAUAGUGAUGGUUCUCCAAAGGCACUGACACUAAGCUGCUAGAGCUUCGUGAUGAAGUAUAACAUAUCAAGGAUAGAUAUGAUGAUCCUUGAGCGAUUCACAAUGUUUGACACUGCAAAAGUAGAAAUCAAGAACGAGCGUCAAUUGUUGAUGGUUAGAAAAACCACUAGUUUCCAGAAGGGCAAGGGAUAGAAGGGAUACUUCAUGAAAUGACAAAUCAAUUGCUGCUCUAAUUAAGAAACCAAAGAUUGAACCCAAACCCGAGAGUUAGUGCUUCUGUUAUGAGGGGAACGGUCACUGAGGCGGAGCUACCCUAGAUACUUGGUGAUAACCCACAAGUAUAGGGUAUCGCAACAGUUUUCGAGGGUAGAGUAUUCAACCCAAAUUUAUUGAUUCGACUCAAGGGGAAGCCAAAGAAUAUUCUCAAGUAUUAGCAGUUGAGUUGUCAAUUCAACCACGCCUGAAAGAUUUAGUAUCUGCAGCGAAGUAUCUGUAGCAAGGUAGUGUGAAAGCAGCAGUAUUAGCAGUAACUAGUAGCAACAAAGUGACAUCAGUAGCAACAGAGUAACAAUAGCAGCAGUGACAACAGUAGCAGCAAAGUAACAAUAGCAGCAGAGUAACGUAGCAAGGACCAGUAGGAAAAAAUCGUAGGCAAUGGAUCGGUGAUGGAUGAUUAUGUCGGAUGUUAUUCAUCAUGCAACAGUUAUAACACAGAGAGAUAAGUAACUAGCGCCAGUUCGUCAAUGUAAUAUAGGCAUGUAUUCCGUAUGUAGUCAUACAUGCUUAGGGAAAAGAACUUGCAUUAGAUCUAUUGUCCAACCCUCCUGUGACAGCGGGGUCCUAAUGGAAACUACGGGAUAUUAAGGUUCUCCUUUUAAUAAAGAACCGAACCAACACAUUAACACUUGGUGAAUACAUCAACUCCUCAUACUAUGGUCAUCUCCGGGAAUGGUUCUGGCUAUUCUCACUCCGGGGUUGCCGGGUCAUAAAACAUAGUAGGUGACUACAACUUGCAAGAUAGGAUCAAGAACACACAUAUAUUGGCGACAACAUAAUAGGUUCAGAUCUGAAAUCAUGGCACUCGGGCCCUAGUGACAAGCAUUAAGCAUGGAAAAGUAGUAGCAACAUCAAUCUCAGAACAUAGUGGAUACUAGGGAUCAAUCCCCAUCAAAACUAUCUCGAUUACAUGAUAGAUCUCAUCCAACCCAUCACCGUCCAGCAAGCCUACGAUGAGAUUACUCACGAACGGUGAAGAGCAUCAUGGAAUUGGCGAUGAAGGAAGGUUGGUGAUGAUGAUGGCGACAAUCUCCCCUCUCCAGAGCCCAGAACGGACUCCAGAUCUGCCCUCUAGAGGAAGAACAGGAGGUGGCGGCGCCUCCGUAUCGUAAAACGCGAUGAACUCUUCUCCUUGAUUUUUUUCCCGGUGAAAGGGACUAAAUAGACCUGAAUUGGAGGCGGUGGAGUUUUGUGGGCCCCACAAGCCUGCGAGGCGCGGCCAGGGGGGGGGGGGCGCCUGGUGGGCUUCUGGGCUCCACGCUCCACUUCCUCCGUUGAUUCUUGCGCCAGUAUUUUUUAUAUAUUCCACAAAAAUUCUCCGUAAAUUUUCAGGUCAUUCCGAGAACUUUUAUUUCUGCGCAAAAACAACACCAUGGCAAUUCUACUGAAAACAACGUUAGUCCGGGUUAGUUCCAUUCAAAUCGUGCAAAUUAGAGUUCAAAACAAGGGCAAAAGAGUUUGGAAAAGUAGAUACGACGGAGACGUAUCAACUCCCCCAAGCUUAAAACCUUGCUUGUCCUCAAGCAAUUCAGUUGACAAAUUGAAAGAGACAAAAGAAAAACUUUUAUGAACUGUGUUUGAUCUUGUUGUUGCAACUAUGUCUAACUCAUAACCAGAAUUUCAGCAAGGUCACAAGCUAACCACAUAAGCAAAUGACAUCUAGGUCUCACGGUAAACUCAUAUCAAUCGCAUAAUCAACUAGCGAGCAAAUAAUAAUAAGUUUCAAACGUCAACACUUCAAUCAAAACAAUCAUUAAGCAGUACGAACAUAUGGUAUCUCGCUAGCUCUUUCUCAGACCGCAAAACAUAAAUGCAGAGCACCUUCAAAGACCAAGGGCUGACUAAACAUUGUAAUUCAUGGCAAAGAAGAUCCAGUCACAGUCAUACUCAAUCACAGUUAAAAGCAAAGCAUAAAAACGACAGAGGUGCUCUCUAAUUGGUGCUUUUAUAAGAAGAGGAUGACUCAACAUGAACAUAAAUAGACAGGCCCUUCGCAGAGGGAAGCAUUGAUUUGCAGAGGUGCCAGAGCUCAAGCUUUUAAAACAAAGAUAAUAAUUUUGGGUGGCAUGCUUUCAUUGUCAACGCAAUGACUAAGAGUUCUCACCAUCUUCCAUGAUACACAUGCUAUAGGCGGUUCCCAAACAGAAAAGUAAAGUUUUGACUCCCCCACCACCGAUCAAUCACACUCCACGACUAGCCGAAUACUCGGGUGCCGUCCAUACCAACAUCAAUCCAGGGGGAGUUUUGUUUGCAAUUAUCUUUUCGAUUUGAGCAUGGAACUGGGCAUUCCAAUUGCCAGCCCCUUUCUCAUGAAUGAUAGUGAAUAAACAAAUAUCGAGGAUAACAUGCCUAGCAUGGAAGAUACUGAUAGCCCCCUGUCACCACAUGAGCGGUUCGGGCAUGCAAAACAGAUUAUUUCUUGAAGGUUUAGAGAGUGGCACAUGCAAAUUUACUUGGAACGGUAGGUAGAUACCGCAUAUAGGUAGGUAUGGUGGACUCAUAUGGAACAACUUUGGGUUUAUGGAAGUGGAUGCACAAGCAGUAUUCCCGCUUAGUACAAGUGAAGGCUAGCAAAAGACUGGGAAGCGACCAACUAGAGAGCGACAACAGUCAUCAAAAUGCAUUGAGAUUAACUAACAUUGAGUGCAAGCAUGAGUAGGACAUAAAUCACCAUGAACAUGAAUAUCAUAGAGGCUAUGUUGAUUUUGUUUCAACUACAUGCAUAAACAUGCGCCAAGUCAAGCCACUUGAAUCAUUCAAAGGAGGAUACCAUCCUAUCAUACUACAUCAUAGUCAUCUCAAAAUUCAUGUUGGCAUCCAAGACAAACCAUUAUAAGCUCCUAGCUAAUUGAGCAUGGCAUCAGAAACUAUGAUCUCUAAGUUGUCAUUGCAAACAUGUUUCUCUAACAACAAAGCUAAACUAGGAACGAUGAGCUAGUCAUAUUUACAAAUACAAAAUAGAUCGAGUUCAUACCAACUUUUCCAGGCUCAGUCACUUCAUCAUAUAUCGUCAUUAUUGCCUUUCACUUGCACGAUAGAAUGAUGUGAACAAUAAUAAGAGUGCUCGUGCAUUGUAAAGCUGGAAUCUGCAAGCAAACACAAAGGAGAAGACAAAGUAAUAUGGCUCUUUGACAGAUAAACAGAUAUGCAUGUGAGAGCCACUAAACAUUGUAACCAUGGUCUUCUACCUCGACCCAAAGAAAAAGAAAAUUAUUUACACGGGAAAACUCCCAACAAGCAAAAGAAGAACAAGAAAAUCUUUUUGGGUUUUCUCAAACUAGGCAAACACACGAGAAGAAAGCGAGAAAAAUAAAUAAACUAGCAUGGAUGAUACAGUGGCAAAGUGUGAACACCGACAAACAAGGUGAAAGCAUAAGCGAGAAUAUAAAGUCGGUGAGAAACACGUACUCCCCCAAGAUUAGGCUUUUGGCCUAAGUUGGUCUACUCCCAAGGAGGGAAAUAACCAGCUCCGGGGUACUCCGGAGUGGACUCAGGAUGCCACUAUUGUGUGAGCUCCUCUUGCUCCCACUGAUAAACUGGCGUCUGGUACUCGACUUGUGGCUCGGGCACGGGCACCUGUGGUUGGGCUAUGCCCCAAUAUGUGUAGAUGUCCGAGGGAAUAAUAAUGUACCUGCCUGCAUGAAGAUUGAACAAAGAAGGAGCAGGCAAAGUAAUAGUCUCACGAGUACCCAGACUAAAUAAUAGGUUAGAAAUCAUCCUUCUAUUUAUAUCUCUAUCAAGAAAGUCAUGGCGAACCAUGCUAUCAUAAUCUAAAUAUAUCUCGGGCAGAAGAAUCUCUUCUUCCUCGUCCAGUCUAAUAGGUAUCUCAAAAUUUCUACCAAGACGAGUAGCAUAGAUACGUCCAUAGACAACACCUUUAGAACGGUUCGUGUUCAGCCGUUGAGCUACUAUAGCACCCAAGCUAUAAGUUUUAUCAUUAUAAAGGGCUUCGCGCAAGACCGCAAGAUCUGGGGAGCUAAGGGACCUAGCUUAACCACGGCCAAUCAAACAUUUUCCCAAAAAUAAUGAGAAGUACCGAAGCACGGGAAAAUGUAUGCUAGCAGCUCUAGCGCAAUACACUCCUCUCUCUUCUCCUACGAUAAUAGUAUCGAUGAAAGCUUCCAAGUCUCGUGGACGAGGUUCAUGAAUAUCCCCAACAUAAGGUAACUUGCAAACAUUGCAAAAAUCCUGGAGUGACAUGCGCUGGGGGAUAUCAUAUAAUUUGAACUCAACCAUAGGAGGAUUCUUCCUUGGAUAGAAGUUAAAGCUUUGUACGAGGAUAUUAGUGAGGAGGAGGUAUUGCAGACACUUAUCUUCAACAAAGGCGGUAAGGCCUGCGUUCUCCACCAAGUAAUAAAAGUCCUCAUAAAGUCCGGCGGUGCGUAAGAACACAUCGCUUGGCCACUCGCACGCUCGAACUUGUGCAACUCGAGGGACCGGAUACUUGGGUUUGUUCUUCUCACUUCCAUCAUCCUUGGGGUCACGGCUUGAAGAGCCUCUUAAGAACCUCCUCAUAUUUUCCAUUUUCUAUAUCUGAAAAUUUCUGAAAUUUUAGUGACUCUAAUGAAAAGUGAACAAGGCUCAACUAACUCGUAUUAACUACUCCCACAAGUGCCUAGAGGCCAUAUUACGCAUCAAAACUACUUGGGACCAGCUAAAAUUAGCAUGCAAAGCUCAAGAACAUGGUCACCAAGGCAGCAAAAAUACGCGAUGUAUAAGGCACUAGAGAAAAAACUAAUUGGAGCAAUGGAGGCGUCACUUACCAAGGAGCAAUUUCCCCAAAACAGUUUGGUGAAUGGUGCUUUGCAGAAGGAGAUCGAAAAUCCCAGCAAGAAGAGCAAGAACACGGGUUUGAGCUGCGAAACCAUUUUUUCUGGAGGUAGGAGAAGUAGAUGGGAGCUAGAAUAAGUGAAGGGGGUGCACGUGGGCCCCACAAGCCUGGGUGGCACGGCCAGGGGGUGCCCGCGCCUCCACGGCUUGUGGCCCACUGGUGCAGCCCCUAGACUAGCUCUUCGUCUCAGUAUUUUUCAAAAAAUCCACAAAAAAUCAUACUUGAUUUUCAGGACGUUCGGAGAACUUUUAUUUUCGGGGUACUUUUCUACGGGACGCUAAAACAGAAAACAGGGACAAAUAAACUAAACCUAUCAUUUUUCUUCUAAGAAACCGAAGGUGAAAGCUUGGAACAGAGGUUCGUGACUCCUCGAUUCAUCCAUCUCAUGGUCAUCGAAAGAAAUCCGUCAAUGAGGUUGAUCAAGUCUCCUUGACAAACUUUUUCGAAUUGCAAAAGAGAACGGAGAAUUUUCGAAUAGUCACUAGGUCACCUCAAUGGGGAUGUGCAUAUCCCCGACAAUCAAAUCAUACUUCAUCUUGACAGGAGGUGUAGGGCAUUCAAAGCUCCCAAUAAGAAUCGAUGAAGUUUUUUCGAUAGCAUUGAUGCAAUGUACUCGAUAUUGUUUUUUCGGAAAGUGCACCGUAUGCUCAUUACCGUUGACAUGGAAAGUGACAUUGCCUUUGUUGCAAUCUAUAACAGCCCCUGCGGUGUUUAAAAAGGGUCUUCCAAGGAUGACCGCCAUGGCAUCAUCCUCGGGAAUAUCCAGAAUAACAAAGUCCGUUAAGAUAGUAACGUUAGCAACCACAACAGGCACAUCCUCGCAAAUGCCGAUAGGGAAAGCAGUUGAUUUGUCGGCCAUUUGCAGAGAGAUUUUAGUGGGUGUCAACUUAUCCAGCUCAAGUCUACGAUGAAGAGAGAGAGGCAUAACACUAACACCGGCUCCAAGGUCGCAUAAAGCAGUUCUAACAUAGUUACCUUUAAUGGAGCAAUGUAUAGUGGGCACUCCGGGAUCACCUAGUUUCUUAGGAGUUCCACCCUUGAAGGUAUAAUUAGCGAGCAUGGUGUAAAUCUCAACCUCAGGUAUCAUCCUUUUAUUAGUCACAAUAUCCUUCAUGUACUUAGCAUAAGGAGACAUUUUGAGCAUAUCUGUCAAAUGCAUUUGCAGAAAGACAGGUCUAAUCAUUUCAACAAAUCGCUCAAAAUCCUCAUCAUCCUUUUUCUUGGAUGGUUUGGGAGGAAAGGACAUGGGUUUAUGAACCCAUGGUUCCCUUUCUUCACCAUGCUUCCUAGCAGCAAAGUCAUUCUUAUCGUAUCUUCUUUUCUUAGGCUGUGGGUUAUCAAGAUCAGCAUGUUCAAACUCCAAAUCCUUAUCAUUGCUAGGUUGAGCAUCAUCAUGAACAUCACUAUCGAUAUUAUCAUUAGGCUCAUGUUCAUCACCAUAUUGCGUUUCAGCAUCAGAGACAGAGACAUCGUUUGGACUCUCAGGUGUAGCAGCAACAAGGUUGCUAGCAUGCAAAUCCCUAUCAUCUUUCUUCUUCUUCCUAGGAUGACUAGGUGCAUCAGUGCUAACUCCUUGAGAACCUUGUUCAAUUCUCUUAGGAUGACCCUCACGAUACAAAGGUUCCUGAGUCAUUCUACCGCCUCUAGUGACGACUCUAACAAAAUUGUCAUUCAACUCAUUGAGAAAGUCAUUCUAAGCCUUAAGUACUUGUUCUACUUGAGUGGUAACCAUAGAGGCAUGUUUACUCAGAAGCUUAAGAUCAUUGACAUUUCUGUCCACACAAGCACUUAAAUGACUAAGCAUACGGGAACUCUGUUCCAAUUGUCUGCUAACAUAAUCAUUGAAACUUUGUUGUUUGGCAACAAAGUUAUCAAAUUCAUCCAGGCAUAGGCCAGCAGGUUUAUCAAAAGGAAUAUCACUCUCAUCAAACCUACGCAGAGAAUUUACUUCUACUACCUGUAUCGGGUUAUCAAGACUAUGGAUAUCUUCGAUAGGUGGUAGAUUUUUGACAUCUUCAGAUUUAAUGCCUUUCUCUUUCAUAGAUUUCUUAGCUUCUUGCAUAUCUUUAGGACUGAGGAAUAGAAUACCUCUUUUCUUGGGAGUUGGCUUAGGAAGUGGUUCGGGAAUAGUCCAGGCAUUCUCAUUGCACAAGAUAUUAUUCAAUAGGAUCUCAGCUUGUUCUACAGUUCGUUCCCUAAAAACACAACCAGCACAGCUAUCUAGGUGGUCUCUAGAAGCAUCGAUAAGUCCAUUAUAGAAGAUAUCAAGUAUUUCAUUCUUCUCAAGAGGGUGAUCAGGCAAAGCAUUCAGUAGCUGGACAAGCCUCCCCCAAGCUUGUGGGAGACUCUCUUCUUCAGCUUCAGCAAAGCUGUAUAUUUCCUGCAAGGCAGCUUGCUUCUUAUGGGUAGGGAAAUAUUUUUCAGAGAAGUAGUAGACCAUAUCCCAGGGCUACGCACACAACUAGGAGCAAGAGAAGUGAACCAAGUCUUAGCGUCAUCCUUUAGCAAGAAAGGAAACAGCUUGAGUAUAUAGUAGUGGCGGAUCUUUUCCUCACUCGUGAAUAGGGUGGCUAUAUCGUGCAGUUUGGUAAGAUGGGCUACAAUUGUUUCAGACUGAUAACCGUGAAAAGGAUCAGAUUCGACCAGAGUGAUUAACUCAGGGUCGACAGAGAAUUCAUAAUCCUUAUCGGUCACAAAGUUAGGCGAAGUAGCAAACUUCGGGUCGUAUUUCAUCCUAGCGUUCAAAGAUUUUUCUUUCCACUUGCGCGGUAAUUUCUCAACAUCAUAGCUAUCCUUACAAGCAAGAAAGUCCUCAGCCAUCUCUCCCUCCAUAAUAUAACCCUCAGGCAUAACAGGCAAUUCAUAUCUAGGAGAGCUAGUUCUAACAGGCAAAAUAGCAGGUUCUACUUCAAUACUAUCAACAGUUUCAGAAGUAUCAUCACAUCUAGCAGCAACUCUAGCAAUUUGUGCAUCAAGGGCACCUAGUGGCAAAGUAGUAUCAAGCAUAGCAUCAUCAUAAGCAUCAUGGGCAGCAGAAGUAGCAUCAUCAAGCACAGGCGACAUAUCAAUAUUUCUAGUAGGAGGUGGUGUCGCAAACUUACUCAUAACUGAAGGUGAAUCAAGUGCAGAGCUAGAUGGUAGUUCCUUACUUGUCCUCGUAGUUGAGGACAAGACUUCAGUUUUUGGGUCUCUCGGAUUCCAAAUAGCGAUCAGCAGACGUAAAUCCCAAGUGACUCAGAGAAUAUUGCUGUGCCUCCCCGACAACGGCGCCAGAAAAUAGUCUUGAUAACCCACAACUAUAGGGGAUCGCAACAGUUUUCAAGGGUAGAGUAUUCAACCCAAAUUUAUUGAUUCGACUCAAGGGGAAGCCAAAGAAUAUUCUCAAGUAUUAGCAGCUGAGUUGUCAAUUCAACCACACCUGAAAGAUUUAGUAUCUGUAGCAAAGUAUCAGUAGCAAGGUAGUGUGAUAGCAACAGUAGCAACAGUAACCAGUAGCAGCAAAGUGAUAACAGUAGCAACAGAGUAACAGUAGCAGUAGUGACAGCAGUAGCAGCAAAGUAACUGUAGCAGCAGAGUAACGUAGCAAGGACCAGUAGGAAAAACUCGUAGGCAAUGGAUCGGUGAUGGAUGAUUAUGUCGGAUGUUAUUCAUCAUGUAACAGUUAUAACACGGAGAGAUAAGUAACUAGCUCCAGUUCGUCACUGUAAUGUAGGCAUGUAUUCCGUAUGUAGUCAUACAUGCUUAGGGGAAAGAACUUGCAUGA